CAAUCCCCACCUUCCUCGUCCCCUCCAGCCCGACCGCCGCCCCCGGUACCCCGUCGCGCCUCCUGUCGCCAGCCACCCUGACCCCCUCGUUUCCCACCGACGCACCCCAGAGGAUGCAUCCCUCCCGCUACUAGCAACGCACGCAACCCACCAAACCACCCCCGCCGAUGAUGGUGACGUGCGCCGCCCUCGACCAGAAUAUCAAGACCCUUGCCACCGCCGCCUCUCGGAUCCGCUACCUCCUCCCCAACCACUGUCGCCUCCCGGAUCCGCCGCCUCCUCCCCAACUACCGUCGCCCCCCAGAUCCGCGCCACCAGCUCGCCCUCAAGGAGUUGAAGCCCAUCAAGGAGCGGUCCUCGCCGGCCUGUAGCUCAGCAUUCGUUAGGAAGAGCACCAGCCAGAGCUUCGUCGCCGACCGGGGCGACCCUCCUCCUCCUCCUCCCAUCGAUGUCUCCCCCAUACUAUGACAGGUCAACUACUCCUCCGCGUGAAGUUCAUCGGUUAGAGCUAUAGCCGAAUUCGUCGCUGGUGCGUCUCCUUAGUCAGUCUCCACUACAGUUCAAGGUUCUCGGCCAUAGCUCCUCCCCUAUUUCAGAGCUUUGAGUCCAGGCCUCAGCGCUAAAAAUACGUUGUGCCCUCUCCUGCGGGAGUGCUCCUCAAAAUCUUCCAACAACGAAUGUUCUUCAUGUUAUGGACUUGUGCCACAACUUGUUCUGAAUUUCUUUUCAAUCAUACCUGAAUUUGCACUAUGGUAAAUGUUUAUAAUGCUUCCUGUAGUGAAGAAUAAGGUUGCUUGCCACCUUUUGUGUGCUGCUACUCGUGUGUGUUGCCACUGGUGUGUGUGCACUGCACUGCAUUCCCACAAUUUGCAAAAACUUACUCCUACUCGUGUAGGUGCUAGCGCUGCUUGUUUUUGGUGCUACUGGUGUUGCUUGUUGCUUCUGCAUAUCCAAGGUUGUUUCUGCUAAAAAAAGAUGGGAAGUUCAGUGUGCAAAAUUUACAAAGUUUGUGUUGAAAAAACAAAAGAGAAAGUUCAUUAUGAUAAACAUAAAAAGGGACACAAAUUCCACUUUGAGAAACCAGGGAUUGUUCUCCGCUGCAACCUCCGUCAGUGCAAGAGUGAAAAAAUAUUCGAGACGUUCAGAUAGGCAUCCGGUGGUGAAGAGCUAAUAAACAAUGAAAAUUCUAGAAGAGGGAAAUGUGGUAGGGACUAAGGCCAUUGGUUUUCUGCAUUAGUAGGUACUUCAUUUCUUUUUCUAGCAAAGACAUCGCCAAUAUAUAUGUCUGAAGUGAAAAGACUUAACUAUUAGAAUGUCUGAGCUUGCUCACUUUAUGUUUUCUAAAAAAUUAACCAUUAUUUUUUAAAUUUUGUUUUCUUUGGUGUAGUGUGACAAAGAAUAGAGAGCACAAAGACGAAUAGAGACUACCAAGGUACCACCAAAGAAAAAGACCCUAGAAGUUCAAACUGAAAAAACAAAGCAUCUCAACAUAAAGUUAUAAGAAAGGGAUUUUCUUCGUUAAAAAGACCCUGAAGAUUCAAAUUACAAAAUAGAGCAUUUCAAUGUUGAUUAAAAAUUAUGAUUAUUUUUGUUACUAAAAUAAAUAAAACCAAGAAGUCCAAAUUAAAAAAGGAACAGUUCGGCGGUUAUAGAAAAUUCAGGUUUUCCUCAUUAUUAAAGAAUGAAAACAAGAAGUUCGUCAAUAAAACAACAAGAAAAACGAAUUUUAAAAAUAGAGAACCUCAAAAAACAUAAAAAGGGCUGCCAUCAUUUCUAACAUUAGAAAAAGGGAAGCUCGCAAGGAGCUAGAAUUCGGAGAAGGUCAACUACUACACUCCAUGAAUGGCAUAUGAAAAUCUUUUAAGCCGUCGUGAGUACAAAAAAAACAUCAACGAGGAAACGUUGAGUGGAUGGAGAGUUACGAGCAAAAAACAACACGUGGAAAACACAGCGAAGUUCUAGGGGACAUGACGAGAAGGUCAAGUUCUUCACGCCGUGCAUUUUUGAAGGAUGUUUUUCGCGAUGAAGGCAGAAUGCAUAAUCUCGCUGUUUUCGAUAUUGCUUGAAAAUGGCUAGGAAUUUCCUAGCAGUGAGUUGUGGUUCAAUGUGUAUUAAAAAAGAAGAUUCCCAUGUUAGUAUAUAUAUUUUCCUAUUUGUCUUUGUAAUCGAUGCAACUCUCAUGAUACAAAAAAUGAAAAACAUGAGAGGCGUCAAGGGAUAGAUAAUUGUUAACAAAACCUCUCCCAAAAAAGAUUAUUUAAAAAGGAUAUCCACGAUUUCUAUAAAAAUAGAAGUUCAAAUUAAUAUAACCAAACGGUUCUAUAUUUACUACGAAAAUCAAAUUUCCCGUUAAUAAAUAAUAAAACAUUGGAGUUCAAAUUAAAAUAAGAGAGUAGUUCGAUGUUAAUAUACACGGAAAAAACAAGCAUCAUCUAUAAAAAAUGUUAACUCUCGCAAUUCAAAUUAAAUAAAUUAUAGAGUUCGAAGAAAUUAUUAUGGGUCUACAGAAAAACUUCCCAUGGAUCAUUUCCUUCCUAAGAAUAAGACAAAGAUGUUCAAAUUAAAAUAAAAAUGAAGUUCAAGGUAUGUAAAAAAAUCGGAUUUUUCCUCAUUAGUAAAUCGUAAAUCAAAAAAAGUUGAAAUAAAAAAGGAUGAGAAGUUGAAAUUAAAAUAACACAGAAGUUCGAAGUUUAUGAAAAAAUUAUAUUUUUUCCUUGGUACUAAAUAUUAAAAUGAAAAAGUUCGAAUAAGAAAGCUGAGAAGAUCAAAUUAAACUAGUGAAAUUCCUUACACGGAAAAUGGAUCAGUUUUAUUUUCUCUGUUUAUAAAAUAAAUACAUAGAAGUUCAAAAUAAAAAAUUGAGAAGGUCAAAAUAAAAUAAUGGAGUAGUUUGUCGUGUAAAGCAACCCAAAGUAAAAUAGAGUGAAGUUCAAGUGGACAUGACAAGAAGGUCGAAUUCUUCAUGCGAUGCAUUUUUUAAGUGUUUGUUUCGCGAUAAAGGCACACCGCAUGAUCUCGUUGUUUUCAAUAUUGCUUGAAAACGGGUAGGAAUUAGAGAAAACCAUCUACAUGAAAAAGUUUCACAUUUUUUGUAGGUUUUGAACGGUAUAUUAUUUUCCACGUUCCGAUAAAUUUGUAAAAACUACGGCCAAAAACAUUUUUAGCCAUUUUUAAAACUGACUUAAAACCGUCAGGAAUUGGAAAAAACAAUCUACAUAAAAAAGUUUUGCAUUAGUUCAUGCUUUCAAACGCCAUAUCAUUUGCUCCAUUCCGAGAAAUCAUUGACAAAUUAACGCGAAAAUACAAACUCGAUACAACUUGUGCCGUUGUUUUCUAAGUUACUUUUAAACCGUUCAUAGUUGGAAGGUACUUUUUAUAUGAAAAAUUACGCAUUUUCAUAAACUUUGCAACGCCAUAUCAUUUGAAUCGAUCGGACUAGCCGUUUUCAAAUAAACCUUGAAAUACAAACCCUGCUGUUCAGUUUCACAAAUUCUGCCAUUUUUGAAUUUCCUCUUUAACCGUAUGGAAUUUGGAAAAAAAAAUCUACGUAUGGAAUGAGGGUAUUUACAACUGCUACUAUACGACAUCUCAUUUGCCUCAUUCCAACAAACGGUUUAAAAAUAGGAUCGAAAAUACGAUUCAUGUUUUUUGUUAUGAACAAAAACGGUUUUAAAAAAUGCUCUUAAACCAUGAACAUUUUGACAAAAAUUCAACCUAGGAUAUUACUAGGGUGUCCAUACUUUUCAAACGGUAUAUCGGAAGCCUCAUUUGGGGAAUAUUACCAGGAUGAGUGGAUGGAGUGUUACGAACAAAAAACAACACGUAGAAAACACACACAAGUUCAAGAGGACAAGGCGAGAAGGACAAGUUCUUCACGCGGUGCAUUUUCGAACGAUGUGUUUCGCGAAAAAGCCAGAAUACAUGAUCUUGUUGUUUCUGAGAUUGCUUAAAAACGGUUAGGAAUCACAGAAAAUUAUCUAGAUGAAAAAGUUUUGCAUUUUCUGUAGCUUUUGAACGGUAUGUUAUUUGCCCCAUUCCAAAAAAGUUUGUAAAAACUACGGAAAAAAGAUUUUUUUUGCCAUUUUUAAAACUGAAAUAAAAACGUAACAAAUUGGAAAAAACAAUGUACAUAUAAAAGUUUCGCAUUUGCUCCAGCUUUCCAACGCCGUAUCAUUUGCUCCAUCCCGAAAAACCAUUGAGAAAUUAAAUCGAAAAUAUAAUCUCGGUACAACUUCUGUCGUUUUCUAAAUUACAUUUAAACCGUUAAUAGUUGAAGAAACUUUUUAUAUGAAAGACUGCGUAUUUUCAUAAGUUUUCAAACUCCAUAUCAUUUGCAUCAAUAGUACUAGCCAUUUUAAAUUAGCCCGAAACACUAACCUGACUGUUCGUUUUUAGAAAUUCUGUCAUUUUUGAAAUUCCUCUUUAAUCGUAGGAAAUUUGGAAAACCUUUCAACGUUUGAAAUGAAGGGAUUUGUAGCAGCUAUUCAACGCUAUCUCAUUUGCCUCAUUCCGGCAAAUGGUUUAGAAAUAGGAUGAGAAAUAGAUUCACAUUUUUUCAUAUGAACGAAAACGAUUUUCAAAACUGCUCUUAAACCGUGAACAUUUUCAUAGAAAAUCAACCUAGGUCGUUACCAGGGUGCUUAUAGCUUUCAAACGGUAUAUCGCAAGCCCUGUUUGGACACUUUUCACGGAAGUUUAACUAGACACCCAUGGAAGUCCAAAUAAUAUUGCUGGGAUGAGUCUGCGUGGGAUCAGAAUAGUUAGUCUCAUCCUAGGAUCAGAAUAAUGUUUAUGUGUGUGUAUAUGUAUAUGUAUAUGUAUAUAUAUAUACAUAUAUAUAUAUGUGUGUGUGUGUGUAUGUAUAUGUAUAUAUAUAUAUAUGUAUCCUAUAUGCACACACACACAACACGUCUAUUCUAAUAAUAUUAGCAGAAUAGUUAUUCUGCAUACACUUCCCAACUUCACGCUCAACGUUGGUGCAAUGCAUCCCUUUCAAACCAAGCACUGCAAUGUCAUUAAAAAACUGCACGCACUUUGUGACACCGUUUUGACUCCAGUUUUAAACUAUUUGUCGGAAUAAGACAUAUAAUAUACCGUUGCAUUGCUACGGAAAAUAUCCAACUUCGUCAUGUUGAACGUUUUUCGCGAUUCCUCGCGGUUUGAGAGCAGUUUUGAAAUUACUAACAAAAGGAAUUCUGUUUUUAAUUAUUUUUGCAAGUUUUUUUGCAAGUUUUUCACUGGAAUUUUUAAACCGUUCGUCCGAACGAGGUGUAUGAUAUGGCAUUGAAAAUCUGUGUAAUAGGAGCAUCUUUCAUAUGUUGGUCAUUUGUUGAGAUUCCUCACGGUUUUAAACGAAUUUUGAAAACGAUGUUGUCCACGAGUUGCAGGGAGCGUAUUUUCGUAAAUUUGUCCAAACCGCUUGUCCGAAUGAAGCAAAUGAUAUGGCCUUGAAAAGGUAUCAACGAGACCCAUCUUUUUCAUGUAGUACACUCUCUCUAAUUCCUUACGGUUUAAGAGCAGUUUUAAAUUUACCGAAACGCAGACACUUUGUGUUUUUGCGACACUAAAAUCGACGAGGAAACUGCAUCAAACAGAUAACCGCACCACUUCACUACAUCCGACACACAAGUGGAAUUCACGGUUUAUUUUGUUAAACUUAAUUUUUCAAGAUCGCACUGCAUUGAAAGACAGGUGGACUUCAUGGUAUCUUUUGUUGAAGAUAAUUUGACGCAUUAACAACAUCAGAAAGAAGAACACAAUGCUUCAGACUAAAGACCGCACCGCAUCCUACAGGCAAGAAAACUGCAUGUUUUUUGUUCGACGUGAUUUUCGUAAGACGAGGAACGUGAGUGCACUUCACAUCGGACGUAAACGAACCAUAUCAAUUUACAAAGUGUACCGCCAUGAUUUUCUUAAUGCACUGCAAUGUUUUAAAAAGAAAUUAUAAACUAUGUCCAUACAAAUUGGCAAAAACAUAUUCUCCAAAAAUAAUAAAAAUGAACUCCUUUGUACUAUUUUUUUACAAAGUGAACUCCUCUAUACUAUGCAUUGUACUGCAAUUUUGUUACACAAAGAACUCUCCUCUACUCUAUGCAUUGUACUGCAAAUCUAAACAGAUAAUUUAAUAAAUUACAAUAGGAAAUCCCCAAUCACCAAUACAACACAUGAGGACCUUGUGAACGAACUGCAUCACGAGUUUUGUGUUGCACACCAUGCACACUGCAUACACCACAUCAAAUAACCACAUUUACCCUUUUUCUCAAUCCUGGGUCUUCUUCCAAAGGGACCGGUGAUGUACACAUGAAACAGAAUAUAAGAAACACCAAUCAGCCAUCAAACAAGAAGCUUGCAGAUACAACAAAUAGCCAACAAAACAAACUAAUAUAUGCACCUGCGAUGUUUUGAGCUUCAUCACCAACUCCUUGUCAAUGAUUUCAUCCUUGUCUCCUCAGCAGGCUCCUUGUAGACAAUUUUCAGUAGCAAAAUUCCACGAUGACGUACCCAUCUAGAAAACCUUAAACAAAGGGAAUUACGAAAGAGAAUCUAGGCAAAACAAACAUACAUUUUUGGGACAACCUUCGCGGGUUUCUUCGGAGGCUUUAUGGGCGCGAAUUUAAGCCCUCCCUUAACAUGCAAGAAGCAUAAACUGUAACCAUAAAAUCGAAAAAAAACCCAAUAUAUAAGAGGAACAAAAAAACUGGACACCAACUUUGCGAGGACGGGCUGGAAGGGAGCCAUCUUUUUCCUUCUUCACGUUACUCUUGUCGUCCAUAACACAGCAACAAACGCAAGAACCUACAAAAAGUGAUACACCAAAAGGUAAGAUGGCUGAUGCCUAAUGGGCAUAUCACCAUUAGUCCGCUGUGACACCCUCGAUUUGAUCGUACGGUAAUCAUACACGCAAAAUGCAUACGACCAAGCUCAAGGACUCAUGGAAAGAUAUCACAACAUAACUCUAGACACAAAUAAAAACAUACAAGCUUCAUAUUAUAAGCGAGCGGCCUCGAAGGCUAGAAUACAGAAGCUCGAUACACACACGAGUCAGCGGAAGCAACAAAUAUCUGAGUACAGACAUAAAACAUGGCAAUGCCUUAGAGAAGGCUAGCACAAAAGAUACAUCGAUCGAACGAGGCGAGGCCUCCUGCCUGGGAACCUCCUAAACUACUCCUGGUCUUCUACGGCCUCCACGUAGUAGUAGGCACCGUCAGGGUAGCAGUCAUCGGCUGCGGGAUACACCUUCUUCUGGGCUCCAUCAUCUGGUCGCAACAACGUAUCAAGGGUAAAAGGGGGAGCAAAGCAAUGAUGAGUACUCAUCCAAAGUACUCGCAAGACUGACAUGAGAACUAUGCUAAGUUAUGCAUCAGUAUCAAUGGAAGGGGUCAUAUGUGGACUAACUGCACCACUGCGAGAAUAGAGGGAGAAGGCCUAGUCCUAUCAAAUACUAGUAUCUUCAGCGUCUUGCAGCAAUAGACGAGAGUAGAGCUAACAACACAAAUAUAUAGUCAUAUUGUUGCAGCAAUAUUAAUUAAAUUCACGCCCACAGAUUAUUCCUUGACCCCCUGCGAGGAAGCAACCUCGGAGCAACCAUUCCAGUUAAUUAACAGUUGUAGUUGUAUAGGAUUAGGGCACAACUCCAAAUAGUCAUGUAACCAUGGACACGAUUAUUUGAAUAGUUAAUUUUCAUCCCUGCAGAGGUGCACCAAGUUUCCCGUCACGCUUAUUAAACUCUGUCCGAACACACUUUCCUGGGUCAUGCCCGGCCUCGGAACAUCAACACGUCGCAGUCCCACCUAAGCCCAACAUAGGGGCUAGCCCGCCGGUCUAAAUCCUAAGCACGCAGGGGUCAAGGCCCAUCACCCUUUGCGCUCAUGCAUGAUGCGAGGGCGACCGAUUUAGUCCUGACACCUCUUUUACAAGUACGAUGCUUAUACGGGCCACUCGGGCGCACACCGCUCCAUGGCUGAUGUCUGAAGAGCUUCGGCUGAUACUACGACGUCGAGAACCCAUAACUCCUCCCACGUAGACGGUUAGUGCGAAAAGGUCUCCGACCAACCCAGAUCAAAUACCCAAAUCCUUAGCAUUUUAAUUAACUCAUCGUCUCAUCCACAGGGGGAAUCCACCCGCAACACACCAUUCAUGUUCCCAGUAGCACGGUCAAGUAACUGUGUGGGCGUAACAUCAGAGGGAUCGUAGGUAUCACCCUCGAUGGAUUCCUAAUGAUGUAACCGUCAAGGUGGUCAGGGAGAAAUCACCAUCGGUGGACCAUGCUUGAGGGGUUGUACGAUAGAGUCAUUAUCGGAGGUGGUGAAAUAGGCAUCAUCCUCCGAGAACCACCGCCGGUCAACUACACUACAACGCAAAUAUCACAGUACGUAACGAUGUGUCACCCUCGUUACUCGAUAGUAGCUCUGCAACAUCGUACAACUAAGGGGGGUGUGUGAGUGCUCUGACGAGUUAUGGCUCGUCAAUCAUAUGAUCGAGACUUGACAAAAAGCAGGGGCAACUGGACUAAGGGUCAAAGGGGAUCAUUGCUCCACCUAUACUAACCAGUUUUAAGGUGCAUCAGAAUAAAGUAGCAGUUUAUCAAAAACAGGCUAUGCAUCAGAUAUAUGAGCUAACUACAAAAGUAGCAAAAUUAUAAUGCAAGCAUGAGGGAGAAAGAAUAGGCGAUAUAGGAAUGAUCAAGGUUUUUUUUUGCUUGCGUGGUUGUUGUGCAGACAAAAACGAAUCCUUGACCGGGAAGUAGUCGAUCACCGGAUCAUCACCGGUCUCGGAGUCUACCGGAAAGGAAGUAACAAAGGGGAAACACAAUAAAUAACAGAGCGAGCAAACACACCACAAAACAUGACAAGGUAAUACACCAUGCUAGGGGUGACCUAACCCAGUACUAAACGUUACAAACGAAGCGGGAAUAUAUCUCACGAUAUCUCCCAAGUCAAUGCUUAAUACCGAGCAGAUGAAAUGGGAAGGAAAGUUCCAUGUGUAUCAUGCUAGGAGCAUGUGACAGAUGAACGAAUAGUGUAUUCGGAUUCGUGGGAUUGUUCUCAUCAACUUUCAUAUAUAAAAUAUCUUCAUAUGACUUACGGUUCAAUUUCUAUUAUUUUCUGAAGUUUUUAAUGAUAAUCUGAAUUUUUAUUAUUAUAUCAAAAAUAUUAAAUAAAACGCUAGGUGCACCCGAUCGAGUGCACCCAACACGGUAACACAUACUGAUAGAGGGGCCCGAUUGACUGGUCAAUCAGCCAAUCAACACACACUGAGUGGUGGGACCCUCCCAUUGAGUCAGCAACUGACUGUGUCGGCCCUAUCCACCAAAUAGUGGUAGGCCCCACCUGUCAUUGAGUGUAAAUUAGUAUAUAGUCCAAUUAGUUCAGGGGUAAUUAGUGGGUGGGGCCCGAUGUGAGUGGGUGUUAGAGGUUUUAAAUUAUGCUAAAACUAAUGCUACAAUAAUAACCUAGUGUCAGUUGCUAUUAGCGCCUAGAUUAGGAGCUAAUGAAGGGGACCCCAUGCGUCAGUGACUCACCGGCGUUUUGAACGGGGUGGCGCGCCGGCGACGCUCCCGCGAGCACCAGAAAUGAUGACGAUGCUCGGAAAUGGUGCUCCGGCCACCAUUUCGAGCGCCACUGCCAUCUACGAGACGAGGAGGUUCGCGCCCGUCAAUAUACGGUGUCGGCAGUGCCACCACCUUCCCACGCCACCGCCUCCCACCGCUCGGCAACUACGUUCCUCCCCGACGACGCGCUGCGAUGACAACAUACUCCACCACCACCGCCUCACCCCCUCCCCCGCAGCCAUGGGCACCCAGUCGGUGAACAAGGCCUUGCGAGCACCGGAUCCGGCCGUGCCGACCCCAUACGCAGCCACGGGCACCGUCAGUGGCCUCCCGUGUCACCCCAACUCCCUCCAACUUCUAUGUUGGUGCGCCACCACCGCCACCUUCUUCCUCUCCAACACGCUACCACAUCCCUCCCCACAAUGCAGGGUGGUUCAUCGUCGAGCAUCGGCCUGCUCCUUCAAAUGCCCUACUCCCCUUAACAGUGUCAUCUUCAGCGAUUUGCUGAAGCCCCAGUCGCCGAUCCCCUCCGGGUCUCCCUCCGUUCCUCCCACUUCCAACAAAUCCGUCUCGUGCAUCCCAACCACCUCCGGCAGCCAGAUCCCCUCAGUUGUUGGUGGGUUCAUGGUAGUGCUCGUUGCCGGGCCUACCCCUUCUCCUACGCUCGGUGCAGUCCACUGGCGAUGAGAUCCAGGUAUUUCCCCUCUCUCAUUGCAACCCUCUCUUCCACCUACCUUCUGCCGGUGAGCAUCGUAGGGCAACCCGCACGAUGAUACAGCGACGAGCAGAGGGACACAUCCACCCCCACUCCCUGUGCAGUUUGAGUGGUGCGCUCAUGCGGUGCGGAGCGCUUGUGCGUGCAAUUCACGGUGUGCAAAAAUAUUUCUUACAUAGGCGACAGAUCCGAGGGCUGCCAAGGCCACCUGCCUCACAUAUCCCGUGCGGAUCCGGUGAGCCUCUCCCAACCAUCUUCCUCGCGGGGGACUACUCGUGUGGAACUAUCUGCGACACCUAAUGAAUUUUUGUGGUUUUGUGCACGUCGGUGGUGUCGCACUCUAUUGCUCCGAUGAUCUACAGUUCGACCCAACGGGAUCGUGGAAUUGUCGCCCAUGACGUCGAUGGCUUUCCGACGAUCUCCCCCAUUGUAGUAGGCUCCCUUGUCCGCUAGGCCGACGGGCAGUUCGUCCCAACAGGUCCACUGAGCUCCGGGAUCGAUUCAGUUUUUUUGUUUUACAGUCUUCCAGUGCAGUCUAUUUUUGGAACACGUCUAGUACUCGCGUUGUUAUGGGAUGGGAGUAUACAUGUAUGUUUGUAUGAUUUCGUUGCUGUUUGGGCAAUGCACUCAUGUAGUUUCGUGGGUUUUGUGGUGGUGCACUUGCAGUCCGAUGCAUGUGCACAUGAAGUGUUUUGUGGUUCACUCAAUAAAGAGCAUUGAUACAGCACACUUGACUCGUCUCAAACAGUCAGGACACAUUCAUAAAAGAAUGAGAAGAAGACAUCUCAACGAAGUUCGGUUCUCAUUAGAUGAAGUUACUCAUGCCCGAUGUGAAGUGCACUCCACUUUUGCGUGUGAGAAAAUUUCACGUCGAUGUGAAGUGCACUCCACUUUGGCGUCUCAGAAAAAGUCACGUCAAACAAAUGAAAUCAUGCAGUUCGAUUGCCCGUUGGAUGUAGUGUGGUUUUCGGUUUGAAGCAGUGCUCUCUUCUCUUUGAUGCGGUUCAUGCAUAGAUUUUGGUGUCGUGAAAAACAGAGUGUUUGCAUUUUAUUAAAAUAGAAACUGCUCUUAAACCGUAAGGAAUUAGAGAGAGUGUUGUACACUUCUAUAUAUUGAUGAAUGAAUUGGUUUGAGGUUUGAGCAUAGCUGAACUGCAAUUUGACAAAAAAUGUGAAAAAUGGAGGUAUGUCCCCAUCAUUUGGACCUGAAGGUGCUCCAUAUGAGUAGCCAUAGCAUCGCAAAAGCUCUUAAUAUUAACGUGAUGUUGCUCCUUCUGAGCAGCCAUAGAAACAAUCCCUACAGGAAAGGCUUUCACUAAUUUCAUUGCAUAAUCUUGAUAGCUAAAUUCUUCAAAAUAUGUGAAGAGGUGAGGUGCGGUAGCAUUUUGGACAGCUGUAUUUCAUGCGGAUACGAGGCCGACUACAUCAUGUGUUCAAAGUAGUUUGCUUUAGCAAAGGUCGAAGUUUAUUGUGUGUUCUUGGGUCGAAAUUCACAUAAAAAUGGCAUAAGGUCCAUGUGUGACUGUGAUCCCACCUUGUAACAUACGGUCAUUCACAUGCAUGCCUGGAUUCAGAAUGCCAAGGUGUUAUUUAAGUGGUAGGCCUACUAUUGUGGUAAUGUUGGUUCAUUAGACUAGGACUGAAGACAUGCAUCAAAACCAUGAAAGUGUAUGACUAAUUGAUUGUUCACAAAUUGUGGAUGUAGUGAAGCUUGGGAUCGGCGGCUUCAGCAUGGGUGCAGCAACCGCCCUACACUCGGAGCAUGCUACACCCACAGAAAAUUCAGUAGUGGCGCCCCCUACCUGAUCAUGCUCAGCGCAAUCGUUAGCUUGAGUGGUUGGGUCCGUUGCUCAAAGUCAGUCAUAUGCCAAAAAUACCAGGCAUUUCUACUUGUAAUAUUGUAUAAUAAACCCUGAUGAUGUUGGUGAAUUUAGGAUUUUGAUGGGCAAGAUGGAGCGCUCACACAUGGCUGUAAGAAGAGCCACCUCCCUGCCCAUCCUUCUCAACCAUGGCAGAGGUAAUAAACAAAAAAACCUACAGGCUAGCUGCUGAUUCAAGUGGAGUAACUCAGAGAUGAAUAGCACCGCUUGUUACUGAACUCUGUGUGAUGACCUCUGCUUGUGCAGUGGACGAGUUCGUAUCCUAUAGGAAUGGCGAGCGGUCGAUCGAGUUCUUGCGGUUCUCGGGCUUCUCCUAUGUGAGUUUCAAGUCCUACAACGGGUACACAUCUUACACCAUGCCUGACAAAGCUCUUCCUCUCUUCUUCCUUCCUCAGAACAUUUACACAUGGUCUAUUUAUGCAGGUUGGGACACUACACCAUUCUCGAAGAAAUGGAUGACGCGUGCAAGUGGCUAAGCUCGCGGCUCAGCAUCGACCAAUCUUGGUAAAGAAAACAGCCAGCGCUUCCGCCAUUAUGCGUGUGCGCGCGACACGGUGGCUCCCCUAGUAAUAGCAAUAUAGCAGAGUGUAAACUAACGCAUAAAACAAUAAGUUCAAGUCGAAAUAACAAAGAAGUUCGAUGUUUCUAACAAAACUCCAUUUUCCAUAUUUCUAAAAAUACACAAAGAAGUUCAAAUAAAAUAGUAAGCGAGGUUCGAUGUCUAAUUAAACUCAUUUUUCCAUUACUAAAGCGAUACGGAAAGAUGUUAAAACUGAUUAGUGCCGUUUUCAAAUUAACCCCGAAAUAUGAACCUGACUGUUUGGUUUUAGAAAUUCCACCAUUUUUGAAAUUCCUCAUUAACCAUAGGGGAUUUGGGAAAACUUUCACCUUAUGAAAUGAGCGGAUUUGCAGCAGCUAUCCAACGCCAUCUCAUUUGCCCCAUUCCGAUAAAUGGUUUACAAAUAGGCUCGAAAAUAAGAUUCAUGUUUUUUUGUAUGACGAAAAAUAGUUUUCAAACCUGCUCUUAAACCAUGUAAAGUUUGCCAAAGUACAACCUUGGCUGUUACCAUCGUGUCCGUAGCUUUCCAACGAUAUAUUGCAUGUCUCAUUUGGAAAAUAUUAGCAGAAAUUCAACUUAGCACUCGGGAAAGGUCAACUACCACAAUCCAUGAAUGUCACAUGAAAAUCUUUUAAACCACCAUGAGUAUGAAAAAAAAGUAUCAACACGGAAAAGUUGUGUGUUUACAACAACUUUCCAUCCGUAUAUCAUUUCCUCAAUUCUCGUGAAUGGAUGAAGAGUUACUAGGAAAACCAACACCUGAAAAACAAACUGAAGUUCAUGGAGACAUGCCGAGAAGUUCACGUUCCUCACGCGGUGAAUUUUUGAACAAUGUGUUUCACGCUAUAGGCACAACGCAUGAUUGCGUUGUUUUCAAGAUUACUUAAAAAUGGCUAGGAAUCAGAGAAAACUAUAUACAUGAAAAAAUUUCACAUUUUUCGUAGAUUUUCAACGGUAUAUUUUUUGUCCCAUUUCGAUAAAGUUUGUAAAAAUUACAGCCAAAAAACUUUUUUAGCAAUUUUUAGAACUGACUUAAAACCGUAAGGAAUUGGAAAAAACAAUCUAGAUAUAAAACUUUUGAAUUUGUUCAUGUUUUCCAACGCCAUAUUCUUUGCUCCAUUUCGGCAAACCAUAGAGAAAUAAAUGCAAAAAUACAAACUCGGUACAACUUCUGUCCUUUUCUAUAAUACUUAUAAAUCGUUAAUAAUUAGAAGAAAUUUGUUUAUAUGAAAAGAUGUGUGUUUUCAUAAGCUUUCAAAUGCCAUGUCAUUUGCAUCGCUCGGACUAGCCGUUUUCAAAUUAACUCGGAAAUACUGGUCCGUCUGUUUGGUUUUAGAAUUUCCGCUUUGUUUGAAAUUCCUCUUUAACCAUAGAGAAUUUGGAAAAACUUUGAACAUAUGAAAUGAGUGGAUUUGUAGUAGCUAUCCAACGCCAUCUCAUUUGCCUCAUUGUGAUAAAUGGUUUAGAAAUAUGAUCGAAAAUACAUUUCACAUUUUUUGUAUGAACAAAAUGGUUUUCAAAACUACUCUUAAACCGUGAACAUUUUGAUAAAACCUCAACCUAUGCUGUUAUGAGGGUGCCCAUAGCUUUCAAACUAUAUAUCGCAAGCCCGAUUUGGAAACUUUUAGCGGAAGUUCAGCCUAGCACCCGAGGAAGUUCAAGUGCUAUAGUUGGGAUGAGUCAGCCUAGGAUCACAAUAGUUAUUGUCAUCCAGGGACGAAAGCGCGGUUCAAGACCAUCUUUACCGACGCAUUCCAUUAUGGAGAUUGUGUUCCUGUUUUCCCGGGAUAUGGUUUAUGAUUUGGUGAUUUGGUUUAUCCCACGCGCGGUUAACCUCACGAUUUUAUCGGGAGGUGGCGAAGUUAAGGGGGCAACAGUGGGCCUCUUGGUAUUUGAGCGGUUCAUAAAAGGUAAAACCAUCACCAUAGCCCCCCCACGCAUUCCAGGUCUCGCACCGCUGUUGCCAUCCCCAGCCUCCAAAGCUCCAAUGCUCAAGUUCUCUAUUUCCCUCCACUUCCUCGGACCCUUAUCCAAUUCCAGCCAUGGCCAGCUUGGGAUCAAAAGGCAAGAGGGAGGCCUCGUGUGUCAUAGAGAAGGACAUCGAGGAGCUAAAUAGUUCUGGUUAUCUGCCGGAGAACAUAGUCCACCAUGCUUUGGAGAAGGACCAAGUUAUCCCCACGCCUAAGGAUGUGAACAACGUAUUUUUCAUUCCUCAUUUCCUCCGGGGUUUAGGUUUUCCCCUCCACCCCUUUGUCCGGGGUAUUAUGUUCUAGUAUGGGCUAGACUUCCAUGAUCUUCCCCCAGAUUACAUAACACACAUCUUAGCUUUCAUCACAGUCUGUGAAGCAUUCUUGUGGGUACACCCCCACUUCGGCUUAUGGCUGAAAGUCCACAAUGUCAAGCCAAAAGUCCUCAAUGGCGAACAAGCUAACUGCAGGGGAGCAAUGAUUAGCAAGCUUGCUCGGGACUGGCAUAAAGAGUGCUUCUAUAUCACCAAGCUGCGCAACAUGGAAGGGGCAGCUCCUCCAGCAUUUAGAUCUAGCCCUCCCAUCCGACUUGUGUCCUAUACGGAGAAGGCCCUAGAUUGGGGGGAGGCUGCAAAGGUGAAGGCGCUCACAAAGAAAAACUCUACUAUAAUGGAAAGAAUGUCGAGCCCACCAACAUGGUCCAUAUAAUGAUGCAUCAUCGCCUUCUCCCCUGCUAACAUCGGUCCACCCCGAUGUGGAAUUACAAUCUGAAUGAUCCGACCAUUGUGCAGAACUUUUUCCGCAUUACCCUUGAGAAGUUGUGGAAGGUGUUUUUCAAGCCGCGGAAGACUUAGUUAGCCGAGGAGGAGGAUGUGGGCAUUUCCUUCCUUAACCCUAUCAGGCUGGUAAGGUUUUUGUCAUAUGCUUAGCUUUCAUCCCUACCUUUUAAUAAGGUGCUCACUUCUUCCUUCUCCCGUCCUUGCAGAUCUGGCUGAAAAAGUCCGAGUAGAUUAGCUGUCCGGAACCCUUACCCGAGGACCCAAUGACACCUUUGCUAGCAGCCAUGCUGGUCGAAAAGCCAUACACAACCCCGAGGGACAAGGACGAGAAGAAAAAAAGGGAGAAAAAGGUCCGAGAGGGUCUUCAGUCAAAGGGUCCGCCGGACACCAGGUUCGAGGAGACGUUGUCUCCCUCCAAUAUCGAGGGAGAGGAAGAAGAAGAAGACGAGGAGGAGAGUGACUCCUCCCACACGAGGAAAAUAGUGGCAUCUGAAUACAUCGAGGGAGAUCUAGAUCUCGUUGCUCCAAAGAAGCAAUGCAGGGCCCCCACGACCCUAUUCGAAGAUAUUUCAGACUCUGAUGAUGGAUCCGAGGAUUAUGCAUUCGUGCCUCAGAGGACCCUCAGGGUGAAACCCCAAGCGCGAAGAUAUUAUCAAAAAUCUAACCGUACCAUUCUUUUUAUAUGUCGUGGCUUAACGAAUAGACCUUUCUUCCGCAUUGUAGCAUAUCAUGGGACUUUCCAACUAAUCAGAUUUCAGAGGGGAUUCUUUGCCAUCCAAUCUAGCAGAAAGUGAGACUGGCUCGCACAACACACCUCCCCCAGGUAUCGAGGAGAUCGGGGAGGUGGUUUCUCGAGAGAAUCACCGAGAGCCACAAACCAUGGGUUGGGGGUGAUGAUAUCAUGGCCUAGGUUGGUACCUCGACCACAAAGGACCAGGAGGAUGACUCUCCCGACAAGAAAAAAAGGAGUGCCCGAACACUCUGGGUCCCUGCCGAAGACAAUUCCGGAGGCCCCUUGAUAACCCACAAGUAUAAGGGAUCGCAACAGUUUUCGAGGGUAGAGUAUUCAACCGAAAUUUAUUGAUUCGACACAAGGGGAGCGAAAGAAUACUCUCGAGUAUUAGCAGUUGAGUUGUAAAUUCAACCACACCUGAAAGGCUUAGUAUCUGCAGCAAAGUUUUAGUAACACAGUAGUAUGAUAGUAACGGUAGCGGAGGUAACAGUAGCAGUAGUAAUUUGUAUAGAAAGUGUGACAGGAGUAGCGGUAAAGUAACUUAGCAAGGACCAGUAUAGGAAAAGCUCGUAGGCAUUGGAUCGGUGAUGGAUUAUUAUGUCGGAUGACAUUCAUCAUGUAGCAGUUAUAACAUAUGGUGAUAUAUAGCUAGCUCCAGUUCAUCAAUGUAAUGUAGGCAUGUAUUCCGUAUUUAGUCAUACAUGCUUAUGGAAAAGAACUUGCAUGACAUCUAUUGUCCAUCCCUCCUGUGGCAGCGGGGUCUUAAUGGAAACUAAGGGAUAUUAAGGUCUCCUUUUAAUAGAGAACCGGAACAAAGCAUUAGCACAUAGUGAAUACAUGAACUCCUCAUACUAUGGUCAUCUCCGGGAGUGGUUCCGGCUAUUGUCACUCUAGGGUUGCUGGGUCAUAACACAUAGUAGGUGACUACAACUUGCAAGAUAGGAUCAAGAACACGCAUAUAUUGAUGAAAACAUAAUAGGUUCCGAUCUGAAAUCAUGGCACUCGGGCCCUAGUGACAAGCAUUAAGCAUAGCAAAGUAGUAGCAACAUCAAUCUUAGAACAUAGUGGAUACUAGGGAUCAAACCCCAUCAAAACUAACUCGAUUACAUCAUAGAUCUCAUCCAACCGAUCACCGUCCAGCAAGCCUACGAUGAGAUUACUCACGAACGAUGGAGAGCAUCAUGGAUUUGGCGACGGAGGAUGGUUGAUGAUGACGACGACGCCGAUUUCCCCUCUCCGGAGCCCAGAACGGACUCCAGGUCUGCCCUCCCGAGGAAGAAUAGGUGGUGCUGGCGGCUUCGUAUCGUGAAACGCGAUGAACUCUUCUCUCUUAAAUUUUCCUGGGCGAGAGAGACUUUAUAGAGUUGGAGUUGGAGGCUGCUGAGCUACGUGGGCCCCACGAGCCUCCGAGGCGCCCCCUGGGGGGCGCCUCCUGGGCUUGUGGGCUCCUAGCUCCGUGUCUUCGGGUAAUUCUUGCGCCAGUAUUUUUUAUAUAUUCCACAGAAAAUCCUCGUAAAUUUCCAGGUCUUUCCGAGAACUUUUAUUUCUGCACAAAAACAACACCAUGGCAAUUCUGCUGAAAACAACGUCAGUCCGGGUUAGUUCCAUUCAAAUCAUGCAAAUUAGAGUCCAAAACAAGGGAAAAAGAGUUUGGAAAAGUAGAUACGAUGGAGACGUAUCAACUCCCCCAAGCUUAAAGCCUUGCUUCUCCUCAAGCAAUUCAGUUGACAAACUGAAAGAGACAAAAGAAAAACGUUUACGAACUCUGUUUGAUCUUGUUGUUGUAAUUAUGUCUAACUCAUAUUCGUAUUUUCAGCAAGAUCAUAAGCUAACCACAUAACCAAUAACAUAUAGGUCUCAAGGUGUACACAUAUCAAUGGCAUAAUCAACUAGCGAGCAAUAAUAAUAAGUUCCAAACGUCAACACUUCAAUCAAAACAAUCAUGAUACAAUAUGAACAGAUGAUAUCUAGCUAGCCCUUUCUGAGACCGCAAAACAUAAAUGCAGAGCACCUUCAAACACCAAGGGCUGACUGAACAUUGUAAUUCAUGGCAAAGAAGAUCCAGUCACAGUCAUACUCAAUAUCAAUUAAUAGCAAAGCAUAAAAAUGACGGAGGUGCUCUCUAAUUGGUUCCUUUUAUAAGAAGAGGAUGACUCAACAGUAGUGUAAAUAGAUAGGCCCUUCGCAGAGGGAAGCAUUGAUUUGCACAGGUGCGAGAGCUCAAUCUUUUGAAACAGAGAUAAAUAAUUUUGGGUGGCAUGCUUUCAUUGUCAACGCGAUGACCAAGAGUUCUCACCAUCUUCCAUGCUACACAUAUUAUAGGCGGUUCCCAAACAGAAUAGUAAAGUUUUGACUCCCCCACCACCGAUCAAUCACACUCCACGACUAGACGAAUCCUCGGGUGCCAUCCAUACCAACAACAAUCCAGGGGGAGUUUUGUUUGCAAUUAUAUUUUCGAUUUGAUUUGAGCAUGGAACUGGGCAUUCCGAUUACCGGCCCCUUUCUCAUGAGUGAUAGUGAAUAAACACGUAUCGAGGAUAACACGUCUAGCAUGGAAGAUACUGACCGCCCCUUGUCACCACAUGAGCGGUUCGGGCAUACAAAACAGAUUAUUAUUUGAAGAUUUAUAGAGUGGCACAUGCAAAUUUACUUGGAACGGCAGGUAGAUACCGCAUAUAGGUAGGUAUGGUGGACUCAUAUGGAACAACUUUGGGUUUAUGGAAGUGAAUGCACAAGAAAUAUUCCCGCUUAGUACAAGUGAAGGCUAGCAAAAGACUAGGAAGCGACCAACUAGAGAGCGACAACAGUCAUCAAUAUGCAUUGAAAUUAACCAAUGUUGAAUGGAAGAACGAGUAGGAUAUAAAUCACCAUAAACAUGAAUAUCGUAGAGGCUAUGUUGAUUUUGUUUCAACUACAUGCGUGAACAUGUGCCAAGUCAACCCACUUGAAUCAUUCAAAGGAGGAUACCCUCCUAUUAUACUACAUCAUAAUCAUCUUGAAAUUCAUGUUGGCAUCCAAGACAAACCAUUAUAAGCUCCUAGCUAAUUAAGCAUGGCAUUAGAAACCAUGAUCUCUAAGUUGUUAUUUCAAACAUGUUUCUCUCAUAACAAUGCUAAAUUAGGAACGAUGAGCUAGUCAUAUUUACAAAAACAAAAUAGGUCGAGUUCAUACCAGCUUUUCCAGGCUCAGUAACUUCAUCAUAUAUCAUCAUUAUUGCCUUUCACUUGCACGACCGAAUGAUGUGAAUAAUAAUAAGAGUGUUCGUGCAUUGGACUAAGAUGGAAUCUGCAAACGAACUCAGAGGAGAAGACAAAGUAAUACGGGCUCUCUGACGGAUAAACAAUAAUGCAUAUGAGAGUCACUAUUCAUUUAAUCAUGGUCUUCUACCUUGACCCAAAGAAAAAGAAAACUAUUUACACGGGAAAGCUCCCAACAAGCAAAAGAAGAACAAGAAAUCUUUUUGGGUUUUCUUUUUAAUUACCACUAAGCAAGCUGGAAAGUAAACUUACAACUAUUUUUCCCCAUUUUUAAACAAACACACGAGAAGAAAGCAAGAAAAAGAAAUAAACUAGCAUGGAUGAUACAAUGGAAAAGUGUGAACACCGACUAUCAAAGUGAAUGUGUGAGCAUGAAUAUAAAGUCGGUGAAAAACACGUACUCCCCCAAGCUUUGGCUUUUGGCCUAACUUGAUCUACUCCCAACGAGGGAAGUAACCGUCUCCGGGGUACUCCGGAGUGUACUGAGGGUGCCACUGCUAGUCCGGGCGAUAUCGAAAAUCAUAAUUGGGGUUGUAGUGGGACGCGACAGCUACCGCCUAAAUAGCUGCCUCACGGAGGCGAGCAGCCUUCGCCUCCCUCUCAGACUCCUCUGCCUCUCCUCUGGUUAAGUAAUAUCUCCGUUUUCCCUGAAAGUCAAAUAAGGCAGGAGCAGGAAGGGUAAUAUGGAAAACACGCUGUCGGUUAAAUAAUAACCGGUAUAGGAGGGAUUCAUUAUCCCUCUCAAGGAACUGAUAACGUAUCAUAGCGACGGGAUCAAGGAAAGCUGUAUGGAGCAGGGGAUCUCCUAUGCGGAUGGGUAUUCCAAGAAAAUUUGCUAUGCAAGUGGCAUAGAUCCCACUAAAGAAAUCCCCUUCAUUAGCAUUAUUAUUUAGCCUCCUCGCAAUUAUAGCUCCCAUGUUGAAACUUCUAUCACCCGUUACUGCGCUCUUAAGAAUACUAAGGCCAGGUGCGCAGAGGUGACAAUGCUCAUGCUUGCCGUUAUUGCGUCUACCUAUGAAGAGGGCAAAAUAAUGUAAGGCAGGAAAAUGAAUGCUCCCCAUGGUAGCGUGCGUAAUAUCUCUAGUUUCUCCAAUAGUUAAACUAGAAAUAAAAUCUCUAACCGAAGACUUAGGAGGGUCAUUGGACUACCCCAAUCAGGUAUCUUGCAAAUUCUAUUAAAAUCCUCUAAAUCCAUAGUAUACGAUUUGUCAUAAGAUAGAACAGUAUGGAUGUGUCACGACCAACUGAAAAUUUGAAUCUACGAAUAAAGGAGGUAGCGAGUGUAGUAUAAUGUUCACAUUUAUUGGAGGUGAAUUCUUUGAGCCCGGCGUUGCGAACAAAUGUAUCAAACUCGUUCUUGAAACCUGCAUCAAUCAUGAAUUCAUCGGAAGGCCAUUCACAUGGUUACAACGGUGCGUUCCUCGGCUGAAAAGGAUCGGGGUCCCGAAUUGCGAGACGGAAACCCCUUUUGCUUGAGGAACCACCAUGAUAGUUUUUCCUGAACAUCUUCCUUUUUCUGAAAUUUUUAGUGACUCAAAAUAAAAGUGAACAAGGCUUAACAAAACUCAUAGCAACUACUCCUACAAGUGCCUAGAGGCCAUAUCAUGCAUCAAAACUACUUGGGACCAACUAAAAUUAACAUGCAAAGCUCAAGAACAGGGUCACCAAGGCAGCAAUAAUAUGCAAUGAAUAAAGCACUAGAACAAAAACUAAUUGGAUCAAUGGAGGAGUCACAUACCAAGGAACAAUUCCCCAAAACAGUUUGGUGAAUGGGGCUUUGCACAAGGAGAUCGAAAAAUGCAGCAAAAUGAGCAAGAACACGGGUUUGAGCUGUGGAAUGAUUUUUUCUGGAGGUAGACGAAGGAGAUGGGUGCUGGAAUAAGUGGAGGGGGCCACGUGGGACCCACGAGCCUGCCAGGUGCGCCCAUGGGGGUGGGCGCACCUCCUGGGCUCGUGGCCCACUGGUACAUCCCCCUGACUAGUUAUCUAUCUCAGAAAUUUUUAAAUAUUCCAAAAAAAAUCAUACUUGAAUUUCAGGGCAUUUGGAGAACUCUUAUUUUCAGGUCACUUUUCUAUGGAACGGAAAACACGGAAAACAGGAAAGUAAAGCUAAAUCUAUUAUUUUUCUACUAAACAACAGAAAGUAAAAGUUGGGAACAGAAGGUUGUGACUUCUAGAUUUAUCCAUCUCAUGGUCAUCAAAAGAAAUUCAUCAAUGAGGUUGAUCAAGUCUCCUUGACAAACUUUUUUCGAAUCAUAUAAAACCGGAGAAUUUUCGAAUAAUCACUAGGUUACCUCAACGGGGAUGUGCAUAUCCCCAACAAGUAUAUCAUAUUUCAUCUUGACAGUAGGAAUAGGGCAUUCAAAGCUUCCAAUAAUAAUCGAUGAAGAUUUUUCAAUAGCAUUUAUGCAAUGAACUCGAUAUUGUUUCUUCGGAAAGUACACCGUGUGCUCAUUACAAUUAACAUGGAAAGUGACAUUGCCUUUGUUGCAAUCAAUGACAGCCCCUGCAGUGUUUAAAAAGGGUCUUCCAAGGAUGACCGCCAUGGCAUCAUCCUCGGGAAUAUCAACAAUAACAAAGUCUGUUAAGAUAGUAACGUUCGCAACCACAACAGGCACAUCCUCGCAAAUGCCGAUAGGUAAAGCAGUUGAUUUGUCGGCCAUUUGCAAAGACAUUUCAGUAGGUGUCAACUUAUCCAAUUCAAGUCUACGAUAUAAAGAGAGAGGCAUAACACUAACACCGGCUCGAAGAUCACAUAAAGCAGUUCUAACAUAAUUUCCUUUAAUGGAGCAAGGUAUAGUGGGCACUCCGGGAUCACCUAGUUUCUUAGGAGUCCCACCCUUAAAAGUGUAAUUAGCAAGCAUGGUGGAAAUCUCAACAUCAGGUAUCUUCCUUUUAUUAGUCACAAUAUCUUUCAUGUACUUAGCAUAAGGAGACAUUUUAAGCAUAUCAGUCAAACGCAUUUGCAAAAACAUAGGUCUAAUCAUUUUAACAAAGCGCUCAAAAUCCUCAUCAUCCUUUUUCUUGGAUGGUUUGGAAGGAAAGGGCAUGGGUUUCUGAACCCAUGCUUCUCUUUCCUUACCAUGCUUCCUAGCAAUAAAAUCAUUCUUAUCAUAUCUCUUGUUCUUAGGUUGUGCGUUAUCAAGAUCAACAGCAGGUUCAAUCUCCACAUCGUUAUCAUUACUAGGUUGAGCAUCAACAUGAACAUCAUUAUCUAUAUUAUCACUAGGCUCAUGUUCAUCACCAGAUUGUGUUUCGGCAUCAGAAAUAGAGACAUCAUUUGGAUUCUCAGGUGUAGCACCAACAUGUUUGCUAGCAUGCAAGUUCCUAUCAUCUUUCUUUUUCUUCCUAUUACCAGGAUGACUAGGUGCAUCAGUGUUAACUCCUUGAGAAUCUUGUUCAAUUCUCUUAGGAUGGUCCUCUGGAUACAAAGGUUCCUGAGUCAUUCUACCACCUCUAGUAACAACUCUAACAGAAUUGUCAUUCAACUCAUUAAGCAAGUCAUUUUGAGCCUUAAGUACUUGUUCUACUUGAGUAGUGACCAUAGAAGCAUGUUUACCAAUAAGCUUAAGAUCAUUAACAUUUCUAUCCACACAAGCACUUAUAUGAUUAAUCAUACGAGCAUUUUGUUGCAGUUGUCUGCUAACAUAAUCAUUAAAACUUUGUUGUUUGGCAACAAAGUUAUCAAAUUCAUCUAAGCAUAAGCUAGCAGGUUUAUCAUAAGGAAUAUCACUCUCAUUGAAUCUACGAAGAGAAUUUACCUCUACUACAUGUGUCGGGUUAUCAUGACCAUGUAUUUCUUCAAUAGGUGGUAGAUUCUUAACAUCUUCAGAUUUAAUACCUUUCUCUUGCAUAGAUUUCUUGGCUUCUUGCAUAUCUUCAGGACCGAGGAAUAAAAUACCUCUUUUCUUCGGAGUUGGCUUCAGAGGUGGUUCAGGAAUAGUCCAAGCAUUAUCAUUUCUCAAGAUAUUAUUCAAUAGAAUUUCAGCUUGUUCCACAGUUCGUUCCCUAAAAACACAACCAACACAACUAUCUAGGUGGUCCCUAGAAGCAUCGUUAGUCCAUUAUAAAAGAUAUCAAGUAUUUCAUUUUUCUCAACAGGAUGAUCAGGCAAAGCAUUAAGUAACUGGACAAGCCUCCCCCAAGCUUGUGGGAUACUCUCUUCUUGAAUUUGCGCAAAGUUAUAUAUAUCCUGCAAGGCAGCUUGUUUCUUAUGGGCAGGAAAUAUUUCUCAGAGAAGUAGUAUAUCAUAUCCUGGGGACUACGCACACAACCAAGAGAAAGAGAAGUAAACCAUGUUUUAGCAUCACCCUUUAGUGAGAAAGGAAACAACUUAAGGAUACAGUAAUGGCGAUUUUUUUCCUCAUUAGUGAAUGGGGUGGCUAUGUCAUUCAGUUUAGUAAGAUGUGCUACAACAGUUUCAGAUUCAUAACCAUGAAAAGGAUCAGAUUCAACCAAAGUGAUCAACUCAGGAUCGACAGAGAAUUCAUAAUCCUUAAUGGUAACAAAGAUGGGUGAAGUAGCAAACUUAGGAUCAUAUUUCAUUCUAGCAUUCAGAGAUUUUUCUUUCCACUUGCGUAAUAAAAUCUCAAGAUCAUAGCUAUCCUUACAAGCAAGAAAGUCUUCAGCUACCUCUCCCUCCAUAACAUAACCCUUAGGUAUAUCAGGCAAUUCAUAUCUAGGAGAGCUAGGUCUAACAGGUGAAACAACAGGUUCCAAUUCAAUAAUUUCAUGAGUUUCAGAAGUAUCAUCAGAUUCAGCAGUAACUCUAGCAAAUUAUGCAUCAAGAAAUUCACCUAGUGGCAUAUCAUUAUCAAGCAAAGCAUCAUCAUAAGCAUCAUGGAUAGCAGAAGUAGCAUUAUCAAGCACAUGCGACAUAUCAGAAUUACUAGUAUGUGGUGGUGUCACAAAUUUACUCAUAACUCAAGGUGAAUCAAGUGCAGAGAUAGAUGGCAGUUCCUUACGUGUCCUCAUAGUUGAGGGCAAGACUUUAGUUUUUGGAUCUCUCGAAUUCCUCAUAGUGAUCAACAUAUAUAAAUCCCAAGUGACUUAGAGAAUAGAGCUAUGCUCCCCGGCAACGGCGCCAGAAAAAGGUCUUGAUAACCCACAAGUAUAGGGGAUCGCAACAGUUUUUGAGGGUAGAGUAUUCAACCCAAAUUUAUUGAUUCGACACAAGGGGAGCCAAAGAAUACUCUCGAGUAUUAGCAGUUGAGUUUUCAAUUCAACCACACCUGAAAGACUUAGUACCUGUAGCAAAGUUUUAGUAACAGAGUAGUAUGAUAGUAACGGUAGCGGCGGUAACAGUAGCAGUAGUAAUUUGUAUAUCAAGUGUGAGAGGAGUAGCGGUAAAGGUACUUAGCAAGGACCAGUAUAGAAAAAGCUCGUAGGCAUUGGAUCGGUGAUGGAUUAUUAUGUCGGAUGACAUUCAUCAUGUAGCAGUUAUAACAUAGGGUGAUACAUAACUAGCUCCAGUUCGUCAAUGUAAUGUAGGUAUGUAUUCCGUAUUUAGUCAUACAUGCUUAUGGAAAAGAACUUGCAUGGCAUCUAUUAUCCAUCCCUCCCGUGGCAGCGGGGUCCUAAUGGAAACUAAGGUAUAUUAAGGUCUCCUUUUAAUAGAGAACCGGAACAAAGCAUUAGCACAUAGUGAAUACAUGAACUCCUCAUACUAUGGUCAUCUCCGGGAGUGGUUCCGGAUAUUGUCACUCCGGGGUUGCCAGGUCAUAACACAUAGUAGGUGACUACAACUUGCAAGAUAGGAUCAAGAACACGCAUAUAUUGAUGAAAACAUAAUAGGUUCCAAUCUGAAAUCAUGGCACUNNNNNNNNNNNNNNNNNNNNNNNNNNNNNNNNNNNNNNNNNNNNNNNNNNNNNNNNNNNNNNNNNNNNNNNNNNNNNNNNNNNNNNNNNNNNNNNNNNNNNNNNNNNNNNNNNNNNNNNNNNNNNNNNNNNNNNNNNNNNNNNNNNNNNNNNNNNNNNNNNNNNNNNNNNNNNNNNNNNNNNNNNNNNNNNNNNNNNNNNNNNNNNNNNNCAUAGAUCUCAUCCAACCCAUCACCGUCCAGCAAGCCUACAAUGAGAUUACUCACGAACGAUGGAGGGCAUCAUGGAUUUGGCGAUGGAGGAUGGUUGAUGAUGACGACGGCGUCGAUUUCCCCUCUCCGGAGCCCAGAACGGACUCCAGAUCUGCCCUCCCGAGGAAGAACAGGUGGUGGCGGCGGCUCCAUAUCGUGAAACGCGAUGAACUCUUUUCUCUUAAUUUUUCCUGGGCGAGAGAGACUUUAUAGAGUUGAAGUUAGAGGCUGUGGAGCUAUGUGGGCCCCACGAGCCUGCCUGGCGCGCCCUAGGGGGAGGCGCCUCCUGGGCUCGUGGGCUCCUGGAUCCGUGUCUUCGGGUAAUUCUUGCGCCAGUAUUUUUUAUAUAUUCCACAAUAAAUCCUCGUAAAUUUCCAGGUCAUUCCGAGAAAUUUUAUUUCUGCACAAAAACAACACCAUGACAAUUCUGUUGAAAACAACGUUAGUUCGGGUUAGUUCCAUUCAAAUAAGGCAAAUUAGAGUCCAAAGCAAGGGCAAAAGAGUUUGGAAAAGUAGAUAUGAUGGAGAGACGUAUACCCUCAGUCUCCGGAGCCAUCAGUACCAGUUUCUCCAUGAAGGGAAAUUGCUAUGCCGCACUCGGAGCCGUCCAAAAUAGAGCACCUCUGAACUGGGGUGGCAGACCAUGAUGGAGGAGGGUCUAAAUGACUCUUCCAUCCCCGAAGAGCACUGCGCUCAUCUAAGCACGGUAUUGAAAAGUAUCCACUCCAUUAACUGCGGUUUGAAAGAGGGCUUCGACGGUCUGCGGAAGGCUUCAAGGUAGUCCUCACACUCUUUUUUCCUCACAAACUAAUUGUAUUUCUUGUAAUGUUUAUAAGCAAUCCAAUGCUUAGUAGCCCCUGAACUUUGUGUGAGUUAUGAAAAAACUCAUGCGGGGGUGAGAGUAGUUCGGAAAACAUCCCUAAAAAAGUUGUUCAUAGCCCCCAAGACUCUGGUAGGAUGAUAAAAAGACCCCAACACAGGAUUUCAAAAAAUCUAAGAACUUUGAGAGUCUAAAAUGUCUAUCUGCACGCCUAAACCUUGGCAGAAGCUCCCAACACCAUGGAGUUGGCAAAAAUGAAUCGAAAACUGAAGAUUUCCGAGGAAGAGCUCGAUUGUCUCAAUAAGCGGUUUGAUGACGCACAAGGUAAGCAUUGAACGCUUAGUUUUCACAUAAAAAUGAGGUUUUUAAUAUUUUCUCCCUUAAGUGUGACUUAUUUGCAUGACAAUCAUAGUUGCUACUGCUGCCAUCGAGAGGCUCAAAGCCGAACUGUGCAAGGCCAAGCAGGAAGGUGUCGAAUAGAGAGAGGUAGUCAGACAGGUUGCGGUCGACCAGUUGACGGUCAAGUCUGCCAGCGACAUGCGCGCGUCCAGGGUCACUUAGGUGCAACAAGUGCUCAAGGAUGUCGUCACUAAAAAUGAGGUCCUUGGGCAGAAAAAUAAAGAAAAAUCUUCCGAGAUGUCCUCAGCAAAUACCACUGUCCAAGAAGCACGGUAGGAGGCACACAGUCAUCGGAAGGAGAUCCAUCAGAUCAAGCAAAUUGCACGUGGUAGGAGAUAUUUACUGCAAUGUAUUUUCGGUAGGAAAAGGUUUGCAUUACUUACUCGGGUGUGGCAUUCUGCAAGCACGUUUGUGGAUCUCUCGAAGAGUGCGUUCGAUGCCUUGAAGCAUUAUGCAUCCCAAGAGGGUGAAGCCGAGAAAAGGCUAUUCUGGGCACAGUUUCAAGCCCCGGGCAACCCCUUCUUGUCUCCAAUCAGCUGAAAUAACCAAUGGAGCUCCACAAGAUGGCAGAGCAGGCAAUGGAGGAUCUUUGUAUUAGGCUUUGACCAAUAGAGCCGCUGCCCAGCAGCUAUUUUGGUGUGGUGCAGAAGCUGAUUGCUCAUGCGCCCUAGACUGACAUCAUGAAGCGCUCUAUUUGCAUCGAGGGAGCUCGGAUGGCCUUUGCAAGAAUCAUGAUACAUUGGCUAAAAGUGGAACCCUCCAAGAUGGCCGCCGCGCCUCCGCUGCCUGGGAAAGAACAUAGACGCCCCGAGCUAUACUUCUCCACUGUAAUGGAAGGCGCUCAGGCUAUAGAAGCGUAGUGCUUCACAGAUGUAAUCUUUGUAUGAAAACCUUAUCUUGUAAAAGUGGUUAAAUUAAAGCGAGUGAACGAUGUUCGGCCAAGGAGUGCAUGAUACCCACUAUGGAAGGGAACAAUGUCUAAGAUCAAGUCUUCUUUGUGAAAGUUGUUGCGCGAACCGAACACCACUUCGAGAGUUCUGUGCCUCAACAGCGGGCCUCAACGCUAGGGAUUAUUCCUUUAAAGGUGAUGUUGCUGGGUUUGAUUCAUGACGGGUCAAUACCCAUUUUUCUCACUGGCUGCAUAAAUUAGAUUGAGGUUGUUGCCUCCGUCCAUGAGGACUCUAGUGAGAUGACACCCAUCUACGAUGGGGUCGAGCACCAAGGCUGCCGAACCCCCAUGCCGAAUACUGGUUGGGUGAUCCGUGCGGUCAUUAGUGACCGGACAUGCCGACCAUGGAUUUUACUUCGGGGCAACUCUCUCUAUGGGUUAUACGUCCCGGAGUGCCCGCUUUCUCUCAUUUUUAGUAUGUGCUUGACAUAGAUCGUGUUCAUGGUUCUCACUUCAGGGGGAAACUUCUUUUGGCCCUCGUUCUUCAACCGACAAGGUUCUUCAUUGUCCUCGUUGUGGGGGCUCUUGCCUUGGUCCUCGGCUAUGUUCUUGCUCGCCUGCUUGAUCACCCAACAGUUAUGGUUGGUGUGAGUAGCGGGCUUGUUUUGGGUGUCGUGGAUCUAGCAAGGUCUGUCAAGUAUUUUCUCCAGCGCGGUCGGGCCUUCUCGAUUUCCUUUAGAAGGUUUCUUCCUUGGUCCAGACCUGGAGUUGUUGAAUCCAACAUUAAUUGUCGUGUCAUCGACUUCACCACCGUUGUCUCGACGCUUGUUCUUGUUGCGCCGUGGCUUUCCAUUGCCAUCCCAGACUGAAGAAGUGUCAGAGUUUGCAGGAGGGCUGUUCUGAUGGGCUAGCCAAGUAUCCUCGCCCACACAAAAGCGGAUCAUGAGCGAGGUAAGGGCGGCCAUUAUCCUCGGCCUCUCUUGUCCGAGCAUCCGAGCUAACCAUUCAUCUUGCAUAUUGUUUUGGAAAGAAGCCAAUGCCUCAGUGUCCGAAAAAUCAACAAUUUGAUUUUUCUUAGUGGGGAAUCGAUUCCAGAAUUGUCGGGUUGGUUCAUCUUCUUGUUGAAUGAUGUGGCUCAAGUCAUCGGACCCAGGUGGUCAGACAUAAGUGCCUUAAAAAUUGUCUCGGAAAGCGUCUUUGAGCUCUUCCCAACUCCAAGUGGAGUUUUUAGGUAGGUUGUUUAACCAUUGCCUUGCUGUCCCUUUGAGCUUUAAUUGUAGGUACUUGAUGGCGUGGGGUCGUUUCAAUGAGCCAUGUGAAUGUGAAGAAGGAAAUCCUCAAUCCGUACAGACGGGUCUAUUGUCCCAUCGUAUUGCUCUCUGUUUACGGGUUUAAAACCUUCGGGGAACUAAUGCUGCAUCACCUCAUCUUUGAAGCACAUUCAAUGAGCGGCACAUGUUAUCCUAGAUGUAUCAUGGUGGAGGUCGGAUGGAAUCUUGCCCGUUGCUGUUCCCAAACACCAUCAUUCUGAUCAAGCCGAGCUUGGUACCCAUCCCAUCUAGCGGGGGUGUAACCUCUAGAUCCGUAAAUAGAUCUUGAAUUUCCUAUUCUAGCAUUAAUAUUGUGUCACGAGUCAAACAGAUCUUCGGGCUAAGCCGACUCUCUUCUCCUUCUGCGCGGGUACUCAAGGUGGUCUCCGUGCUCUCCACUUUUCCUGUCAUGUCCCGUCCUCGAGGGGGACGGUUCGAUUGGUCGCCUUGUGCGAAUAUGGGCGGUGCAGGAUCCAAGGCUCGUCUUCAAACUUUGGCACCAAGCGGCGACGUGAGUAGCUUUUAUUUUUCCCGUCGUUGCUGGCCAUACUCUUCUUUGGUGGCUAGGACUUUAGUCCAUCUUUCAUUGAUGGAGUCCUGCUCGGCUUUAAUUUGCCUAUGUUUUAACUUGAGGCUCCAAGCAGUGGCUAUGAGCUGCCGCUUGAAUACCUCUUGAUCCAGCGGGUCUUCGGGGACGAUGAAAUCCUCGUCUCCCAAGCUCUCCUCCUCUUCGACCGGAGGGAGGCAGUUGUUGUCUUCGGAAUCGUCGAGAUCCUCAAGCUUGUCUGGCUCCUGUGAUCCGACAUAUCAUCUUGGUUGUUUUUGGGUCCGUGGGUUUGACGAGAUUUUUCGUGCCACCAAGGGUGGGGUUAUCUCCGGUUCCCACAUUACUUUCCUUUCCCUUAUGAGCUUUAGUAUUUUUGCACUAGUAAUGGUGCUUGAUGGGUUAGUCACCAUUGUUUUUGACUGGUGUGUCCUCAUCUCUCUUCCAUGUGACUCCAUCAUCUUUAGGGUGUCCACCAUGUACAUGUCAUACGUGAAAGUGGCAGUCCAUCAUCUAGUAGUGGGAAGAAUAGGUGAUUAGACAACCGUGUCAAUUUCUUCGGCUUCCUCCAAGGAGAAGUCUAACAGGUCGGUUAGAUCCUCCAUAGUUUCUAUGAAUUGGGUGGUGGGUGGGGAAUAAAGUUCCCUGCACCUGAACUCAGGUCCAGAAGGGUCACAGAUCAGGGUUCAGUUGUCCAAAAUAUCCAGGGUUCAAGUUCGGAUCGGUGUAUCGUUUGAAAAUGGGAGAUUGUCCAGAGUAGUCCUCAGAAUUCUGGCAUAGUUGACCUAUGGUGCGUCAGCACAGGGAGUGUGUACAUGCGAGGUUACCCCCGGGCAUUUGAACACAAUAGUCAGAUCUGGGCUCAAGGCUGAAUCUGAGGUAGGCACUAUCCUGGACUCAAGGUCGGGGAAAGGACUCGAAGUUAAGGCUUCAGGGUUUCCGGAGUCUUCAGCAAAAGCCGAGAUCUUGGCGAGGAUCAGACCGCCUUGGCUGUCGGCGACAUAAUCUAAGCCACCAAACUUAAAUAUUUAGCCCACAGCGAACCCAUCGAUCUGGUGAUGAACCGCCUUGACACACGGGACAGUACAACCAAAAGCAGAAAGUUGGUCGGGGACGAUGAUAUCCUCAAUGUUAAUGUCUUCACUAGUGAUCGAGCGAGCCAUUGAUCCUUAUGACGAUCCUCCAGCAGAACUCUCAAUGAAAGCACCGAUGUCGGUAUCAAAACCGACAAAUCUCGAGUAGGGGUCCGAACUGUGGAUCUUUGAUCGAUGGGUAAGAAGAGACAAGGGAGACGAUGUUUACCGGCGUUCGGGCCAUCUUGACGGAAGUAAAGCCCUACGUCCCACCCUUGUUAUAUUGAUGGGGUUGCAGAGACUAUACGGUUCAUCUAGUUUGAGAUCGCAUAUUGUGGUCGAAAUCCUAACAGUAAGGGGCUUAAUAUUUCCUCCGAACUAUGCCCCUUGUUUAUAUAGUUACAUGGGCCUUAGGAUUACACAAUGUCAGUUACAUUAGGGAAGGAAUAUGCUCAUAGCUAGAUGGCCUUGGAUUACACGCCGGACUCCCUCAAUAGUCAUGGCCAUCAUGGGAUCCGGCAACUCCAAUGCCGACAAGGAAGCCAAGAAGGAUAACUCCGGCAAAUAAGUUGUCGCAUGCUUGUGUGAUGACGAAGCCGCGGCUAGCAAGAAGGAGUGCCAACAAGUUGAUCAACUUGCUGAAAAACAGAAGCAAAAGUAUGAGAAGCGCGAUAAGGAGAAAGCCUAGGAUGGUGCCAGUGGGUCCAACCAGAAAAACCAUGGCGACCGCAGAGGGUAUCGCGGCAAGGCCAAGCAGUAGAAGGAGAAGCUUGCUAGAGGUCGUGACAAGAAGGAAGGCAAAGAGAUUAACGGUAGACGAUGAAGAGUCCAAUGAUGGAGAAUUCCAACACGCGACACACGCCAUGUGCAUUUACGAAGGUGCAUCUUUGCACUCCACUCGCCGGCAGCUCAAGGAGUGGGACGGGAGAUCAAUGCAGCGGAACUGAAAAUGGAGGCGCAAAAUCCAUUCUAGUGGUCCAACACACCCAUCAUCUUUGACGCCAAGGACCAUCCUGAAUGCACCAUGGCGGUCGGGUGUUUGUCUUUGUUGGUUUCACCAACAAUAUGCAACCUCAAGGUGACUAAGAUGCUGGUUGGCACUGGGGUCGUCUUGAACUUGAUUUUCCUAGAGGUAAUUGAUAACCCACAAGUAUAGGGGAUCAAUUGUAGCUUUUCUUGAUAAGUAAGAGUGUCGGACCCAACGAGGAGCUAAAGGUAGGAAAAAUAUUCCCUCAAGUUCUAUCGACCACCGGUACAACUCUACGCACACUUUACGUUCGCUUUACCUAGAACAAGUAUGAAACUAGAAGUACUUUGUAGGAGUGAUAGGAUAGGCUUGCAAGAAAGUAAAGAACACGUAAAUAAAACUAGGGGCUGGUUAGAUAAAGAAACAACUACGAGUGUCUAACGAGUGUGGAAAAGUGGUGGUAGGAGUUGCGGAAUUGUCCCUAAGCAAUUGACUACGUUACUAGAUCGAUAGCAAGUAUCAUGUGGGAGAGGCCUCUGCUACCAUGUCAUCCCUUACUUGGAAUUCUAUGCACUUAUGAUUGGAACUAUUAGCAAGCGUCCGCAACUACUAAUGUUCAUUAAGGUAAAACCCAACCAUAGCAAUAAGAUAUAUUGGUCCCCCUUCAAUCCCAUAUGCAUCAAUUUCUAUGCUAGGUUUGAAGCUUCUGUAACUCUAGCUUGCCAAUACAUAGUCCUAUCAACAUACAACUAACCCUAUGGUGUGAUCCAUGCGCGCGAUCAUAUGAUGGGCACCAAAGGACAACAACAUAACCACAAGCAAAUUAAACCAAUCAUAGCAAUUCAUUAAUCACCGAUAGGACAACGAUAAUCUACUCAGACAUCACAGGAGAGCAACACAUCAUUGGAUAAUAAUAUGUAGCAUAAAGCACCAUGUUCAAGUAGAGGGUACAACGGGGUGCGGGAGAGUGAACCGCUGAAUAUAGAUGGGGGAAGAUGAUGGAGAUGUUGGUGAAGAUGACGGAGGUGUUGGUGUAGAUCCCCGUCACACGAUGAUGUCCCAGGCGGCGUUCCGGCGCCGCCGGGAGAGAGGGGGAGAGAGCCCCCUCCUUCUUCUUCUUCCUUGACCACCUCCCUAGAUGGGAGAAGGGUUUCCCCUCUGGUCCAUGGUCUCCAUGGCGGUGGAGGGGCGAGAGCCCCUCCGAGAUUGGAUCUCUCUCUCUGUGUCCUUCUGUUUGUGCGCUCCAAGAUUCUGCGUUUCACCGUUUCUUAAAUUCCCGGAGAUCCCUAACUCCGAUUUGGCUGAAAUUUUAACACGAUUUUCUUCCAGAUAUUAUCUUCUUGCGGCGAAAGAAGGGCACCAACCGCCUUAAGGAGUGGCCACAAGCCUGCCAGCCACGGGCCCACCCCCUGGCCGCGGCUGGUGGGCUUGUGGGCACUCCGUGCACCGUCUCACAUUGAUUCUUCUUCCCAAAAAUCAUAAAUAUUCCAAAAAUCAUUCCUGUAAAUUAUUAUUGCGUUUGGACUUCGUUUGGUAUGGAUAUUCUGCAAAACAAAAAACAUGCAACAAACAGGAACUGACACUGGGCACUGGAUCAAUAUGUUAGUCCCAAAAAUAGUAUAAAAAGUUGCCAAAAGUAUAUGAAAGUUGUAGAAUAUUGGCAUGAAACAAUCAAAAAUUAUAGAUACGACGGAGACGUAUCAUUAACCAAGAGGUUGAAAAUCAUUACGAGGACAUCAAGAAGACAGAUACAUUCCAAGGAAUCAAUCCAGGGAGAAGCCAACCCAGGGAAAAAUCACCUUGCCGGUGAUGUUUGGAAGUGAGCUCAACUUUAGGCUGGAGAAGAUUGUCAUCGACGUUGUCAAGAUACCGCUGCCGUAAAAACAAUCCUUGGUCGGCCGGUUGUGGUGAAAUUCACAGUAGUGUCCCGCUAUGCCUACAACACAUUGAAGUUGCCAGGCCUGAUAAGACUCAUCACCAUCCAUUCCGAGAAGAAGGACACAGUUCUUUGUGCUCACAAGCUCUACUGGUAAGUAGUUGCAGCAUCUGGCGACAAGGGGCUUGCUCAUGCCAAUAAGGCUCUCGAGGGAAAGAAAGAUAAGAAGACCGACCAGACCUCUAGCAAGGACUCCAGGAAGCACACCAUAGAGUGCAGCUCACCCGUUGAGGACGUGUCAGAGAGCUCUCUCGCAAAAAGCAAUAAAUCCAAGGUGGCUACUCCAAAGAUGAAGCAAGUUUCUACAAGGGAGGAUGACUCGGGCGGCAGUUUCUGUUGGAGAUAUGCCCUAGAGGAAAUCAUGUAUGAUGGUAUUUCCUAUGUGUUUAUCAAUAAAGAUACUCCUUGGACAUUAUAAAUGAUGUGUAUCAACAAGUACGUGACUUGUUUGUGAGUCAAUGCAUUCUAUGAUGACUCUCCUAAAUGGCCCCUAGUCGAAAGGGUUGUGAGGACGUGCAACCAAUCAGACUAGCAUAUGAAAUAGUGGGUGGUUCGGUCUCACUAACCAUGUAGCAUUGGAUGCUAGUCGGAUAAUAUGGAUGCAGAAAGAUCCGAUCGGAUUCGAUGUAGUAGGAUCCGAGCCAAGAUAAGGGCUGAGUUGGAUAGACCCAACCAUGAGAUACAACGAUUGGUCAUGUGUGAGUCUCUAGUACAAUAUACAUUCUAUGUCCAAAAUCUGAAAUGGCGCAAAUACUCGAAAUGGUGACACACCUGCUUUGGUCCGACCAAAUGCUACUCCGUGAGUAGGUUGUUACAAAGGUAGGUUUCUUCGGGCUUGUCCAGACCCAUGUUGCGAGAUAUGGUCGAGCAAGAUGGGAUUUGCCCCUCUAAUCAGGAGAGAUAUACUCUAGGCCCCUUGGGUGAUCCAACCUCGAUAAGUGACGCUUGUGAUAUGCGUUAGGAUUCUCGUCAAGAAGAACGAGUUAUCACAACAUAAAUUGGGUAAGUAUUUCCCUCUGUUAUUAAACCAAGGUUUAUAGAACCAAUAGGAAUAUCAACCACGACCACCUUCAAUGGUUGCACACAAAAGAACAAACAAUGUGCAUCCAAUGUGGGUAAGAGGGUUGUCAAUCCUCUUGUCUUGUCAUUUGCAAGCAAUUGAGGUGGGUACAAAAUUGUAGAUGUCGAGAUAAAAUAAAAUAAAGUAAAUAACAACAAGUUAAUAAAGGUUUUAUCAAUAUGUUGUGAAUAGACCUGGGGGCCAUAGCUUUCCCUAAUGGCAUCUCUCAUGAAAAAUAGCAUGCAGCGGGUAAACAAAUAACUAUUGAGCAAUUGAUAGAAAAGUGGAUAGUUAUGCGAUAUUCACAGCAAUGAUCAUGUGUAUAUAGGUAUCAAGUCGAUGAGCAAAUACGCCGAUUCCUGCCUGCACCUAUUACUAUUACUCCACUCAUCAACCGCUAUCCAACAUGCAUCUAGAGUAUUAAGUAAAACAGAGUAAUGCAUGGAGAACAAUGACAUGAUGUAGACAAAGUAAACACAAGCAAUAUGAAUAAACUCCAUUGUUUUAUCCUUAGUAGCAGCAACACAAAGACACAAAUUAUCCCCUUCCUUCACUAGGAUAUAGAAAUUCGCCAGGUUGAACCUACCACAACGCGCCUCUCCCAUCGAAGAAAUAUCGAUCUAGUUGGCCAAGCUAUUUCAAUAUAUCGGAGAGAAUUAUGAAGCUAUCAUAAUCAUGCACAUAAGAAUCAUAUAAGUAUUCAGAAGUGACUCAAAUAUUUAUCAUGAAUAAUGUGAACAUAAACCCACAAUUCAUUUGAUCCCAACAAAUGCACCGCACAAAAGGAAUUACAUCAUGUGAAUCAAAGUGAAGAUGCAAUGAUCAUUGUAUUGAAGAUAAGGAGAGAGAGAUUGCCAUCUUGACAGUGACUAUGGACUCGUGGGUCUAUGGUGAACUGCUCACACAUCAUCGUGAGGGCAUCAAGGUUGAUGAAGUGGCCCUCCAUGACCGAUCCCCCUCCGAGAGGGUGCCAGAACGGAGCUCCAGAUGGCCUCCCAUCGGAAUAGAGACUUGCUGUGGCGUAUGAAGUGUUUUUGGGACUCCCUGUGGUGUUUUUAGGGUAGAUGAGAAUUUAUAAGACAAACAACGGAGUCGGGAGGGCCACGAGGGAAGAACAAGCCGUCAGCCCCCCUCCCAUCGCCAGGUCGCACCCUGUUGGCUUGUGGGCCCCUCAUGAGGCCUCGAGCCUUGUGCCCGUUGCUCGUUGGUCUUCUUUUGGUCCAGAAAAAAUCGCCAAAAAGUUUCAGGGCAAUUGGACUUCGUGUCGUAUGGAAAACCUGAAAAUUGAAAAACACACAGAAAACAACAACUUGCACUGGGCACCGGGUAUAUAGGUUAGUGCUAAAAAAGAAUGGUAAAUAAGUACCUCAACAGUAUUCUAGAAUAAUAGUAUAUCAACAUGGAUCAAUAAAAAAUUAUAGAUACAUUGGAGAAGUAUCAAGCAUCCCCAAGCUUAAUUCCUGCUCGUCCUCGAGUAGGUAAAUGAUAAAAACAGAACUUUGAUGUCACAUGCAAUCCAUGAUGUAACCUUAUGCAUGUAUGCUCAUUGAGAAAUGAUGAAUUAACAAACAUUAACAUAGUAAUACUUAUAGGUAUAAGCAACGAAUCAUUAAUCUUUCAAAGUAUACAAUCAUCAAAGAUUGUUUUAGCCCCAUCCAUCUUUAUUGUAUUAGCAAGGCAUGACUCCAUAUUCACCAGAUUAAUAUACAAAUGUCAAGCACCAUGGUGUCCAAGUUAGGCAAUUGGAUCGUACUUUUCCGAUAUGCAUCAAUUUUGUAUUCUUCACGCAAUACAUGAGUGUGAACCAUUGGACAUAGCAUAAAGGUGGAAAAGAAUUUGGUGGUAGGUUUCAAAGGGGUAAAAGUGGAGAAGAUAGUCCCACAUCAACCAGGCAUACCAACGAGCUAUGGAGAUGCCCGUCGAUAGAUAUCGAUGCGAGGAGUAGGGAUUGCCAUGCAAAUGAUGCGCAAGAGAUAUAAGUGUAUGAAACCUCCACCGAAGCUAAGUGGGGGUGUGCAUCCAACUUGCUUGCUCAUGAAGACCUCGGGCAAUUGACAAAUCCCGUCAUCACAAUAUACAAGCCAAGUUUAUUAAAAAGUGAUUCCCACUAGCAUAUGAAAGAUAUAACAUGAGACACUUUGUAUGAAGAACAAGGUGCCACUUUGAGGCACAAGUGUGGUAAAGUAUAGUAGUAAAGUCCUUUCUCUAUUUUUGUCUCAUUCCUUUUUAUGGUGGGCUCCUUUGGCCCCCCCAUUUUUAUUUCCUCACCGGUACAAUGCUCUAAUAAUGAUGAUCAUCACCCUUUUGUUUACUUACAACUCAACAUGAAAACUGAUAGGAAGAUAUGACUUUGAAUGAAUACCUCUAGCAGUGUACCAUGAUGUGCAAACAUCUAGCACGACAUGUAUCAAAAAAUAUGAUGAACGGUGGCUUUGCCACAAAUACUAUGUCAUCUCUAUAUGAUCAUGUGAAGCAUUGUGAUGAUGCACGUACUGGUCAUGUGAAGUGACAAUGGCAUUUGCAUGGCAAUAUAUCUCAGAAUGGCUAUGUAAACGCCAUGAUAGGUAGGUAUGGUGGCUCUUUUGAGGAGGAUAUAAAAAGUUUUAUGUGGAAUAGAGCGUGUCACAUCACGGGGUUUGGAUGCACCAGAGAAAGUUGCACCGAUCCUCGAGCUGAGAACGGGCGAUGCACGAUACCGAAGAGGCUAGAAAAUAUAAGGAGGUGAGAGUGUGUGUGUCCAUGGUGCCACAUUAGUCAUGAAGAACUCAUAUACUUAUUGCACAGUUUUAUUAGUUUUAUCAAGAUUCAAAGUACUACUCGCAUUCCCCGACGGAGAGGGUUGGUAGGAAUUAACCAUCGCGCGACUCCGACUCAAAACAACACAAGAAUUUUAACGAGGAAUAACAAUGCUCACACAUCAUCACAAUGCCUUUUCAAUUUUUUAGAUGAACAAGAAGUUUAACAUCUCCUAUUAUUGAGACCUAUCUGAAUUAAUACUAAUGCACUCACACCUUUUUCAUAUCACCAUAUCAAUAUCAUUAACCCACAUUUUCUCUAUAUGUGCUACAUGAUGGUUUUUAUCAGCACUCAUUGGACACUCAUUAUUUCUCAUCUAGUCUUAUGAACCAUGCAAAUUACUGUCACAAUUUGUCCAGAUCUCAAACAAAUAUAAGUGAAAAACGAGAGCAUAUUAUUUCUAUAAAAUCUACACUCCACCGUGCUCAAAAUGAUAUUAGUCAAGUACUAUAGAAAAUGCUAUGCUUAAUAGAUAUAAGUGAAGCACAUAGAGUAUUCUAACAAAUUGUGAUGAUGUAGUAUAUCUCUCAAAUAGGUGUGUAAAACAAACAAUGAUUGGGGCAGACUUGAAGUAAAAGCAAACAAAAGGAAAUGACACUCCAAGCAAAACUCAUAUCAAGCGAUGAAUAAAAAUAUAGCUCCAAGCAACAUACCGAUGGAUUGUGACGGAAAGAGGGGAUGCCUUUCGGGGCAUCCCCAAGCUUGUACGCUUGUGUCUUCCUAGAAUAUUACCUUGGGGUGCCUUGGGAAUCCCCAAGAUGAGGCUUGUUCUGCUCCUCAAUCCUUUGUCCAUCGGGACAAUACCAAAAACUUGAAAACUUCAAUCACAUAAAACUCAACAAAACUUCAUGAGAUCCGUUAGUAUAAGGAACAUAUCAAAUACUUUGAUGUGUUGUUAAAAAUUUAUUCUUAUUUUAUUUUAUCAUAGGGUACUAUAUCUUAACUCCACCAUGGCUUAUACCCCCCGAUACAAUCCAUAGCAUUAUCAAAACAAUCAAACUACACAUGCAAAAAAACUGAAUCCGACUGAAACAUAACAGUCUGUAGUAACCUGUAAUGAACUUAUACUUAGGUAACUCCAAAAAUUCGGAAAAUUAGAAAAUCCUAAGUAAUUUUUAUAUAAAUAAUGUGAAAAACAUUCAGCUUAAAAAUAGUUCGAGUAAAAUCAGAGAAAUUCUGCACUGGACGUCAAAGUUUCUGUUUUUGUGCCGUAUCAACUCUACUCAUCAUGGAAAUCAUCACAAAGGCUUUACUUGGCACAAACACUAAUUAUUACAUAAAACACAAUAAUUACAUAGGAAAUAAUCAUGUUAUCACACACUAAUAGAAAAUAAAAAAGAAAAAACAAGACAACUAUGGGGUUGCCUCCCAACAAGCGAUACUGUUAUACACCCCUAGUUAGGCAUAUUGCAUAGUCUAAACUGUUGUCUUCUUUGAAACUCAACCCAUAAGGGGAUCUCAUGAUUUAUUCAUAUGGUGGCCUAAUUAUCUUUCUAGGUAAGUGUUACAUUCCUUUCUUUAAUGGAAAUUGGAACCUUAUAUUUCCCUCUUUCAUGACAAUGAUUGCACCUAUAGUUCGUAGGAAGGGUCUUCCAGGUAUAUUUGGACAACAAGGGUUGCAAAAAAUAUCAAGCACAAUGAAAUCUACAGGCAUAUAUAUAUAUAGAUCGGAAGAGCNUAUAUAUAUAUAUAUAUAUUUUACAAUUAUCAGCACAUCAUUUAUUCUACCCAAGGGUUUCUUGAUGGUACAAUCGAGAAGAUGCAAGUUUAGGGAACAUUCUUCAAUAUUAGUGAGACCAAGCACAUCACAUAAAGUUUUAGGUAUAGUGGAUACACUAGCAUCAAGGUCACUAAAAGCAUUGCAUUCAUAUUUAUUUAUCUUAAUUUUGAUAGUAGGGUCCCACUCAUCAUGAAACUUUCUAUGAAUAGAAACUUCAAUCUCAAGUUUCUCAUCAUAAUCUUUCACCAUAGCUUCCCCUAUAUGUUGAGUAAAAGCUUUGUUUGUUCAUAAGCAUUGGGGGAGAUAAUAAUGGAUUGUAGCAAGGAAAUACAUUCUAUUAAAUAGAAAUUAUCAUAAUUAAAUCCCUUGUAAUCUAAAAUAGUGGGCACAUCACUAGUUAAAGUUUUGACCUCUCCAAACCCAAUUUUUCCAGUUUUAACAUUAAAAUCAUCAUCCUCCAAGCAAACGUGACGCUCUUUUACUAGAGUUGAAUCAUCUCCAGUCCCUUUAUCGUUAAUAUUCAGAUAAGUAAACAAAGAUUAAAUAGGAUAAGUACCAAUCAUUUUAAGAUCUUCAUCAUGAUUGUGAUAAAAACCGGGAGGAAAAGCUUUUUCUAGUAAUUCCCUCUUAGCUUUCAACUUAGCCGUCCUCUCCUUUCUUUCAUUAAUGCAAAAUUGGAUAAUUUAAUAGUCCCAUUAAAUAAUGCUUAGGAGGCAAAGCAUUUUUAAGAGUUUCUACAUCAAGAGCAAUUCUAUCCAUGUUAUAGCCAAAGUAUCAACAACAUGCAAUUUUUCUUCUACCAUAGUAUUGGAAACUUUUUGAGAAUUGAUGAAUUCCUUAAUUGUGUUCUCAAGAUAAGAGGGUGUCCUAUUAGAAUUUGUAGAAUAAUUUCCAUAAUAAUUGCCAUAACCAUUAGGAACAUUAGCGGGAUAUUGCCUAGCAUUGAAAUUACCACUUAAGCAUUGUUGUUGAAAUUAUUUCACGAGACAAAGUGCACAUCAAUAGCAUCAUUAUUUUGUUCAAUCAAGGUAGAUAAGGGCAUAUCAUUAGUAUCAACAUGCGUGCUUUUAUUAGCAACCAAAUUAAUAAGAGCAUCGACUUUUUCAUUCAAGGUAGUGAUUUCCUCAAUAGAAUUUACCUUCUUACCAGUUGGAUCUCUCUCGGUAAGCCAUUGAGAAUAGUUGUACAUGAUGUUGUGCAGAAGUUUGAUGGCCUCUCCUAAGGUCACCUCCAAGAAGGUACCACCUGCGACAGAAUCUAGAACAUUUCUAGACACAAAGUUUAGUCCAGCCUAGCAAUUUUAGAUAAUCAUCCACAAGUUUAAGCCAUGUGUUGGAAAAUUUAUUAUCAUCAAUUUCAUCCUCUCCCAAGGUUGUGAAACAUGUUCAUGAUCUUGUUGUUUAGAUACGUUAUUUGAUUUCUAAGGGAGAUGAUCUUAGCAGGAGGAAAAUACUUGGCAAUAAAAGCAUCUUUACACUUAUCACAUGUUCCAAUACUAUUACGUGGUGAAGAUGAAAACCAAGCUUUAGCUUUCUCUAUUUGUGACAAAGGAAACAAUCUGAAGUGCAUUUGUCGGGAAGACGAAUAGAAGUUGUUUUGCAGAGAUACAUGAAGGAAUGUGUGGCUCCCAUAUUGGGCCCCGCGUGCUUGGCGGCAAGGCAUUCCAACAAGGGUUCUAUUGGCUAACAGCCCUUCAAGACGACUUCGUGGGGGUGACAAGAUGUGAAGCAUGUCAGUUCCACGCCAAGCAGAUACAUCAGCUAACACAAGCUCUUCAAACCAUACCGUUCUCCUCGCCUUUUCAGUCUGAGGGCUCGAUAUUUUGCGACCCUUCCCCUGCGCAAUCGGGGACUUCGAGUUGUUCAUGAAAGUUCACAAAGUGGACUGAGGCAGAACCAGUGAUGAAAGUGACAGCACAAGAAGUCAACAAGUUCUUCAAGGGAAUAUUUUAUCAUUUUUGUGUCCCUAACAGGAUCAUCACCCGCAAUGACACACAGUUCACGAGUCACACCUUCAUGUAAUACUGCCCAGACCUUGGUGACAAGAUCUUCUUUGCAUCCAUUGCUCACUCAAGAAGCAAUGGCAAAGUGGAGAGGGCUAAUGCUGAAGUGUUUAAUGGUCUCAAGCCAAGGACUUUUGACAAGUUGCACAAGUCCGGAAGGCGCUAGAUUGAUGAGUUUUUGGUAGUUCUUUGGUCACUCAGGACGACACCAAGUCGAGCUACCGGCGAGAAGCCAUUCUCCCUGGUCUAUGGUGCAGAAGCGGUGCUCCCCACAAAACUCUCAUACGGGUCAUAUUGAUUGCAAACCUUUAAUGAAGAUGAACAAGAGCAACUCCGCCAAGAUGUUGCCACGCUCCUCCAGGAAAGUCAUCUUCGGGUUGCCCUGCGUGUCGCCCGGUACCAGCAAGCUUUGCGUUGCUAUCAUAGCCACAAAGUGCAUGCGAGAAGAGUUGAUGAAGGGGACCUUGUUGUUCGAAGGAUCAAGUCCAUGAAGGGAUCAAACAAGUUGACACAAAAAUAGGAAGGCCCUUACUGGGUGGCACGAGUAAAUAGGCCUGGCGUAGUUCGCCUGAAGACCAAGGAUGGAACUAGAGUGGAGAACUCGUGGAAUAUCGAGAAUCUUCAUAAGUUCUGCCCGUAAGCCACGGUUGCCGAGCCUUACGACAAUCCCUUUUAUACAAGUUCAGGGGAAGGGCAUGUAAUCCUUUGUAUAAAGCUAGGUGCAUAACUUGAGCAUAAUGAAUAAAACUAAGUGUUUUACAAAUCUUUGUCAAAGUACAUAUUUAUGUAUUGUAUGUUAAUUGUGUUGUAGUUUUGAACCUUGCAUAGUACGUUUAAUAAACCGUCAAGGUUUCCAACCUCCGCUUUGUCUUCCUUCUUUUUCUCAGAAAGGUCGAAGAGUACCUCGCGCACAAGUUUCCCGAGGAGAGUUACGGUGUGGGUAUCCAAGUGACGUUCAAUUUUUUGUCUUAUGUAAGAAGUACUAAAAAAGCCUAAGUUCAAUGUCUUCCAAAAAUUCUUUGCUGUAGUCACCAUUUUCCAUUGAACAAUCACAAACUUUGUAUAAAAAACCUGCAUGUGAAGGAACCUUGGAGGAAUCUAUUGUGCUCUUACUUUUUUUAGAGUCCGCUCGACAACUUAAGCAGGCGCAUUGAGACCGACAAGUGUGACCUUGCCGACAACAGCACUACCGGCAGGCUGCUAAGGACCCGUUCCUCAAGCGCUCGCGGCAAGUGCGUGCACCAGCAUGUUUCUGUCAAGCAUACGGCAGAAAAUCAUACAAGGGAAGCAUUGGACAAGGAAAAUAACGUACAUUAAAUAGAAUAAAGAUAGAGUAUAUUACAUCAAAGGAAAUUGCAGUUCUAACAUAAAGCAAAUUGUUUUUCAAUGUACUACACUUGCAGCUAAAGACGAUGGGUAGGAGCUAAUUCUUGAAUGGUCCCUCUGUAAGGAUGACACGGACGACCCUGGGGACAAGAGGAACGAUGGGUAAGUCUACAACAAUGGUGUUGGUCCCCUUAUGCAUCUUGCUAAAGGCCCCGGAAAGGUUGAUGUCGGGCUUGUUAAUGACAAUCUUGAUGAGCACUUUCCUGAGGACGUCGCUGCAGAGUGUGCGGGACUCGCUGGCAAAAUUGGAAGCCCUUUCCACUUGAUAUGCCGCCAGUGCGGCAAUGAGGCCUUGUAAGAAGAGGGUCAAGACGCUUGUCAUCUCGCGACCGUAGAUAGAGAAGCUCCAAGAGCACAAAUCCAUCUCCACCAGCUAUGAGUUGAGCUUUUCUACAACGGCUACAAGAUGAGAAGUCCGGAUGUGCAUGCUAUCUUGAAGCGUGUCAAAGGAUUUGGCGGCCUCAACCAAUUUUCUGUUCUCCACCUUGAACUUUCAAAAAUCAUUAUCUUGAUGAAGUUUUUUUUGAAAAUGGUGGAUCUAAAAAUUGGUAUGAAGUGAUUCAUGAUAGUUCCUUGAAUGAAAAGCAUGAUUGCAAUGAUGUUGAUAUGAAUUCUAUGAAUGUCAAAUGUGUUAAUGAUAUGCAAAGCUACGAGCUUGCUGAUGAUGACUUUGAUGAAAAUGAUCUUUUUAGGCCCCCUACUUUUGAUGAUAACAUUUAUUAUGAUGAGAACAUGCCUCCUGUUUAUGUUGACUAUUGUGAUGUUACUUAUGCUAUACAUAGUAAUGGAAAUUAUUACGAAGCUUGUCAUAAUUAUGAAUAUUCUUCUAUUAAAUAUUGCUCUUUUAAUGUGGAAUUAAAUUAUAGUGUUCGAGUUUUAUAUGAUACUUCCACUAUUAUGAAUGAGAAGAAAAUUUCUUAUGGGAAGAGUAAUCAAAACCCUAUGCUUAUGAACCAUGAAAAUAAUUCUUUUAUGUGAUAGUUAUUUUGAAGAUUUUUUUCUUGUUUCUACUGAAAAUUAUUAUGGGAGAGGAGCACAUGUUUAUAGAUAUGUCACUCAUAUCAAGUUUAUUCUCUUUAUGAUAAAGUUUCGGAGUUGCACCCGUUAUGCCUUCCUCUCCUAGUUACUUUGUGCUUCAAUGAAUUGUCUUAUUACAAUAUUCCAAUGCAUAGGAAGAGGGUUUCUCUUAAAUGCGUUUAGUAUAUGACUCACGGUGCUUUAUUUGUACUUCAUUUUUUUCUUCUAUAUGAACAUAAUUAAAUUUCAAGCCUAUAUUAAUGGCUAUAAAGAAAGAGCUUGUUCAGAUACAACCCAAUAGUUAUCAUUUUAUUUCUCUGUGUGAACAUGAUUAUUGCCUCUCUAGUAAUUGUGUUUGUAUAUUUUAUUUUUCUUUUUGCCAAGUUAAACCUUUGGGAUAUUGAAAAUAUGUUUUGUUAGGUUCUAUGUAGAAACAGAAACUUUGCAUCUAACGAUUGAAUUGUUUCUCUAUUGUGGAAUGUGAUCAACUACUGAGAUGUUUACAGAGUACUGAAUUAUAAAUUUUCUACGAUAUCCUAAUUUUGAAGAUUUUUGGAGUUACAUAAGUAUAACAAUAAGCUACAUUAUUACAUGUUGUUAUGUUUUUGAUAGAUUUUAUUUUGUUUUCAUUGUUAACUUGUUUUAAAUUCUCUAUUGUUUGUAUCGGGGGGGGUAUAAAUUGUAGAAGUGAUAAAAUAAAGUAGGAAUUGAUUAGAAAUGAUUAUGAAUCUUUCCAUGACAGUACCAAAAGUGAAUAAUUUAUUAUAUUAGACUAGUGUGUCUCACGAAGUUUCAUCAAGUUUUGGGUGACAUAAUGCUAUAAACAAGAACAAGGAGCGACAAGAACCUAAGAUUGGGGAUGCCCAAGGCACCCCCAAACUUAGGGUCAGUUCUUUUCCAUGUUAUUUCAGCUUAUUGUCAAAAUAGCGAGAAUCCCAAAAUAACUCGAUUUGUAUAAGCUAUCUUAACUUAUUUCCACCGGAGUCCCCUUUGCAAUGGGAAAAAGCUGGGGGGUGAGAAGCUUCCUGCAGAAGCAUACUUAGAAUCGAAGGGGUAUAGCCCAUUUUCCCAGGUUUUCGCACUUAUUACAAUGAGUUUGCCAUCGAGCCCAUCCCCUCGUCCCAUCACAGUAAAUCAAAUCGAGUCGCUCCCUCUUGCCGCUCGAGAUUUCCUCUGCCGUCGUCGCUCCCGAUCCUUCCCUCCGUUGCCUCUGGCCUUCCCUCCGACGCCACCGCUCCCGAUCCUUCCCCCCUGCUGAUGGGUAGGCCUCCCGCCGCUGCUCCUCUCCUCCCUCGGGCACAACCCCUCCCUCCCUCUGAUGCGACUCCGCCCUUCUCCACCACCUAGCAAGAAUAGUGCCACUCCGACGGACGACCGAGGAUCCACUCCAACGGUCGGCGUCCAACUCGGGCCGACGACCCACUCCAGCGAAGGACCUCCGUCCCAUGCCCUACUCCGGCCGACGACCCACUCCAGCUCCACUUCAAGAGUAUUAUAGACUUUUCAUUAGUCAUACCAUAUAUAAGCUGGGAAAACAUGCCUCGAAAAGAACUGGCUAGCUUAUUAUCUGGAGCUUAUUUUCAUAGGAGCUUAUUUGGAUCUUAUUCUCACAUGAGCUUAUUUCCAUAGAAGAGCUCAAAAGAACUGACCCUUAAUAUUUAAGGAUACUCAGUCAUCUAAGCUUGGGGAUGCCCCUAAAGGCAUCCCCUAUUUUGUCUUCAAAUUAUCUGCAGAUCUUACUUGGAGCUAUAUUUUAUUCUUCGCAUGCUAUGUGCUUUUCUUGGAGCAUCUUUGCUUUAGUUAGCUGUCUUUCCCAAUCAUAUUUUCCUAGACACAUUUAUUAUUAGAGACACAAAAUCACAAAGAAUUUAUAUAAUGGUCAUCAGUACAUCACUUAUAUCUUCUUCAGUUGAUGAAGUUGAUAUAGUUCUUUACUUAUACUUGUUUGAGCAUGGUGAUAUGUUUGUACAAUUAUGUGCACUAUGUUUGCUCAAACUAUAUAUUUAAUAAGAGUUGAAUAGUAAGUAGUAAUUUGCAUGAGUUAUAUGGUUGUUGCAAAAAUGACAGGUAUAUAAAGGUGGUAAAAUAAAAUCUAGCAUGGACUUGUAAGAUCAUUGGAUAUGAGAUGUUUGAUUCCAUGCAAUAGUUUUCGAUACUGAGGUGGUAAUAUGUGAGCAUGUUAGUGUAUAAUUAAAGCUAAGUAUUAAUAUUUGUAUUAAGGUUCGUGAGUCUUUUUGAAUGAAAGUGUGGUCGCUCGCAAUAUUGGUGAAGUAAUACUACAAUUUAUGGUUGAUUGAAUAAACCAUUGCGUGUGUUCGGAUCCGGGAGGGCGAUGGUUAAAUCCCCCAAACAUCCUCCCUAGGCUCAUGCACGUUAUGAUUUGCCUCGAAGGCUAGCUGAAAUUUCGCAAUGAGUACUUGAGUUCUUUAUGUUUAAUGUGAGUUUUUGGUCUGAAAGCCCUUCCACUUAUAGAAAUAUUGCUAGCCUCUUUGAUGCCACGCAUUGCCCACUCUCACCUCAAGACUUGAUGCAAACUUCGUCGGUGCAUCCAAAACCUGUGUGAUGACUCGCUCUCUCACACAUAAGCCUCCUUAUAUCGUUCCUCAAAAUAGACACUAUACCUACCUAUACUGGAAUUUCCCUAUUCAUUCCAAGAUAUAUUCACAUGCAACUUCCAUCAGUAUUUUUCCUAUGACUUGAGCAUUCAUUGUCUUAUUGCUUUGCAUGAUCAUGUAGAGUUUGAGCGAUAUUUUGGGCAAAGAAACUAUUCAUAAUUAUAAUACAUGUUAUGCUAGAUCAUUACACAUCCUCGUACACUCCUAGAGCCAUUCAUUUUAGUCAUCAUGUUGUUUAUGUCUUUUCAGUUGUAAAGUAAAAUAAAGUAUGAUGCAUUAUAAGGAUGCGCCCCUACCUGUGAGGAUAAAAAAGAAGCUAUAAAGAGCUGAACAAAAAAAGAGAACAAAAAAUAAAAGAAAUGAGAUAAAAAGAGAGAGAGGUCGCAUCAUGAUGUCUACUACGCAACUUUAUUCUUGUAGACGUUCUUGGGCCUUCAAGUGUAGAGUUUUGUAGGACAUCAACAAAUUCCCCUCAAUUGGAUGACCUAAGGUGUAUCAAUCCAUGGGAGGCGUAGGAUGAAGAUGGUCUCUAUCAAGCAACCCUGCAAUCAAACACAAGAAAUCUCUUUUGUCCCCAACACACCCAAUACAAUGGCAAAUUGUAUAGGUGCAUGAGUUUGGUGAAGAGAUGGUAAUACUAGUGUAUUAUAUAUAGUAGAAAUAUGUUUUCAUAAUCUGGAUUAAUACAAACAACACGAUAACAGUUAGUCAACAUUGAGCAAAAUGGUAUAUUAAUGCUUAAAAAGGCCCAGGGUUCAUACUUUCACUAGUGCAGUGUCUCAACAAUGCUAACAUAGUAGAAUCAUAUGAUCAUCCCUCAACGUGCAACAAAGAAUCACUCCAAACUUGUUAUUAGUGGAGAACAUAAUAAGAAGUUGUUGUAGGUAGCGAACAACCUCAAAGUUAUUCUUUGUGAUCAAUCAUUUGGGCUAUUCCUAUGGAUGUCACAAACAUCCCUAGAGCUCAUACUAGAAUAACAAAUAUGAUACAUAUGAAUCGACCCUAAUGUCACCUAGAUACUCCAAUGUCACCUCAAGUAUUCAUGGGCUAAUUAUUCGACAUGCAUCAAACAACUUGAGAUUCAUCAUAUUCGGUCCAACACAAAGAAUUUCAAAGAGUACCCCAAGAUUUCUAUCGAAAAAAGUCAGAUGAAAACAUGCAGUCAACCCCUACACAUAGAUCGUCAAGGUCACCGGAAUCCUCAAGUUGAUGCCAUAACAUAUAUCAGGUGAAUCAAUGGAAUACCCCAUUGUCACCAUGGGUAUCAACAUGCAAGAUAUACAUCAAGUGUUCUCAAACCCAAAAUAUUCAAUCCAACAUAAUAAGAUAUCAAAGGGAAAGAUUCGAUUCAUCACAACAAGAUAGCAAGGGACAAACACCAUAUGAUCCAACUAUAUUAACAGAGCACAUGAUACAUCAAGAUGGUGACGUCUCAGGAACACAAGAGAGAGAGAGAGAGAUCAAACAAAUAGCUACUGGUACAUACCCUCAGCUCGGAGGGUGAACUACUCCCUCCUCGUCAUGGGCUCUACUGGGACGAUGAAGAUGGCCAUCAGAGAUGAUUUCCCCCGUCGCUAGGGUACUAGAAAGGCUCGAGAUGGGUUUUCUUCGAUAAAGAGAGUUGUGAUGGUGAAUCAUAAGUUCUUUGUUUAUUUAUUAGUGUUUUGGUAUAUAUAGGAUUUUUCAGUGUUGCAAUCACACCAAACGGAGCCAUGUGGGCCCCACAAGCUAUUAGGGCGCACCCAGGGGGUGCGCCCUUUUAGCUUGUAGCCCACAAGUGGCUCCCCUCCGGUGGUUCCUCGCUCCGGUAAUUCCUAUUUUCCGAGAAAAAAUAUAAAAAAGUUUCAGGCGAUUCUGAGAACUUUUAUUUUGUGCACGAAACCAGAAGCCCAAUAAUUCUAGUGAAAACGGUGUCAAUUUGGGUUGGUUCUAAACAAAUCGUAUAAAGUGUAUCAAAACCAUAUAAAAGUAUUGCAAACAUAGGAAAGUAUGGCAUGAAUACUUAAAUUAUCGAAACGUUAGAGAUGUAUCAGCAUCCCCGAGCAUAAUUUCCACUCAUCCUUGAGUAGGUAAUUGAUACAAGAAGUAAUUUAUGGAGUGUGAAUGCUUGCAUAGUGAAUAGUUUUGAUCAUUGAUAAUUUCAGCCACUUUUCUAGCAUCAUGACCAGCAAUUUUUUAUCUUAAAAAUCAUCAUGGAAGAGUGGCAAUCAAUUCACAUGUCAUGGUUCAAACAAUGCAUUCUCUUGAAACAUAACAACAUAUGUUCUUAGUCAUUAAACAAUUUCAUUGCAUCAUCAAGUCUAAGUAAGAGCCACACAUACUCAAUUAUCAUAUAUUCUUCUAUGUUUUCUAAUACUCAAAGCAUAUUAUUGAACAAACAACAUCCAUCAAACACAAAGAAAGAUACGGGCUUAAUGUUUUGCUUCCCAACGUACUUAUCAUGAAGAUAAUUGUCAGCAAUAAUGAAUCAUGAUCAAAUAUAUUUGACUGUACAUAUGUGUUUAGAUCUUUCCCCACCACAUGGUUCUUUCCAACUAAUAGAUUGAGGUUGCAAUAAGAAGUUAACUCAACAUGAAAAGUAAAUAACACGAAAGUAAAUAGAUUGUCCUUUCACAGAGGGAAGUAGGAAUUUGCACAGGUGCCAGAGUUCAUUGUUUAAAACAGAGAUGAAUAUAUUCUGGGUGGUGUGCAUUUCCUGUCAAUGUUACAACAAGGUUUUUCAAUAUCCUCCAUGCUAAUCACAUUAUUGGUGCUUCCCAAACAUAAUUGAAAUUUUAAUCCCCCUUUACCAUUCAAACACUUUCCAUGGCUAGGUGUAUCCAUGGGUGCCCUCCAAACAAUGACCUUUCUAGGGGGAGUUAUUAUUUAUUUAUUUAUUGUAUUAUGCAGUGCUGGGAAUCCUUUGAACUAGCUUCUCUCAUUAAAUGUCAAGUGAAUAAACACUCAUCAUGAGAGUAACCUGAUUAGCAUGGAAGAUAUCGACCGACCCGAUCGCUCCAUGAGCGGUACGUGCACACAAAAAGGAUGUUUAUUUGAAGGAUUUAGAUUUGGCACAUACAAAUUUACUUGGAAUGGCACUGAAAUACCAUAUACAGGUAGGUAUGGUGGACUCUCAUGGAUGACACUUGGCUGAAGGAUUUGGAUGCACAAGUAGUAUCUCUACUUAGUACGAAGUUUUGGCUAGCAAAAGGUUCUAAACAAGCACCACAUGUUUGAGGAUCCAUAACAAUAUAGCUUCUAUGCAAAUAUACCCAAACAUAACCAUUAUGUUGUUUUCCUUGUCCAACUCUAACUAUUUGAUCAAGGUUGAAAAUAAUUGAUGGGUAUUCACAAUCAUAAAAGAUGUCCAAGAUAAUAUAUUUGUGUGUGAAAGUUCUCUUUCUUAUACUUAUCAUUCCUGAAUUGCUUGUAUCACUAAUAUUGUGAUUGUCAAACUUCAACAGAUUUUACUUUCUAAACCAAAUGCGAAACUACUACUAAGUAGAAAGCACAUUGAUAAUUUCAUAUUUAUAUUAUUUCAUUCAUUCACAAUUUACUCUUAGGAUAUAAGUGAAGCACAUGAGUAAACAUCAAACUACUUUCAAAAGAUACAAGUGAACAUCAAUGAGUGGUUAAAUAAUCUAGUAGCUAUGUGAGGACUCUCUCUCAAUAAAGAUUCAAGAUCUGAGAUUUAUUUAAAAGAACGAAGAAAAGGAAAAUACUUUCCACGAAGAGCAUAUCUCAUGUGGACAAAUAAAAAUUUGGGCACAACAUAGGCUAACCGAUAUUUGAUUGAUUAAGAGAGGUGGGAUGCGUAGCAUCCCCAAGCUUAGAUGCUUGAGACUUCUCUUAAUAUUUACUUGGGUUUCCUUGGGCAUCCCCACACUUGAGAUUUUGUAUCUCGUUGAACCCUCUCACAUCCCGCUUUUACCUAAGUCUCAAAAACUUCAUCCAUACAAAACUUGAAAAGAACUCGUGAGAUCGUUUAGUACACAUAAGAAAAAAAUCAACACUUCAGGUAGUGCUAAGACAAUUUGAAUAGUAAUUUUCAAACAUUAGGUGCUGUCUACUAUCCUUUACACAAAUUAUAUAUACCUAUAUAAUCCAUGAAAACUCUAGGAUAAGUAGAUAAAAAAACUCUGACAACAAUAUGUCUAAACAAAAUAUUAUGUAUAAAUCAAUUUAAAUAAUGUACUUAUAUAUCUCAAAAAAUUCUGAAAAUUUAGGAAAUGAUAAAAUAAUUUGUAUUAAAGUACCAAGUAAAACUUUCAGAAACGUUCCACGUUCGUGUAAAAUCUGAUAACUCAAAUACUACAAGAAAAGUUUAUGUUUUUGUACAACACACAUCACACAUGAAAUUCAAACAUUCUAAGGGAAAUUGUUGGAGAUUUUUAUUGAAAACCAAGAUUAUAAAUAGUUUAUAACAGAUAACAAAAAAAUAAAACCAUUCCCCAAGAAAAACUCAAACUAUGUGAUGAAUAAAAACGUAGCUCCAAGUGACAUAUACCGGUAGUGUUGAAGACGAAAGAGGGGAUGCCUUCCAAGGCAUCCCCAUCCCGAAGCUUAUACGCCUGAGUCUUCGUUGUAUGUUGCCUUGGAGGUGCCUUGGGCAUGCCCAAGCUUAGGUUAUUGAUGCUCCUUAUUAUCCUCAUAUCGGUAUCUCACCCAAAACGUGGAAACUUCAAUCACAAAAAACCUAUCGGAACUUCGUGAGAUGCGUUAGUGUAAUAAGGAUAGAUCAUUCACUUAGGUAAUGCCAAGAAAAGAUUCAUAAUUUUUAUCACAUAAUACCUAUUGUAUUAUAUCACUUACAAAAUUUAUAUCACUCAAUAUAAGCUAUGGAAACACUGGAACAAGCAAACUAUGCAUUCAAAACAUAAUUUGUCAGAAACAGAAAAGUCUCUGAAGAUCUGAAUGAACACCAUACUUCCCUGGUUCUAAAAAAUCUAAAAAAUUAGGACAACACAGAGAAUUUGCAUACCAAAACUUUUCAGAAAAUUCUGAUUUUUUUAGUGUCCAGUAAAAUCAUAUAUUCUGCACUCGAUGUAAUUUUUUUUGUUUUUUUGCAUAGAAUCAAGCAAGAAAGUAUCCGCACUAUCCCAAAGGCUUUACUUGACACCUUAUUGAAAUAAAUGACACAAAACAUGAUUAAUACAGUAACUUAAUCAUGUGAACACACAAAAACAGUAGGUAUAAGUGUUGCGUUGUCUCCCAAAAAACGCUUUUCUUUAAUGCCUUUUAGCUAGGCAUGAUGAAUUCAAUGAUGCUCACAUAAGAAUAGUAUUUGAAAUAUGCAAUAGAGCAUCAUAAAUCACAUGAAGCACACAUUUAAGUACAAACCACUUCCUAUGCAUAGGUAUUUGGUAAUCGAACAAUUUAUUGUAGCAAUAAUCAACGUGCAUAGGAAGGAAAAAUAAUCAUAACUUCAAAACAUCGAACACAUAGAGAGGAAACUUGAUAUUAUUGCAAUGCCUACAAGCAUAUGUUCCUUCCGCAUAAUAAUUUUCAGUAGCAUCAUGAAGGAAUAAGAAAAUAUAACUAUCACAUAAAUCAUUAUAUUCAAGAUCCACAAACAUAGAAAAUUUAUCAUUCUCCACAUAAGCAAAUUUCUUCUCAUUCAAAAUAGUGGGACCAAACUCAAUAAAAUAACUAUCAUGUGAUACUUGAGUAGCAUAAUCCAAUUGAAAAUAAAAUCAUGAUGACAAGUUUCAUGGUUAUUAUUAUGCUUUAUAUCAUACAUGUCAUCACCAUAAUUAUCAUAGAUAGCAACUUUGUUGUCAUAGUCAAUUGAAACCUCUUCCAAAAUAGUGAACUCAUCAAUAAACACAGUCAUGACCUCUCCAAAUCCACUUUUAUCAUUAUGAAAAGAUUUAACACCCUCCAUAGAUCAAUAAUACCUAGAGUUGACACUCCUCCAAACCAACUUUCAUCAAUAUAAUCAUCAUAAAUAGGAGGCAUGCUAUGAUCAUAAUAAAUAUGCUCAUCUAAGCUUGGGGGACUAAAAUAUCAUCUUCAUCAAACAUAGCAUCCCCAAGCUUGUGGCUUUGCAUAUCAUUAGCCUCAUGGAUAUCCAGAGAAUUCAUAUCAACAACAUUAUUAUCAUGCUCAUCAUUCCAGGAAUAUACAUUAAGCAUUUUUAUAAAUCUGUCCUCUAACAACUAAGCACAAUUUUCCGAACCAUCAUUUUCACAAAAGACAUUAAAAAGGCGUAGCAAUUGAGGCAACCUAAAUUCCUUUUUUGUAGUUUUAUUUUAUAAAACCAAACAAGUGAAAAACAAGAAAUUAAAAGAUUUGAUUGCAAGAUCUAAAGAUAUACCUUCAAGCACUCACCUCCCCGACAACGACGCUAGAAAAGAGCUUGAUGUCUACUAUGGAACUUUAUUCUUGUAGACGUUGUUGGGCUUCCAAGUGCAGACUUUAUGGAUAGUAGAAAGAUAUUUUUACAAUAUGAAUAAAUAAAAGCAUCAAGGUAAAAGUUAGUAAACAGUGAGAAAAUGGUAUAUUAAUGCUUAAAAAUAAGGCCUAGACUUCAUACUUUCACUAGUGCAAUCUCUUAACAAUGCUAACAUAGUAGAAUCAUAUGAUCAUACCUCAACGUGCAACGAAUAAGCACUCCAAAGUUCCUAUUAGCGAAGAACACAAUAAGAAGUUGUUGUGGGCAGCAAACCGCUUGAAAGUUAUUCUUUCUGAUCAAUUUUUUUGGUCUAUUCCUAUAGGUGUCAUAAACAACCCUAGAGUUCGUACUAGAAUGACACCUAUUAUACAUAUCAAUAAACCCUAAUGUCAGUUAAAUACUCCAAUGUCACCUCAAGUAUCUGUAGGUUAAUUAUUCGAGAUGCAUCAAGCAAUUUCACAUUUAUCAUAUUCGAUCCAACACAAAGAACUUCACAGAGUACCCCAAGAGUUAUAUCGGAGAAAGUCCGAUGACAGCGUGCGAUCAACCCCUAUGCAUAGAUCACCAAGGUCACUAGAAUUCGCAAGUUGACGCCAUAAACUAUAUCAAGUGAAUCAAUGGAAUAACCCAUUUUCACCAUGGGUAUCCACAUGCAAGACAUAGACCAAGUGUUCUCAAACCCAAAAUAUUCAAUCCAACAUAACGAGAUCUCAAAGAGAAAGAUUCAAUUCAUCACAACAAGAUAGAAAGGGACAAACACCAUAUUUAGAUCAAGAUCGUAAAAUAUCAAGAACACGAGAGAGAGAGAGAGAGANAGAGAGAGAGAGAGAGAUCGAACACAUAACUACUGGUACAUACCGUCAACCUCGAGGGUGAACUACUCCCUCCUCGUCAUUGCCUUCACUCGGACGAUGAAGAUGGCCACUGGAGAUGAUUUCCCCAUCCAACAGGGUACUGGAAAGGUUCCAAAGAGGUUUUCCUUUGAUAAAGAGAGUUGCAAAAGUGGAGCGGAAGUUCUCUAUUUAUUUCUUAUGGUUUUGGUAUAUAUAGGAUUUUCUAGCGUUGGAAUUACACCAAACGGAGCCAUGUGGGCCCCACAAGCUAUUAGGGAGCGCCUAGGGGGGUGGGCGCACCCUGUUAGCCUGUGGCCCAUAGGUAGCUCCCCUCUGGUGGUUCUUGGCUCCGGUAAUUCUUAUUUUCCUGAGAAAAAAUCUUAAAGAAGUUUCGGACGAUUCCGAGAACUUCAAUUUUUUGCACAACUACAAUACCACGAUAAUUGUUCUAAAAACAACAUCAGUCUGAGUUAGUUCUAAAUAAAUCAUUUAGAGUGCAUCAAAACCAUAUAAAAUUAUUGUAAACAUAGGCAAAUAUGGCAUGGAUACUUCAUAAGUUAUCGACACGCUCGAGAUGUAUCAUAUCACUAUCCUUUGACCACACUUGUGCUUCAAAGUAGCACCUUGUAUUUCAUAUAGAGAGUCUUGAUGAUCUUCAUGUUUUACAUAACAAGUGGGAAUUUCACAAUAUAUAACUUGAGUUGCAUAUUUCUAUGAUGAGCUUCCUCAAAUGCAAGAGGUCAUUAUGAUCAAGUAAGUUGGAUGCACUCGCACUUAGUUCCAUAUAGAGAGCUUUCAUACACUUAUAGCUCUAGUGCAUAUGUUUCAUGGAAAUCCCUACUCCUCGCAUCAACAUUGAUUACAAGGACUCUCCGUUGCCUACCGAUCAACCCUCGUUGAUGUGAUACUUCCUUAUACAUUUUUCUUCCUUUAUAAACCACUAUCAUCAUUCUCUUUGCAUCCUAAGUGCUAAAGAUCUUGGCUCACACUCAACUAUUAUGUGAAAGUUUAGAAAGUAGAAGGGAUAAUAAGUAUGAUUUAAUUGCCACACCACUAGCCCAUGUGGCUGCCUUGUGGAGCCCCUGAGAUAAUUUUAGGGAUAAUUAAUUCGAUGACCCUAGUUGGGUCCCACUCAACAGUUUUACCCCUAUUUAAAAAAAACUCGAUUCUACACAAGCCACUUCGCUCCUCUUAUGAUUUUGCCCUUUCACCAUUUGACCAUAACUUUCAAAAAUUCAUAACAAAUACAUACUAACUCAGAAAAAUACAAAUAAGAUAUUAGAAUGUUGAGAAAAACAACACCCAUAUUGUAUGUCAAUUGCAUUCAUGAAAAAAGUGUUUGAAAGUCCCCAUCUCACUUCAAGCUCAUAUGAUCUCAUCAUGAACAAUAAAUUCUUAAAAAUUAAAAAAAACCAUAGCAAACACUGACCAGUGGUUAUAGUGAUUGCCAAGUUUCAUUGCGGAAUGACAUUCAUGGAAGUCGUGACAAAAAACAAAAUAUUGGUGCUCCAAAACAAAAGCAUUUUGGAUUGUUGUAUUUUUUUUGCCAUGACUUGUGCGAAUGGCAUUCCUUGCUGAAACUUGGAAAGUAUUAAAAACACUGGUCAAUGUUUUCCACCAAUCUUUUUUAUAAUUUUUAGUAUUUAUUUUCAAUUUCUUGGAUUUUACUAUUCAUGUUGAGAUCAUAUGAAGCUCAAACUUAAGUGUGGACUUUCGAUUUUUUAGUCAUGAAUCCAGAUGACAUGCACAUAUAGGUGAUAUUUUUCUAUAUGUUUGAUGUUUUGUUUGCAUUUGUGUUAGUUUUAUGAUUUUUAUGAAGUUUUCAAAGUAAUAGUCAAAUGGUCACAGGGCAAAAUCAUAAGAGGAGGAAAGUGGCUUGGGCAGAACGAGGGUUUUUGGAAACUGGGGUAAAACUGCCGAGUGGGACCCAAGUAGGGGCAUAAAAUUCAUUUCCCAUAAUUUGAUGCCAAAUAUUCUUAAAUAUUUAGUAAAAAACAUGUUAAUUUUUCAGGUUAUUCAAAGAACUUCUAUUUUGACCCUUUUAUUGUGAAGAAAUGGAGAGAACGGGCGAAAUAGAGUGUUUUAAAGCAUUUGAACUUUAUUGGAACUAAUUCAAAUAGAAUAUGAAGUGAAGUUAGAGAAGUUGUGCUUAUGAAAUUCGUCAAUGUUUUCCAAAAAGAAUCUAUUAGUAAGGUUGAUGAAGUCUUAUUAACAAACUAUUUUCAAGCAACAUAAAGCUGAAGAAUAUUGUGAAGUAUGUUUCUUCAAAUAUAAUAGGCAUGGUUCCAAUAAUAAUGGUUUGAUACUUAUUUUCAGGAACCGAAAUUGAAAACACAAAGCCUCCAAUCGAAAUGGUCACAAUAUUUUCAAUAGAAUUGAGACUAUUUCCCUUAUUUGGCUUUCUUGGAAAAUAAAUUGCAUGCUCAUUGCCAUUAACAUGAAAAGUAAUCUUGCUUUUAUUACAACUAUAACAGCCCCUACGGUGUUAAGAAAAGGUCUUGUGAGAAUGACAUACAUGUUGUCAUCCUCGGGCAUAUCAAGUACAACAAAGACCGUUAAGAUCGUAACAUUAGCAACCACAACAUGAAUAUCCUCAUAAAUACCAACGGGGGUAGCGGUGGUCUUAAGCACCAUUUGCAACGAAUUUCGUAUAGAGAGAAGGUCAUAACACUAGCUCCCAAAUCCAACUACUGCAAGAACGUCUAAUAAUGGCGUAUUAGGCUCCGAGGGGCGCCUACCACUGAAUUUCUGCCACUACUAUAAUGCCAUCAGUGGAGGGUGGGCGCCCGCCACUUUUAGAUCCUAUGUAGUGGCGGGCAGUGCUACUUUCCCACCAUUGGUAUAUAUUAUUAGUUAUGGCUGGUGGUACCUGUCAACCACCAUAGCUACCUCUUCAUCCAGCAGCCAUUCCAGCACCUGAUACACAUUACAGGAUACAAAUAACCACAUCAAAGCAUACAACUAACGUAAGCAAUCACACACAUUACACUUAACAUAGCAAUAAUCAAAACUUCAUACAAAUAGAUGUACGCAUUACUGUACAACAACUCAUGUCACAUCAUUAGUACGUACACAUACAUACAAGGCCUCAUGGUAAUAAUAAUAGCAUAAUGACAAUGAGUUGGACAAAGAUAAUCAAAUUCUUUACUCGUCCACUUGUCCACAUGGUAUUGCAUACUUCAUAGUUUAUUUGCUCUUUGGAGGCGUAAUUGACAUACUGAUCCUCAACUUCUCUUCAAACAUAGUUAACACAAUGACCCUUAGCUUCUUUUUUAGUCUUAUAUCCUUUGUAGCAGCUGUUUUUGUAACCGUCCACUUGCUCCUUGGAUAUCUCCCAUGAAUCAUACAUUCUAGGAUUCCUCCCGAUAUACACCACAUACCAAUUCCACUUCAUGUACGUAAAUAAAUAAAGAAGCCAACAUGUCAAUUUCAUAGUUACGUGAUCACAGAGAGCAAAGUCACAUCAUAAUCUUUAUAGCAUCAUACACGAUACAAAUCACCAUGUUGCAGAGUUCAUUAGUAGUUCGGAAGCAAUAGUUUAGCUCCAUCAUAGCAAAUUAGAAACUAAGUUCACAUGCAUCGAUCAUAUAGAUCACAUGAAAGCAGUGCAGUAGUUUUUUUAGAUCCAUCGCACCUUCGACGGUUGCUCGCGAACUCUACGUGGUUGCCCUAGCACUCGCAGCGGCUGCUCUAGCGCUCUUAGAGUAUGAGUGAGCACUCUUGAUGGCUGCUCAAGCAUUCUCGACAUAGGCGAGCAUGAUUUCGGUGUACUGAGCCACCCUUGUGAUGAUGUCUAUGGAGUAGGAAUUACGUCUAUGGCUGUCGGAGUCGUAACGAGGUGUCUGGCUUCUUCAUCUAAAUCGCAUUAAACAAUUCGACAUUUAGAUAUAACAUUUAGAAAAAACAACAUGACCUAAUUUGAUAGAAAUUGGAAAUAUCGAGUGUCAGAAAUUAAGCGAAAUAGAACUUAAUCCAUGCUUCGUAAAAACAUUGCACUUACUAUGAAUACACCUCGAUGAUGAAAAACCUAUUGUACCAUAUGCUCAUCUAUAUGUAGUACAUUCUGUGUAGCACACGAAUUCAGUUUUAGGACAUUCACUUAUGAAGAUUCAAUGGUACAUAAUACAACAAAUUUUAGCUACACUAAUAAACUAGUGUACUAGAUUUCUAUCCAUAUGUUGCACAUUUUAACUACACUAUUAAAAUGGUGUAUGAAUAUUUCUAUCCAUAUGAAGCCCAUACCACAAGUAACCAUUAAAAGUGAGAAGGGAGGGGUGCUUACCGGGCCGGAGCCGGACGACAGGCUGGACGAGGCGGAGGUCGAUGGCGGAGGCAUCGACGGACGGCGAGUUCGACAUAGAUGAGGACGACGUUGGAUGCGGAGGAAGGAACGAGCAACUAUCACGAGAAAGUAGUUCGAGGUAGCAUGGCAUGAUGAAGCUGAUGAACUUUGAGGCGUUGGAGGGUUGUCUUUAAACUAAUGUGUGUGCUUGCAGAUGCGUUUACUAUAUUGCUAGGAAGUAGCUUUAGUAGUAAUAGCAUGAGUACCACGACAACCAUAUAAAGAACGUUACAAAUGGAGCUAUGGAUCAACGGGAAAAAACGAAACAAGAAAUAGAGUCCUAUGUGUCAAAUCCAUCUCAACACACACCAAUGGCAUACUUCUGGUAUUCCCAGGUUUCCAAGACAUAAAAAAACCAACAUGGAUGGGGUGGUGCAAGGAAUAUCACCACACCAUCAUCUAUGCACUCACAAACAUCGAAACAUCAAAACUAUACCAUCUGCCAUAAACAACAUCAUAGCAGUUUGAGGGCUACAUGCAAAGCACCUACAACCACCCAAAUAUACCAAAUAAGAUAUGUGGAAGAAGCUAUCCAAGAGUACUACAUGCACAAGCAAAAAGAUAGUGCAAAGGAGUUUCACACAGAAAGUUACACAACUGCUAACUUGGCCAAAAAUAUCAGUUUUCAGGGACUUGGUGAAAAUUCCAGAUUCUCACUAGCUGUUUAUGCUCUGAAGCAUUUUGACAGCACCCAAAACAAUAUCUACAGGACUCCAAAUGGAAUGAAAAAUUACAGAGAGCUAGACAAACACAAAAUCUACAACUUUCCAGUUGAUAGCAAAGGCUGAUUCACAACACAUGGACCUCUACAAGCACAACAACAGGAGAAGAAAAUAUAAGCAGAUUCUCAGACUUAGUGAAAAUCACAGAUUUUCACUGAACUGGAAUUUACAGCCACAUGCCUACUUUGACUAGGCAAAACUUGCACAUAUGAAUUCCUAAGCAUGAAAUAAAACCAACAUGCCAUAGAGGGGGUCACCCUCUAAUACCACAACACGGAAUUAACCUCUUGGGCUCACCACAUCUCAUGGAACCAAGCUCCAAACAUAGAACAAAUCUGAAAUAUGACAUUGCCAGAAAGUGUUCCAAAGGCAAAACUGACUUCACCAAUGGAUUCUUGGGAUGAUUCUACCCCAAAAACACAUAUAAAACCUAUGUACUUGCAUAGAACAAAUGGGCACAAACUAGAAAAUAAAAUCUACAUGGAAUCUCAUAUAGUGAAUAGUGCAUCAUCACAUGUGCUAUUCACUAGAACAAUACCUACACAUCCACUUGUACUCUAACAACACUACAUUGGUGCCAUGAGGGGUAGACCUCAUGCUCAUGUGCCUUAGCACACCACCACACACCACACCCAUCAAGCACAAGCAAGGAAGCACCUACACAUGCUAAAUAGAACACACCACUAACUUACACUCACAAGUGCAUUCCUACACCUACACAUACAUAUUGCACAUGUGCUCUUCAAGGCACAUCAUGCCUUGGGCAUGUGUGGGACACACACACACAUGCACACACACACACAACAAAAACACAUGAUCAACUACAAAUGCACACACACAAGGUAUGUGGGGGGACCCACACACACACAUACACCACACUCUCAAACAAUUAGUGCAUGAGCUCAACUCUCAUCAUGCACAUAUGUUUCACACACACCACAUAAGCAUCAUCACUUGGUUCCAUACACUCACAAGGUGCACACACUCACAUGAUACUUACACAUACAUACACCACACAACCUACACAUACAUACACUACUUGCUAGCAAAAAUAAUAGCAACAACCUACUGUUUGUGAGCAAAAAAAUAAUACCACAAGGGUGCCAAGCCUACCACAGCAAGGAUGCAAGUGAGCAAUGCAAAACAGGAAGAAAAGGCAACAAAAAAUAUAAAAGGUUUUGGGGGGAUCGAACCCCAGAGCCCCUGAUCCACCAACAAGCAAGUUACCACUCUGCUAACAGGCACUAGCUCGACAAAGAAGGGAAGCCAAGCAAGUUAUAGAGCCACUGCAGCUGCUGCAAGCUACUGUGCCAAAUAAUUGCAAAAAAAGGGGGUGGCACGCGCGAGACUCGAACCCCCAACCACCUGUGUAACACCAUACAUCACCUACCACUACGCUACGAACAGGUACUUGGCCUAAUAGCGGGAUCUAACAAGAAGACCUACCAAGAUCGCAUGGUCGCCUGCUCUACUAUGCACACAGAGCCGACGACGACAACUAUCGCCGGAGCUGUCUACUGCUCUACUGCUGCACCAGAGAAGGGAUUCACCUACGCUACUGCUACUACCGCGAGGGAAGUCGACACCCUAAACUGAACGAACCGAGCACACCACACCAGCACAUCCAUGGCUGGGCGUUCUCUUCUCCGAACAGAGAAGCACGACGACGACUACUAUCAGCAUCUACCAAGGGGAAGGGAGGAGGAGAGCUAGCUCACCUAGGAGAAGGAGAAGGGGACGCCGAUCAAAGGAGGAGGCAGGCUGGAGAGGAACGAAGACGCCCCGACGAAGCCNNNNNNNNNNNNNNNNNNNNNNNNNNNNNNNNNNNNNNNNNNNNNNNNNNNNNNNNNNNNNNNNNNNNNNNNNNNNNNNNNNNNNNNNNNNNNNNNNNNNUCGAUGGUACGGCAACCGGCAGGAGCCAUAGGGUUGUCUUUAUAACUAACGUUUGUGCUUGCAGAUGCGUUUACUAUUUUGCUAGGACGUAGCUUUAGUAGUAAUAGCAUGAGUAGCACGACAACCCCGAUGGCGACACNNNNNNNNNNNNNNNNNNNNNNNNNNNNNNNNNNNNNNNNNNNNNNNNNNNNNNNNNNNNNNNNNNNNNNNNNNNNNNNNNNNNNNNNNNNNNNNNNNNNNNNNNNNNNNNNNNNNNNNNNNNNNNNNNNNNNNNNNNNNNNNNNNNNNNNNNNNNNNNNNNNNNNNNNNNNNNNNNNNNNNNNNNNNNNNNNNNNNNNNNNNNNNNNNNNNNNNNNNNNNNNNNNNNNNNNNNNNNNNNNNNNNNNNNNNNNNNNNNNNNNNNNNNNNNNNNNNNNNNNNNNNNNNNNNNNNNNNNNNNNNNNNNNNNNNNNNNNNNNNNNNNNNNNNNNNNNNNNNNNNNNNNNNNNNNNNNNNNNNNNNNNNNNNNNNNNNNNNNNNNNNNCUUAGAACGACGAUAGCAUUAUGAGGUGAUCUCUCACUAAAAUUUCAAGACGAAAUUGUGUUCUCCCCGACUGUGCACCGUUGCUACAGUUCGUCGUUUCGAGACACCACGUGAUGAUCGGGUGUGAUAGACUCAACGUUCACAUACAACGGGUGCAAAACAGUUGCGCACGCGGAACACUCGGGUUAAGCUUGACGAGCCUAGCAUGUGCAGACAUGGCCUCGGAACACAUGAGACCGAAAUAUCGAGCAUGAAUCGUAUAGUUGAUAUGAUUAACAUAGAGAUGCUUACCACUGAAACUAUUCUCGACUCACGUGAUGAUCGGACUUGAGAUAGUGGAUUUGGAUCAUGUACCACUCAAAUGACUAGAGAGAUGUACUUUUUGAGUGGGAGUUCUUAAGUAAUAUGAUUAAUUGAACUAAUUGUCAUGAACAUAGUCUAAUGGUCUUUGCGAAUUACGAUGUAGCUUGCGNNNNNNNNNNNNNNNNNNNNNNNNNNNNNNNNNNNNNNNNNNNNNNNNNNNNNNNNNNNNNNNNNNNNNNNNNNNNNNNNNNNNNNNNNNNNNNNNNNNNNNNNNNNNNNNNNNNNNNNNNNNNNNNNNNNNNNNNNNNNNNNNNNNNNNNNNNNNNNNNNNNNNNNNNNNNNNNNNNNNNNNNNNNNNNNNNNNNNNNNNNNNNNNNNNNNNNNNNNNNNNNNNNNNNNNNNNNNNNNNNNNNNNNNNNNNNNNNNNNNNNNNNNNNNNNNNNNNNNNNNNNNNNNNNNNNNNNNNNNNNNNNNNNNNNNNNNNNNNNNNNNNNNNNNNNNNNNNNNNNNNNNNNNNNNNNNNNNNNNNNNNNNNNNNNNNNNNNNNNNNNNNNNNNNNNNNNNNNNNNNNNNAAGCAAGGCGCCUAAAACGUUGUAAAACGUCACGGAACAUAAGUGAUGUUCUAAAGAGAUGAAAUUGUGAUUUCAUUCUUGUGCCCUUGUUAAGAGGUACGAGACCUCCGACAAGAUUCUUUGUCCACAAAGCACAGGAGAAAAGGCUCAAUCGUUGAGCAUGUGCUCAGAUUGUCUGAGUACGACAAUCGCUUGAAUCAAGUGGGAGUUAAUCUUCCAGAUGAGAUAGUGAUANNNNNNNNNNNNNNNNNNNNNNNNNNNNNNNNNNNNNNNNNNNNNNNNNNNNNNNNNNNNNNNNNNNNNNNNNNNNNNNNNNNNNNNNNNNNNNNNNNNNAUGAUGCAUGAGAUGAAAGAUGAGCAUUCAUCACUAUUUCUAUCACUAGCACAAGCAAAAGAAGUUGCUACAAGUUUCUGGACAGCACUGUACACUAAGCUAUUUCGUCAUGCAUGAGAAUGACAUGAUCAGAUGCGUCUCGUGAAAACGAUGCAAAACCAUAUAAAGAACAUUACGUUCGGAGCUACGGAUCAACGGGAAUCAACGAAACAAGGUAUGAAGCCCUACGUGUCAAAAUCAACACCACACACUCCAAUGGCACAAAUCUAGUAUUCCCAGGUUUCCAAUACAUAUAACAACCCAACAUGAAUGGAUUGGAGCAAGGAAGAACUCCACAACAUCAACUAAGCACCCACAAACAUCAAAAUGACAAUUCUACACAAUCUGNNNNNNNNNNNNNNNNNNNNNNNNNNNNNNNNNNNNNNNNNNNNNNNNNNNNNNNNNNNNNNNNNNNNNNNNNNNNNNNNNNNNNNNNNNNNNNNNNNNNNNNNNNNNNNNNNNNNNNNNNNNNNNNNNNNNNNNNNNNNNNNNNNNNNNNNNNNNNNNNNNNNNNNNNNNNNNNNNNNNNNNNNNNNNNNNNNNNNNNNNNNNNNNNNNNNNNNNNNNNNNNNNNNNNNNNNNNNNNNNNNNNNNCUGCAUCUUAGCACUUUGUGAGCUACAUGCAACAUAGCUACAGCCCUCCAAAUAUGACAAAUAAUAUAUGUGGCUGUAGCCAACCAAGAAUACUACAAGCACAAGCAAGAAUCACACCAAAAGNNNNNNNNNNNNNNNNNNNNNNNNNNNACAAACUUUCCCAAAACCAUCAGAUCUCAGGGAAUUAGUGAAAAUUCCUGCACCUGACUUUCUGUCUUAGUUCUGAAGCUUUUCGACAGCAACCAAAACAUAACCUACAGGAUUCCAAAUGGGAUGAAAUUUUACAGGGAGAUUCACAAACAUAUCAGGUCCAAAUUCCUAGCACUGNNNNNNNNNNNNNNNNNNNNNNNNNNNNNNNNNNNNNNNNNNNNNNNNNNNNNNNNNNNNNNNNNNNNNNNNNNNNNNNNNNNNNNNNNNNNNNNNNNNNUCCCGGGGGUUGUUUGACAUAUACCAACUCAUUCAAAGGACCAUUAAGAAAUGUACUUUUCACAUCCAUUUGCUGUAAUUUGAAGUUAUGAUGAGAAGCAAAUGCAAGUAACAUGCAAAUAGAUUCUAGACGAGCAAUAGGGGCAAAGGUUUCACCGUAGUCGAUACCCUCGACUUGGGAGUAGCCUUGAGCCACCAAUCUUGCCUUGUUUCGAAUCAUAAUUCCAUUUGCAUCUUGCUUGUNNNNNNNNNNNNNNNNNNNNNNNNNNNNNNNNNNNNNNNNNNNNNNNNNNNNNNNNNNNNNNNNNNNNNNNNNNNNNNNNNNNNNNNNNNNNNNNNNNNNNNNNNNNNNNNNNNNNNNNNNNNNNNNNNNNNNNNNNNNNNNNNNNNNNNNNNNNNNNNNNNNNNNNNNNNNNNNNNNNNNNNNNNNNNNNNNNNNNNNNNNNNNNNNNNNNNNNNNNNNNNNNNNNNNNNNNNNNNNNNNNNNNNNNNNNNNNNNNNNNNNNNNNNNNNNNNNNNNNNNNNNNNNNNNNNNNNNNNNNNNNNNNNNNNNNNNNNNNNNNNNNNNNNNNNNNNNNNNNNNNNNNNNNNNNNNNNNNNNNNNNNNNNNNNNNNNNNNNNNNNNNNNNNNNNNNNNNNNNNNNNNNNNNNNNNNNNNNNNNNNNNNNNNNNNNNNNNNUUGGCUGCUCGACGCUCCAAGAGUUCUUCAUUCGAUAACGGAGGAGCAUCGACUUGUUUCUUUUGUUUGCCCUUGCGUCUUGAGUCGGUUGUUGGAGCUCCAGAUGGGAAUUGUGAGACAGUCUCCUGAUCAUCUUGUCCUUCGACUUGAGCAGGUUCACUAGUUUGAUCUUGUAUCAGUGGUUGGUCUUGAACUUGAUCUUGUGCUGGUUCCGGGUCUUGGAGUAGAGCUUGAAUAUCAUGGGGCAUAUCACCAUUGUUAGGCAAUUGACCUUGACCGUGAGCUUGAUCAACUUGUUGAGAGUCUUCUCUUUGUUCAUCGGAAGCGUGUGGGGCUUGUGGGGGUGAUGGCNNNNNNNNNNNNNNNNNNNNNNNNNNNNNNNNNNNNNNNNNNNNNNNNNNNNNNNNNNNNNNNNNNNNNNNNNNNNNNNNNNNNNNNNNNNNNNNNNNNNCUCCGUUUUGAUCGUGUCCUAUAUGAAACUUGCUUAGAAUCUCGUGUAUUUUCAUUUUAUCUUGAUGGUUGUGUGUUUUUGAAAUGCUUGUGACUGUCGUUGCACACAUUAUUGCAUUCAUGCCAUCAUAUCUCGCGGUGUCCGUAUCUUUUGAUCCGUAGCUCCGUUGGAGAUGUUCUCUAUGUGUAAAUUUCUUGUAACGACGCGUAGAAUCACGUGAACCUAUUNNNNNNNNNNNNNNNNNNNNNNNNNNNNNNNNNNNNNNNNNNNNNNNNNNNNNNNNNNNNNNNNNNNNNNNNNNNNNNNNNNNNNNNNNNNNNNNNNNNNNNNNNNNNNNNNNNNNNNNNNNNNNNNNNNNNNNNNNNNNNNNNNNNNNNNNNNNNNNNNNNNNNNNNNNNNNNNNNNNNNNNNNNNNNNNNNNNNNNNNNNNNNNNNNNNNNNNNNNNNNNNNNNNNNNNNNNNNNNNNNNNNNNNNNNNNNNNNNNNNNNNNNNNNNNNNNNNNNNNNNNNNNNNNNNNNNNNNNNNNNNNNNNNNNNNNNNNNNNNNNNNNNNNNNNNNNNNNNNNNNNNNNNNNNNNNNNNNNNNNNNNNNNNNNNNNNNNNNNNNNNNNNGGUAGUUUAAUUACGCAUCACCUCUUGCCAUGUUUAACCACAUUUAAUAUUGCCGUGUAUCUAAUCGGGAUAGAACUAAAUAAUUCGUAUGUGGAGUUUCGUCAAUAUGCAACCCGUUGCAUAUUGAACUUCACUUAAUGUGUAGAGUUUGAUUUUGUGAUUUUUCAUGCCGUGACUUGCAUGUAUUCAGCCUGCUCAUGCAUCAUACGUGGAUUGCAUCUUGUCGUGCAUAUGCCGUGGUGAAUAUCGUGUGUUGAUUCUUGUUUCCGGUUUCCUUCGUCUCGAUAGAGUCCGCAAAUUUGUCGGAAAGUGAGGACCAGUUCGACUACAUCGGUUCGUGUGCUUCACGGAGUCAUUCUUCUUCCAAGUGGGAUCUCAGGCAAGAUGACCAUUUCCCCNNNNNNNNNNNNNNNNNNNNNNNNNNNNNNNNNNNNNNNNNNNNNNNNNNNNNNNNNNNNNNNNNNNNNNNNNNNNNNNNNNNNNNNNNNNNNNNNNNNNGAAAAUAAACUAGCGUCGGAAACGUACAUGCAAAAAUACAAUUGACUACUAUAAAAUACAUGGCAAAGGGGUUCCUAAAACAUGAACAUUUUACCUACGGGGUUCUAGCAAUCCGGACUCGCACGAGAAAAUAAAUACGGACGAAUCCUAUUGGGACAGCAUGUAAAACUAUGCAUUUGGCACGUCAAACUACGUCAAACAAUUAAGCAAAUUGUAAAUUCAUAAUCUACGCGAGAUUCUACACAAAAACCAUAUCUAAUUCAUCGCGAUCCGACUUGCGGUUAAAAAGUUACGGGCAAUCUAAUAUACGUUUCUUUUCUGGAAUUUAUUAAUUCCGAAAAUUCCUAAAUUAACUAAUGGGUCGAACAGUGGGCGCAACUUAGUUAACAUGCACAUGGGGGAGGAAGAGAUCUCGGGCUGCUCACCUGGGCCGGCCUGGAGGGAGGGGCGAGGCAGGCCCACGCGGUCAGGGGCGAGAGGAGGCCCAGGCGGGGCGCUGGCGAGAGAGGCAGGCCUGGUCGAUGGUCGUCUCCUCCCGCACGCGCAUAGGAAGUCGGUGGUGGGAGUUGACCGCGGCGGCGGCCGUCGGACCGGCGAAGGGAGGGCGCAGGCAGCAGAGGAAACCGGCGGGAUCCGCCGGAUCCUGCCGUGGGGACUCCGUUCCCGGUGGUGGCGCCUCGAGGCGGCGACCGUACGAGAAGAUCGGCGGCGGCGGGAUCUGGCGAGUCCCUGGCGGCGGGCAGGCUCUUGACAAGCGAGCGGGGGCGCGCGUUCUAGGGCGGCGGCGGUCGGGUGCGGGGCAAGGAGCUGCUCGGCUACCAGGCGGUGGCGAGGGCUCCCGUCGGCGAAGGAGCUCGGGAGGAGGAGGCUGCAGGCUCGGGAGGAGCAGCGGGCACGCGCUGGAGGCGGCUCGCNNNNNNNNNNNNNNNNNNNNNNNNNNNNNNNNNNNNNNNNNNNNNNNNNNNNNNNNNNNNNNNNNNNNNNNNNNNNNNNNNNNNNNNNNNNNNNNNNNNNAGGCUGAUAUUUAACAUGUGGUAGGCAACAAGACAUAAUCGAUAGAAGCGAUAAAACUAGCAUGGCAAUGAUAGUAAUAGUAUCUGGGGAAAUGGUCAUCUUGCCUGAGAUCCCGCUUGGAAGAAGAAUGACUUCGUGAAGCAGACGAACCGAUGUAGUCAAACGGGUUGUCACUUUCCGACACGCUUGCGGACUCUAUCGAGACAAAGGAAAACGGAAACAAGAAUCAACACACGAUAUUCACCACGGCAUAUGCACGACAAGAUGCAAUCCACAUAUGAUGCAUGAGCAGGCUGAAUACAUGCAAGUCACGGCAUGACAAAUCACACAAUCAAACUCUACACAUUAAGUGAAGUUCAAUAUGCAACGUUCUAUCCCGAUUAGAUACAUGACAAUUUUAAAUGUGGUUAAACAUGGCAAGAGGUGAAGCAUAAUUAAACUACCUAUCUAGACAUUUUAAAUGAUGUCGGAAAUGACAUAUAGCAUCUCCGAGAUGACCUCAUACGUUAAUUUACAAUUCUGUCCAGAUCUGAACUAACACGUUUAAUUAGUUGUUAAACAGCAAAACAAAUAGGUUCACGUGAUUCUAUACUCCGUUACAAGCAAUUUACACAUAGAGAACAUCUCCAACGGAGCUAUGGAUCAAAAGAUACGGACACCGCAAGAUAUGAUGGCAUGAAUGCAAUAAUGUGUGCAACGACAGUCACAAGCAUUUAAAAAACACAUAACCAGCAAGGUAAAAUGAAACUACACGAGAUUCUAAGCAAGUUUCAUAUAGGCCAUGAUCAAAACGGAACUACGGUUCAACAACUACGAGCUAAACAAGAAAUCACUACAAUCUGCCAAAAUCAGCCACAUAGCAUUUUCUACACCCCACAACUACGAGCUACUCANNNNNNNNNNNNNNNNNNNNNNNNNNNNNNNNNNNNNNNNNNNNNNNNNNNNNNNNNNNNNNNNNNNNNNNNNNNNNNNNNNNNNNNNNNNNNNNNNNNNCAGACGAGCGGGGGCGCGCGUUCCAAGGCGGUGGCGGUCGGGUGCGGGGCAAGGAGCUGCUCAGCUACCAGGCGGCGGUGAGGGCUCCCGUCGGCGAAGGAGCUCGGGUGGAGGAGGUUGCAGGCUCGGGAGGAGNACGGCUGGUGGCUGGUGGGAGGAGAGAGAUGACUCGGUUAGGGUUUCGGCGGCUGCACGGUUUUUGAGGCAAAGGGGUAGGGUGUCUAAAAAUGGCAUGGGAGGUCCUAUUUAUGGGCAAAGGGGGCUAGGCUUAGCGAAAUUCCGCCCAGGAUUCAACCGCGCGGUCGGAUUCGAAUAAUUCCGAACGCGGGACAGACUAAAUGGCCAUGUAGAGUAGUUAUCCGGAGAUGAGAGGGAAAACGGGCGGCCCGGCAACGUAUUUUAAAACACCGACGAUAGACCGAUUAGGGUGCCGCUACGGUCGACCGUUCGGGUACCAGACGGACUCCGAUCGCGACGAAAUUCGACAGGCGGCCUCUCUAUAUAAAAAUAAGACCGCACAUCAAAUUUCAACCCAAUGAGAGAAGGUUUUAUACUCACUUUUAAAAACAAGAUAUUGACGGUGCCACGGGCGCGUGCGUGUGCGGUCGGGCUCAGAACGGACAAUGACAAGAACUGGCAACUAACAACGGAUGCAAGUUUGAAAAUUGGCGGCAAGAGAGAUGCCGAUGCAAUCUGAUGAUGCACAUGAUGCGAUGAUGAUGCGACAAGUAAAAAUAGUCACACGACGAAAACGGAAUAGAAGGGGAAUCUUCUGGACUGUCGGCAUCGGGCUGUCACAACUCUCCUACACUAGAAGAGGAUCUCGCCCCAAGAUCCAAGAAUGAAAGGGGGAGAGGAUGAGAAAGAACAAGAGGAAAAACUUAGUCGCUUCUUUGACAAACGAGUGAAACCAACGAUCCUUGAAGGUUGCAAAGAGAUGAGGAAUGAUAUGAGAAACAAGCAAGAAUUCACGGAAAAUUUCGGCAGCACUUCGUUAGGAAAAGGGGACAAAUUUUUUGAUAAGAUGGGAGAAAUAGACAAUAUUCAUAACAAACAACUAAAUAGAACAAGGGAACACCAUGAUCUUGAUAGAACAACAUGAUAGACCCAAAAGAGCAACAUCACAACCUGUGGAACAAGAGAAUAAAACUAGAUCAUUGGGAACAAGAAAGAAUAAGAGAAUGACCUUGCCAAGAUUUAGAUGAAGCCUCACAAAGAGAUACUUAAAAGAACUUGGAACUCCGGAAAAAAAUAUAAGCACUUGAGAAAAGAAUUGAUAUCAUGAGCCACUCCGGAAGAACAAUUCAGAUUACUAUGAACAAGAAUAAGAAUUACGUUAUGCUCAUCCUUCAUCAAAUGAAAUUGACGACAAGCAACGGAUUUAGCAUACACUUAUUCUUCUAGAAAUGAUUGAGGGGAGAUAUAUGAGCACAAACUAGAAGAAAUCUUGAAAGAAACACUGGUGAGAAUUGAAAUGAAUGAGGCAACCGUGAAUGAAUGCAGAUACAUGAGAAUGAAGUGAUCAUGACCCACCUAAUAGAAAAACUUGAACAAGGCACCGGAUAAUUGAGAGAGGAACGAAGAGACAACAAUGGAGAAGAAUUUAAGAAUGAAAGCUGCAAGCUGAGAACGAACAAAAUCUUCUGGAUGAUGGCCUUCGGAGGAUCGAGAAUGAAAACAACUCAGAAAUGCACCGGAUGAAACGAUCGAUAUGGUUGGCUAGAGGGGGGGGGUGAAUAGACAACGACCACUUUUUAAUUAAUCUUAGCAAGUUAAGGUAAACACUAUGCGGGUUCACAAAUAAUAUGACAAUGAGGUGAACCCUAUAGAAUCUAACAACGAGAGCUAUUAAGACAACUAAGAUAUAGUCACAAGCAAAAGCAAAUACAAAGUAAAGGAUAGAGACAACCACAAGUGGAACCGAUGGAGACGAGGAUGUGUUACUGAAGUUCCUUCCCUUUGACAGGAAGUACGUCUCCGUUGGAGCGGUGUGGAGGCACAAUGCUCCCCAAAAAGCCACUAAGGCCACCGUAUUCUCCUCACGCCCUCGCACGAUGCAAGGUACCAUGAUUCCACUAUAGGUGCCCUUGAAGGCGGCGACCGAACCUUUACAAACAAGGUUGGGGCAACUCCACACAAAGCUUGGAGGCUCCCAACUAAACCACGAAGCUUCACCACAAUGGAAUAUGGCUUCGAGGUGACCUCAACCGUCUAGGAUGCUCAAACACCCAAGAGUAACAAGAUCCGCAAGGGAUUGGUGGGGGAAUCAACUUUUCUCUUGGUGGAAGUGUGGAUCUAGGCCUUCUCAACCAAUCCCUAAAGAAUCAACAAGUUUGAUUGGCUAGGGAGAGAGAUCGGGCACUUUUGAGCUUGUGGAGCAACAAUGGAGCUUAGAGAGGUAAGAGAUAGGGUUCCUCAGCUAGAAGAACCCUUUAUAUAGUAGGGGGAAAAUUCACACCGUUUUCCCACUAUCUGCCCGAGUUCCAGCGGUACUACCGCUGAGCAGGAGCGGUACUACCGCUGCCUGGCGAUACUACCGCUGGGUCUCCAGCGGUACUACCGCUGACACCAGCGGUACUACCGCUGGCCCCUUGGUAGUGCACAAGCACUACUACCGCCGGGAAAGUCUUCGCAAAAGGGUCCGUCCACGAACUACCGCUAGGUAGGUGGAACAAAGCACCUGGAGCGGUACUACCGCUGACCAGGGGCGGUACUACCGCCAGCUAGCGGUGCUACCGCUGGCUACAGCGGUACUACCGCUAGCAGUCCAGCGGUACUACCGCUGGAGCCAGCGGUACUACCGCUGGGGACCAUUUUGCAGAGAUACUAAAAAUGAAUAGGCGAGGGCCGCUCCAAAAGAUAAGGAAAGGGAGAAUGUGAAGUGUGCGUGUGUAAAGAUAGAUUCCACCCAAACCUUUCCACUACGGAUCCCCUCUUAAUAGUACGGCUUUCCUAAGACUCAAAUAAAGAGAAUCGUAGAGAGCGCCGUGCUUCCGUUCCAGGAGAGAGGAGACGUGUCGUCUUGUGCCGUUGACGUGUGUUAUCUGAAACCUUGACACACAGGGUUAGUCCUGUACGGUACUGUCAUCAAUCACCAAAAUUACUUAGGCAUAAACUAUGCCCCAACAAUCUCCCCCUUUUUGGUGGAUUGAUGACAAUACCGGAUUUGCACAGAGAAUAAUAUGAGAACAAAAAGAUAGAGAUAUAUGAAAAUACGGGGCAUAUGACUCACAGCAUAUGAUGGAAAUAAAUCUCACAGAAGAUCAUGUCUCACAAAAGAUAGCAAACGAGAAUCAAACGAAGUUCGAAGCAAACCAUAUGAAAUAAAGCAAAGCAAUGCAAAGUUCGAAAAUGAAAGCAAAUCCUAGACUCUCUCCCCCUUUGGCACAAGACACCAAAAAGGGGCACACCUAAUGCCACAGGUAACUACUCCUCGUCUUCAGGAUCACCAGACUCGUCUGUCCCCUCCUGGUCGGUCUGCUCCUCCUCUUCCGCCUCAUCGCCAGACCACUGGUACCCCUGAGCCUGCAUCCAAGUGGCCUCAGGAGUGAUGUCGUCCUCUGAGCCGCUGGAGAUGUCCACAUCCAAGGUCCUGAGAACACGCUUAUGCCUCUGGCGGCUCUGCUUUUGAGCCACGUGUGUCUGGUACUGACCCUUGGCCUGCAUACAGAAAAGUGUCUUCAUCUUGUCCUGCAGUUUGAUAGCCCAAGACGGCAUGGCAGACGAGCGGGACUGAGAGGCGGUUCCUCUGUCAGCAGUAGUCUCUGUAUCAGUAUCCAUGUGCUGAGAGGAUGUAGAUGGGUUGGCCCACUUGUCCUUGACGCGAAGUCUGAUCGGGUCAUGCACAAUGUAAUCAGACUGAGCGUAGAGAAGCUCCUCUGGAAAAGCCUCUUGCCACUUAUGGCUAAUGUAUGUGAACAUGUAAGGCCCGUAGAUAGGAACCUUACGCAUGAUGAUGCAGUUCCAGAGCUCUGUGAACAUCACAUCAGAAAUAUCCAGCUGAGCAGACUCCUGAGAUAUAGUCUCCUCACAAAGUAACAGCAUCUCAGCCAAGGAGCCAUGGACCUCAUCGAAGUUACCACUCCGAGGGAAGAGGGUGUUGCGAAAGAUCUGAUGCAUGAUGUCCAGGUGCUUGGGAAGCACCCCCUUCCUUAGAUACAGUGUCUGCAGUCUGUCCUUUGCGGGGGCCCUAUCGGUGGGGGCUGCAGCAUGAGGACGCAGCCCAAGAGUAGUGUCAGCACCCUGAAAGUCAAUGUGAAGGAAUUGCAUGAACUUAGUCCAGGAACCGGUCAUCUUCUUUGACCCAGUCAUCCAUACCAUGGAACGCUGUUCAUCAGGAGAGAAAUGGACUGUGACAUAAAACUGAGCAACUGCAGUGGGAUCAAAGUCCGUCUUGAAGGUGAUGAUGUCUUUGAUGCCCAGUUUGUCAACCAGAGAGAGGGCAUCACCAAAGUAGUCCAUGUUCCGCUGAAGAUGUGCCAGAUCAAUCCACUGAACAGAGACAUAGUUCUUCUUGAAAUGAGCAAUAACAUCCCGAUAGAUCCUGCACUGGUCCCUUGCCCAGACAUGGUCAACACCCUCGAUCACAUCCCUCUCCUUGAGAUAGUGGUUCUUGGUGCGAAAUUGCAGAAAGUCCUUGGGGGACAUUGUACGGAUAUUGACCCUCUUGUCCUUGUGAGCGACCUUCUUGAAGGACUUCUUCUUGGGAGGCAGACCAGAGGUGGCAGACCCCUCAGGCGCCUCUGGAUUGCGAUACUGUUUGGACUGCGUGUCCCGUGGGCGGUUCGAACGGCGAGAAGAGCCACCUGUGACACAGACCACACAGCGAAAAAGAGGCGACAAGAAGAGUCAAGGCAAUGAAUCUUGGAAACUCAAAACAAGUAAACACGCAUUGCUAAGGAAAAACAACCAGAAAAAUACAUAGUGAACGCUCAUGGCCGUAGUACCGCCACCCCUCGCGGUAGUACCGCUGGGGCCUAGCGGUAGUACCGCCAGCCCUGGCGGUAGUACCGCUGGGGGUCAUAGCGGUAGUACCGCUACCCCCUGGCGGUAGUACCGUUGGGGUCCUAGCGGUAGUACCGCUACCCCCUGGCGGUAGUACCGCUGGGGGUUUGACUUUCAGAUCUGACAUAUAAAACUCGUUUUCGAGGGCAUGGGCUGAAUAUGAACACUAAGACGUACACCCCAGCCCUACUAUCAUGAGGAACACUUAGUAACAAGAGAUACAUACAUGCCUAGGCAAGAGAGAGCACGUUUUAGAUCUAAUCCAAAAGUUCAAGUGUUCGAUCUAAGACGAGUAAAUCCUAGGGCAUGGGAGCAAACUCAACAACAAACCAUCGGACCUAUACUCCCCUCAAAUAUUUCCUUCAUGCCAUCCAACAACUAGCCAUAGGAUCAAAAAUAUGAAUCCAAUCCCCAAUGCUCCUAACCCUAGAACACGAACAACAACCAAAUAGAAGAAGGGAGGAGCUUUACCGGGAUUCAUGGCUCUUGGAGGAGGAAGAAGAGAUGAAGCAACCCUUCCACACCAAUGGGGAGAAGGAGCUCCACGAAGUGAGAUCCAAUCAGGGAGUUUUCGGGCUAGGGGAGGGAGGAGCCGCGAGGAAGAAGAAACAGAUGAGAAAAUCGGGCUCCCCCUCCCUUUAUAUAGCCCAAGGGGUACGGGCCAGCGGUAGUACCGCUGUGGCCCUGGCGGUAGUACCGCUAGCUGGCGGUAGUACCGCCAGAUGCAGCGGUAGUACCGCUGGGGUCCUGGCGGUAGUACCGCUCCCCCUGGCGGUAGUACCGCUCCCCCUUGAAACCCUAGAAAUUUUCUAGCCGGUCGUGUUAGAUUUUGAAUCCUGGCGGUAGUACCGCCAUACCUACCGCUAUACAUGUUUCAACACGGCUAAGGAAAGAAGGGUGAACUUGGGCACAUGACAAGUGAGUAAAAAGAGAUAGCAUCCAAGAGAAUGUACUGACUUGUCAUUGUAUAUCCUCUCCUUUAUACGCAAGAGAGGAUGGAGGGGCGGUGGCCGAGGCCACCUAUGUUUGAGAUAAUGGUAUGACACCGCGAAGAAUUAUCCUUGGGUUCAUGACCAAUGCUCGUCUUUGAAGCACAAGUGCCAUUUGACAAUGGCUAAAGUGAAAGACUAGAUUGAUUUACGCAUAAUGGGGGGAGGGAGAGUUCAUUGAGAGAACAACACUCCCCCUAUGUCCAUGCCUACAUCUAGACCAAGAUGGAAUGUAAAGUGAGGUGCAAUAUGCCUAGUUUCAAUCCACAUUACUUGAAUCAAUGAUAUUUAGCUCAUGCCUUAACUCCCGGAACCUUGCUUCAUCUAGAGGCUUAGUGAAAAUAUCUGCAAGUUGCUCUUCAGUGUGGAUGAAGUGAACCUCAAUAUCACCUAGCUUGAUAUGUUCACGAAUGAAGUGAUGACGAAUAUCAAUAUGUUUGGUUUUGCUAUGUUGCACUGGGUUGAGGGAAAUCUUGAUGGCGCUUUGAUUGUCACAUAGAAGAGGCACUUUGUCACAAGUGACACCAUAAUCCUUUAAAGUUUGCCUCAUCCAUAGCAAUUGUGCACAACAACUUGCAGCUGCCACAUACUCAGCUUCGGUGGAUCAUAAGGAGACAUAGUUCUGCUUCUUUGAAGACCAACUUACCAAAGAGCGACCAAAGAAUUGGCAUCCUCCAGACGUUGACUUCCUCUCCACACAAUCUCCAGCCCAAUCUGAGUCAGAAUAGCCAACUAGAUUGAAGUUUGCUCCUUUGGGAUACGAGAGGCCAAAGUUUGGGGUAUGAGCCAAAUAUCGAAAGAUUCGUUUGACAGCCAUGUAAUGACUUUCUUUUGGUGCGGAUUGAAACCGUGCACAUAUCCCUACACUCAACAUAAUAUCCGGUCUAGAUGCACAGAGGUAAAAGAGGGAUCCAAUCAUGGAACGGUAUACCUUUUGAUCCAUUGCUUUACCAUUGGGAUCACUGUCAAGCUUGCAUCUGGUUGGCAUGGGGAACUUGACCGAUUUGACAUCUUCGAGCUCGAACCGUUUGAGCAUGUCUUGAGUGUACUUGGCUUGUUUGAUGAAUGUCCCUUCUAAACCUUGUUUAAUCUCGAACCCGAGGAAAAACUUCAACUCUCCCAUCAUGGACAUCUCAAACUUCUCAGUCAUUAGUGCAGCAAAUUCUUCAUUGAAUGAAAUGUUAGGAGAGCCAAAGAUAAUAUAAUCAACAUAUAGUUGGCAUAUGAACAAAUCCCCUUUAACCCUCUUAGUAAAAAGAGUGGGAUCAAUCUUCCCAAUUUCAAACCCACGAUCUUGUAACAACUCAGUAAGGUACUCAUACCACACGCGUGGGGCUUGUUUAAGGCCAUAGAGUGCCUUAUUGAGUUUGUACACAUGAUUGGGGAGCUUGGGAUGUUCGAAUCCCGGGGGUUGUUUGACGUAUACCAACUCAUUCAAAGGACCAUUAAGAAAUGCACUUUUAACAUCCAUUUGCUGUAAUUUGAAGUUAUGAUGAGAAGCAAAUGCAAGUAACAUGCGAAUAGAUUCUAGACGAGCAACAGGGGCAAAGGUUUCACCGUAGUCGAUACCCUCGACUUGGGAGUAGCCUUGAGCCACCAAUCUUGCCUUGUUUCGAAUCACAAUUGCAUUUGCAUCUUGCUUGUUCUUGAAUAUCCAUUUGGUCCCGAUGACAUUAUGUUCCUUCGUUGGCCGAGGUACUAAAUCCCAGACUUGGUUGCGCUCGAAGUUGUUAAGUUCUUCGUGCAUGGCCAUAAGCCAAUCCUCAUCAUCGAGCGCUUCCUGUACCUGUUGAGGUUCACAAUACGAGACAAACGCGUGAUGCUCACAAUAAUUCCAAAGCUGUUGACGGGUAGAUACUCCCCUUUUUAAACUGCCAAGAACAUUCUUCAUAAGAUGUGACUUGGCUUUCAGCUUGUUCGCAUUCUUGGCUGCUCGACGCUCCGAGAGUUCUUCAUUCGAUAACGGAGGAGCAUCGACUUGUUUCUUUUGUUUGCCCUUGCGUCUUGAGUCGGUUGUUGGAGCUCCAGACGGGAAUUGUGAGACAGUCUCCUGAUCAUCUUGUCCUUCGACUUGAGCAGGUUCACUAGUUUGAUCUUGUAUCAGUGGUUGGUCUUGAUCUUGAUCUUGUGCUGGUUCCGGGUCUUGGAGUAGAGCUUGAAUAUCAUGGGGCAUAUCACCAUUGUUAGGCAAUUCGCUUGUGGGGGUGAUGGCUCCACUUGAGUAGAGCAUUGUCCUUCUCCUUCGGCCACAAGGGGUUCCUCAAUGGGGAGUAUUUGACCUAUCCCCAUUCUUCUUAUGGCUUCGGGAGGAAUUUCAUCACCUAUAUCACAAAGACCACAUUGCUCCACUUGGGAGCCAUUAUUUUCGUCAAACUCUACAUUACACGUCUCCUCAAUUAGUCCGGUGGACUUGUUGAGGACACGGUAAGCAUGAGAGUUUGUAGCAUAACCAACAAAGAUACCCUCAUGUGCUCUAGAAUCAAGUUUAGCUAACCGAGCUCCCUUUUUAAGAAUGAAACACUUACAACCGAAUACCUGGAAGUACUUGAGAUUGGGUUUGUUUCCAGUUAGAAUCUCAUACGGAGUCUUGUUCAAGCCUUUGCGGAUGUAGAGCCGAUUGGACGCAUGACAUGCUGUGUUGAUGGCCUCUGCCCAGAAGUUGUAUGGAGAUUUGAAUUCUGCCAUCAUUGUUCUUGCAGCGUCUAUCAAGGUCCGGUUCUUCCUUUCUACCACACCGUUUUGCUGAGGGGUAUAUGGUGCAGAAUAUUGGUGCUUUAUUCCCUCAUCACCUAGAAACUCAUCUAGUGUGUAGUUCUUGAACUCGGUGCCGUUGUCACUCCUAAUCAUCAAGAUCUUUGCUUCAUGUUGACGUUGCGCUUCAUUAGCAAAGUUGAUGACCGUUUGUUGCGUUUCACUCUUCCUUUUGAAGAAAUAUACCCAUGUAUAUCUUGAGUAGUCGUCAACAAUCACCAAGCAAUAUUUUCUGCCUCCAAGACUAUCAAAUGUCGGAGGACCAAACAGAUCCAUAUGGAGAAGUUCCAAUGGCCUCUUAGUGUAGAUAAGAGUCGUUGGACGAUGAGCAGUUUCAUGAAUCUUUCCUUCAAUGCAAGCACUGCAAACACGAUCUUUAGCAAAGCUCACAUUUGUUAGUCCACGAACAUGGUCCCCUGUCAGAAGACUUUGCAAAGAUCUCAUAUUGACAUGAGCUAAACGGCGAUGCCAAAGCGAGCCCACGUCAACUUUAGCCAUUAAACAUGUCGCAGUCUUAGUGGGUCGUUUUGAGAAGUUCACCACAUAGAGACCAUUUUCGACAUGUCCAACAUAGGCUACUUUAAGAGUCUUGCUCCUUAGGAGGACCACAAUGUCAAUAUUAAAGAAUGUGGAAAAACCCAUGAUUGCAAGUUGACGAACCGAAAGUAAAUUGUAGGCAAGUGACUCAACAAGCAUGACCUUCUCAAUAGAUAAAUCUUGAGAGACGACCACCUUACCAAAUCCCAAUACCUUUGACGAGGAUGCAUCGGCGAAUUGGACAUGGGUGGGCAUAGAUGGAGAAGGAUGCACAUCCACCACUAAGUCCUUGCUUCCGGUCAUAUGAUUUGUUGCUCCACUAUCGAGCAACCAUGACACCCCACCGGAAGCAAACUCCUGCAAUAGAUCAAGGCUUGGUUUUAGGUACCCAUUUUUUAAUGGGUCCUUUCAUGUUAGAGACAAGGGUCUUAGGAACCCAGAUAGGACAUUCAAUAUCUUCAUCGUAGGAACCAACAAAUCUGGCAUAAACAUGCCCAUUACUAGCACAACAUAACACAUAAGAGGAAUUGAGUUUGCCGGCUGUGUUAGUAGGAGCGGUUUUGCCCUUCUUGGGGUUCCCAUAGUCCACCUUUUUCCUGUUCACCUUCUGAGUCCCCUCACCCUCUUUGACAAAGAUGUCCAUGAGGGUGAGAGAUCGUUUGUCCUUGUUCUUCCUUUUACCUUUUGACUUGGAGGUAAGUCCAAGUCCUUCCUUUCCUACAACACCCUUUUGAGUGCUCAAGAGAUCGUUCAGACUCUUCUCACCUUGUCUGCAUGCCACAAGGCCCUUCUCAAGUUUCUCCUUUAACUUGGCAUUUUCCUCCACAAGAUGAACAUGCUCACAACGGGGGUUAGUUGUACAAGUAUUAUCAAUUAACACAAAGGGGGGACAAGUAGAGAUCUCCUUGGUAAGCUUUGCUUGGAGUUGAUCAUGAGACUCUUUUAGAGAGAAAUGAACACCUUUCAAGGCUUUGUGGGCCUUGUCAAGUACGUCAAACUCUUCUUUGAGUCUGUCACGGCCAACCUCAAGAGCAUACUUUUCAGAUUUCAGCAUGCGAGUAAGAACACCAUCAUGAUCUAGUUUCUUUUGCAUUUUAGCGCAGUCAUCGUUAUAUGACUCCUCAAGAGCCAAACGAAGAGUGCGCUCUUCUUCUAGAGCACUAGAUAAUUCGGCAAUUUCAUCGGCAUAGUCACGGCUAUGUCCCUGAAGCUCGGAGAUGGUCUCCUCAUGAGACUCAAUGAGGUCAGUGGCCUCACCCGGUUGUUCUAAGAGAGCAACAAAGUGCUUCUUGGGUUCUCCCUUAAUAGUGCAUAGAAACUUAUCAAGAUCAUGCUCAUUAAGUUCUCCAACAUCACUAUCUUCUACACAAUUUAACAAUGAAGGAGCAGAAGCAAUGUUGGUCUUAAUGAUGGGAGUUACCUGAUUAGUACCUUUUGCCAUGAGACACUUGGUGAUGUGGUUCUCGUUGGGGGCGUUGAAGAGAGACACCUUCUGGGAAGAGGUAGUGGCAAUAGAAACAGUUGCCGUUGCCACUGUAUCAUCAUCAUCACCAUCAUCAUCAGAAGGAUACUCCUCCAGGGCCACCAUCCCUUUUGGGUGAGGUUUCUUCACAAAGUUGUUCUUGAUUGGAAAUGAUUUGGUUUUGUCUUUGCGAAUGAGCUUGCCUCCGUUGUCUUCCCUUUUCUCAUAGGGACAUUCUGCCACGAAGUGACUCACGUUGCCACAGUUAUAACAUGUCCUUACUCGUUGUUUGGGUUUGAAUCCACUUGAGUUGUUCUUGGUGAAGGUGGGUCUUGAGUUCCUUUUAUUUCCCUAGAAUUGCCUUGAUGCAAGAGCCAUGUGCUCAUGAUAAGCAUACUUUGUGUCUUCAGGGCAGCUCUCUUCUUCCUCAUCUUCUUCUUCUUCUUCAAGCACUGCUCUUGCUUUCAAUGCAAGGUUGGGUGAAGUGGUUUUUGAUCGGACACGGGCAAGUGCAUUGUCGGCUGUCUCGUUCAUGAUUGACAUUGCAAUGAACUCAUCCAGCACUUCACUGGAAGACAAGGAGUGGAAGUCUGGCCGCUGACGAAUGACAGAUGACAUGGCUUUAUUGAAAGGCAUGAUGGCUUUGAGAAACUUGCGCUUGACCCAUGUAUCAUCCACAUCCUUACUCCCAUGAUCCUUUAGUGCCACAGCAAUAGCAGUCACCCUCCGAUAGAGAUCACGAGGGUCCUCGUCUUCCUUCAUCACAAACUCAUCGGCCUUAUCAAGUAUCACUUCAUAGUUGGAUCGUUGAAUACUUGAGCUUCCCUUGUACAACACCAUAAUAUGCUCCCAACAAUCCUUGGCCAAUGUGAAGGGACGUAAGUGGGGAAGAUCUUCAGGUGGCACAGCAGACUGGAGAAUAAACAACGCAGAGUGAUUAUAUUGAUUGUCUGCAUCUUCUCUUGGAGUGAGGUUGCUUGGGUCAUGGGGAUAAUAUCCUUGCUCGAUAAUUCUCCAUAAAUUUGUUGAGCUGUGAUUCAAUUGAGACUUAAUAGAAAAUACCUAGUUAGCAAAGUCACCUUUCACAAGUUUAGGAGGAGGACUAACAGGAUUAAGACGAGGUGCGAGAACGGGUCCUCCAUAGGCCAUGGGAGGUGGAACUGAGGCAUAUGUUCGAGUCCCAUCCUUUUCGUGAGGUGAAGCCGGUCGCAUACCUUUAGCCGCUUCCUUAGAGGAGUUGGCCUCCGAAUCGGAAAUGGUGGGUUUAACCACUAAAGCCGGUUCGGGUGAACUUUUAAGACCCUCGAUUAAUUAUUUAAGCAUGGUUUUGAGUUCGCUCGUCAAGGACGUCUUGAGGGCUUACAUAGCCGUAUUCAAGUCAUCCCUUGUGAGCGAAGUCAAGUCCAUGUCCUCGGGUUGCCCAUGGUUAACUUCCUCUCCGCCUUCCAUACUCUUCGGGUGGUUAAACCCUUAAUAAAGAGACGUGGUUCUCAUACCAAUUGAAAGGAUCGAUAUGGUUGGCUAGAGGGGGGGAGUGAAUAGACAAUGACCACUUUUUAAUUAAUCUUAGCAAGUUAAGGUAAACACUAUGCGGGUUCACAAAUAAUAUGACAAUGAGGUGAACCCUAUAGAAUCUAACAACGAGAGCUAUUAAGACAACUAAGAUAUAGUCACAAGCAAAAGCAAAUACAAAGUAAAGGAUAGAGAUAACCACAAGUGGAACCGAUGGAGACGAGGAUGUGUUACCGAAGUUCCUUCCCUUUGAAAGGAAGUACGUCUCCGUUGGAGCGGUGUGGAGGCACAAUGCUCCCCAAAAAGCCACUAAGGCCACCGUAUUCUCCUCACGCCCUCGCACGAUGCAAGGUACCGUGAUUCCACUAUAGGUGCCCUUGAAGGCGGCGACCGAACCUUUACAAACAAGGUUGGGGCAACUCCACUCAAAGCUUGGAGGCUCCCAUCUAAACCAUGAAGCUUCACCACAAUGGAAUAUGGCUUCGAGGUGACCUCAACCGUCUAGGAUGCUCAAACACCCAAGAAUAACAAGAUCCGCAAGGGAUUGGUGGGGGAAUCAACUUUUCUCUUGGUGGAAGUGUGGAUCUAGGCCUUCUCAACCAAUCCCUAAAGAAUCAACAAGUUUGAUUGGCUAGGGAGAGAGAUCGGGCACUUUUGAGCUUGUGGAGCAACAAUGGAGCUUAGAGAGGUAAGAGAUAGGGUUCCUCAGCUAGAAGAACCCUUUAUAUAGUAGGGGGAAAAUUCAGACCGUUUUCCCACUCUCUGCCCGAGUUCCAGCGGUACUACCGCUGAGCAGGUGCGGUACUACCGCUAGAUGCAGCGGUACUACCGCUGGGUCUCCAGCGGUACUAGGAGAUCGGUGGCGGCGGGAUCUGGCGAGUCCCUGGCGGCAGGCAGGCUCUUAGCAGACGAGCGGGGGCGCGCGUUCCAAGGCGGCGGCGGUCGGGUGCGGGGCAAGGAGCUGCUCGGCUACCAGGCGGCGGUGAGGGCUCCCGUCGGCGAAGGAGCUCGGGUGGAGGAGGUUGCAGGCUCGGGAGGAGCANNNNNNNNNNNNNNNNNNNNNNNNNNNNNNNNNNNNNNNNNNNNNNNNNNNNNNNNNNNNNNNNNNNNNNNNNNNNNNNNNNNNNNNNNNNNNNNNNNNNGGGACCCCUUAUGACGUUCCUAUCCAGGUGAUUUCAAGCCUCAUCGGAGAAUUAUGGUCACACCACUCUCCACCACCAUCACUAUACCCCUGUACACCGUGAUGCCCAUGUAUCACCUGCUUGUGUUCACCUCCGCCGUAGCCACCUCCACUGCUACCAUUAUAGUUUCAAUGGAUUAAACAGUCAGCCAUUUUUUAAGUUGAGCCAAGAAGGAGGAGGUAAACGGCGGCAAUUUGUCUCGGGAGGAGUCGCGAGAUUGGAGGAGGCCGAAGGCGAUGAUUUUUCUCGGGAGGAGUCGCGGGAUUGUGGCGAGGGGUUUGGGGCUAGGGGAAGAUAGUAAUUGUGCACGUACAAUACACGUGUUGACUAACAUGACAUUGCUAGUAUUGAAGUUAUAUUAAGUGUGUGUCAAUUAAUUUGAAUCGGAAAGUAUAAUUCAAUUUCAAAAAAUGAAAGCAUAACUUCAUUUGUGGCCCUAUCAUUAUGAUGUUUUCUAUCUUCGUUAUUAACUCCAUUUUGAAAAAUGAGGAUGUAUAAGAUCAAAACAUUGAUUUGCAUAGAAUUUAAUGGUGCAUGCGAAAAUCAAGGGCAUAGAACUAUCCGAAGUCAUGACUCUUUUAUUAAAAAAUAAGUUGGACCGUUGCUGUACGAAUGGUGCCAAUAAUAAGAAACUUAGUCCAAAUUUUUUGGCAUCUGCACUGCAUUGUACAGAUGGAUAGUAAAGCCCAAUUGUAUGGAUUGCUAAGCAUAACUUAUCUAUGUUCCAUCCCUCAUGAGGUCGUCCCUACUUAUCAAUCACAUAGUGAUGCAAAGCAGCGGUUAGAUAUCCUGAAACAUCCAUCUGAUUCUACAAAAAGCAUUUUCGUUUUCCCACCUCAAAUCUGCAAACUCAGUGUCUUUUAUAAUCAGAAUUUUGGAUGGUGAUAUAAAUUAACAAAGUCAAAAUGUCGUUGAGUCACACUCUUUCCCACGUCUUACAAAUGAAACAUGAAUUAAAAAGAAACCAAUUUUGGAUGAUGAUGUUAAUUAACAAAGAAUAUGUUGAUGUAUAUUAAUCAAAAUUUCAGAUGGAGAGCCAACACACAUGGGACACAUAGUUGUAAAAGUUAUAGGUUGCAAAGUACCUGAUUUUUCAUCUUCGCAAUGACCAGAUGACGGCGAAGCACACUUGGAUGCGCGAUAUGCAGGGACGGCGGCGAGAUCACCAGCGCAUCAUUGUUUCCCGGGCUGCUGACCUACGAUGGUAGGCAUGCAUCAAAUUAAUCCAGGCAAGCACUGCACGUACGCCGGUCAGACAAAAGACGAUACAGCCGCACACGUAGCAUCGUUAACUACUAAUUACCAGCACCAACUAAUCCUACUACGACAGCCAUACCUCCAGCCACUAAACUUCUAUUCCUAGCCAACUAGUACAUUGACGAUUCACCAGCAACUAGCAGAGACGGCGACAUUUUGUGCUGGACGAGCACACUUCCUCUUCCCCGCCUGACUAUUUGUCAGAGUUCCACACCAUGACACAUUGCUCGUACUCCUUCAGCGGUGCAGGCUCGCCCACAUCACCUGCUGGCUGUCUAGCUAUCAAUGAAACAGAUUUGGUCGCGGCUCUUAAGGACAAUAAAGAAAUGGUGAAUACUCUUCAAGGACCACAUGCUGGAAAAGAUAGAAGAGUUCUGCCUCCAUCUCCAACAGCUGUUAAGAGGAUCCGUACAGUUUGGGUGGAAGUAGAUGACACCCAACUCGAUCGGCCUGAUCUCAAGAUGCUUAGCAGAACGCAAAACGCUGGAGUACUAAGGCCAAUCUCUGUUCUGGAGGCACUCAGAUCUCCUGUGGUGUGCUAUGCUUGAAGAUGGAAGCUGCUAAAAAAUAAGUCCCCUAAUAGUGCGCAAAUUUCUGUUUACGUCUGAUGUAAUAAAAUAGAUAGACGCGGUUGCCUCAGCGAUUUCUUAGUUUUUGUUUCUGCCUUAUGCUAUGCUUGUAACCCUUAACCUGACAUCAGGCUUCUUUCUGAGUAAUGGAGCCGGGGAGCUCCUCCGUAUUGGGACAGGGUGUCCUGCAAUUUCAGCGGAGCGGAGAGUGUGCCAAGCUUGCUGGGACAGGGUGUCCUAAUUUCAGUGGAGCGGAGAGUUAGCAUACUCCAUAAAAUAUACUCUAUAAACUUAAUCAAGCUCUGAAAUGACAUGACGAAAUCGUGUGUUUCUAAUCUUCGCCAUAUUCUACAUCCGAAAGUUCACUCGGCAAUUAACAUACAUGUUAAUAACACUCUCCAUGACCUACAAUCUAAUUUAAAAUGAUCAAUAUCCUAGCUCUGUUGGAUCGAUGACCUCUUACUAACUCUGAAAAUUCCAUGAGCAGUGACACACUUGGUCAGAUAUCUGUGUAAACUGUGGAAUCUUCAGUCAAUGAUAAAUGUAUUACUUCAUGCCCGAUCGAUGACUCUUUACUGAAACAUUGAAAACUAUGUGUGCACUUGACAUAGGUGUGUCACACAUAGUGCUUUGGAAGUGGACCCCGACAAACAAGCCGACCGGCAUGCCAUACCUGAUAUCGAAACCAUGCUCCCAUGGAUCAAGGUUGUAGAAAUCAUAUGCUUCACACAAGGAGUCGAAAGUUAAUCCAAUAGCACGCUCAACUACAUGGUCCCCCAAUUUAUCUGCAUACCCCCUAAUUGUCUGCUCCAGCGCGCCUACUCAUUCAGGGCAUGUGGCUCUAUCCGGUGGCUGAUUCCCUACUCUGCAACAACAUGAAGCAAAAUUCUUAUAUAUGAAAUACCAACCAUUUUUGCACGCCUGUCUAGUUUUUUUUGCGUGUAAUCAGAAACUAAUUUAGGGGAAAUGCAAGAUCCAACACAUGGCAGUACAACUACAACAAGCAUAUCCACCACAACAUUUCCAGUUCUAUUUACUUUAUCAUAGUCCACGGAAGGAAAACCAAAAAUUGGGCUACUCUGAGAGUGCCUCACGAGAUCAUAUGAAACUACAAUAACUAAGACAUCAUCGCAAUCCUGGCUUUGCUACAACUCAUUGACCUCUUAUAAGCAUAUGCCUAUUACCUCUUAGUCCAUGCAGAUGUUUGCGGAUCCACCUUGCCAGUAGAUUCAGCAGAGCCUCCGUCAUCACUUGCAGUUCGAUCUUGAAUAAUAGCCUCUUGGUCUCCAUCUAUCUUUGCUUGGCCGUCGGCUUGGUCAAUUCAACGGAGAGUUAGCAUUUCAGUUGCAAAAAUAAGAAUAUUUUAGCACAAUUUUCACUUGGUGUAAUUUAAUGCAAUUUUAUUGAAGAAAACCAAGGCAUAAAUUUAAGCAGAAGGUCCAAAAUGAAGUAUCAACAACAUAUGGCACUGAUCAACGAAGAUCCAUAAACAAAUAAUAGUGAGCUAUUUUCCAGAAAAGUUAUUUUUGGUACUAUCCAAAAACAUCUCAGGAGCAAACCCCCGCUGUCUGGUCCAUUGCACACCACAAGCAUAACAAUAGAAUAAUAUCAACAAUGGCAGCCCUACUUAAUCUCAACCGAGUCAGUCUUGUCUUGCCUCUAUUGUGUGGUGGGAGCUUGACAUCCAUUCUAUUCUAGUUCAGUAUGACAAUGGAACUACUAUCACACUCCUAAAAGGAAAAAAAUCCUAUGGGCUCAAAGACAGUAGCAUAUUGUUUGUAUCAAUCAGUUUACUCAUACUAUGUGAGAACAGUGGAUUCAACCCAACCAACCAACUUUGUGAAAUCUGCCCAUUGUUUUCCUUGUGGAAAGAAAAAGAAAAGGCCCUUCGAUUACUACAUACCUCCACUUGCAGAGAGCCAAUCUCUCGCUCAACUCCUAAAAUAUGCAAAAGAAGAGAAAUGGUGUCAGAAAUUAGCACAUUGCCAACUACAUUUUUCUUCAACAGCUGCUACUUAAGCCAGUAUCGCUGUCUGUUGUAAUCUUAUUCUGUGAAAUUAUCACCUUUUGUAGCGACUGACAUCUCUCGCUUGCUCGUCCUGAGAGCCUCUGCAGGUGACAAAAGCAUCAGGCCAUCAGUUCGCAACGCCAAACUCCACACUGUGUGUUAAUUCGCAAUUUGCAGCACACCCCCGAAUGAAUUCAGCAAGUUUCCCCACUCCAACACCCAGGGCAUUAUCGAUUUAUCCUCCAUCUACACAGGCGCUAGGUUACCCUAAAACCCUACUUACGGAAAAGUUAUUCCCCCGGACAAAGAAGGCGGCCAAAACACAUGAAAGAGUUGACGUGCCUUUUUCUUAUUUUAGAAACACAAGUCCCAUACGACAAUGGUACAAUUCAGGAGGCAAUAGUUCAGUUCAGUCUCGUGAUGAUUUUUCUUCAGAUAAUAUAACACUUAAGGAACUUAAAUAUAUUACUACUUAUUCCAAGUAAAGUUAGCCAAUUUUAAAAGUAAGUUCUAGGCCAAGAACUACAUAUUUUUAAAUAUGAAAACUCAAUUUUCCCUCAGCAACCAAGAAAGCACAAGUGCACGAUCACACAGUACAUAUGUAACCAGCCACUACAGUCAAAUCCAAAAGGUAGCUUCUAUAUAGUAGAAUAGCAUUUCAUACAUAAAGGGAAAAGUACAGGCCUUUUGCCAAACCAGAAACCAUGUGGAUUUUGUCAGGGUUACUCUCGACUCCAAAUCAUGCAUCUCAACUCCCAAUCAUGCAUCGUAGGACUAACCUAGCUCAGAGCACGAAUCCAACCAGCCCCGCCGGCCGGCCGGCCGGCCCCAACUCAAUCCCCUCACCCGCCCACAUAUAGAAAUACUAAUAGUACAAUUCAGACGGUGGCCGAGGCGAGGAGGGCAAUGCACUGACCUAAGGCGGAGAUCUUCUCCCUGAGCUGCACCAGCUCCGCCCGAAGCGCGGCCGCCUCGGGGGCCUCCUUGACUCCGCCCGCCGCGAUCUCCCGGGCCCCCACUGGGUCCACCGCCGCCUGCUCCUCCGCCAGCUGCCACUGCGCCACCGCGAGGAGUGGCGGUGACGGCUGCUCGAGGCCCCGCAGGCCGCAGGGAGAGCGCCUCGGGGACCCUAACCUGACCGAUGGGAUCGAAUGCGAGAUGCCUGUGAGAGGAGCAACGCCUCCAGGGUCCAGCCGCCCUGCAUCAUGGGGCUCCCGUGGAGAGAAGGCAGUUUAAUCGAUCGUGGUCUCGCGGGAAAAGUAUCGGUUUCACGUAUUAAACCGAACCCUAUGAACCGGAUUUUUUUCUGCAUUUAAUUGAUUGGUUUAUGGAGGGAUGAAAAAAAUCGGUGGAAACAGUGACAGUGCUAGCGAGGGGAUCUGUCGUGGUCGAACCAUCACGAUGACGGGAGAUCCUCUUUAAUAGUAGAGGUAUGUGUGUGUGCGCGCGCGUGCGUCCUGGAUUGUAGAGUCGCCGCACCCCUCCCCUUUGGCUAGCUCCCCAUGCUUCCGGCCCCGACUCUCGCCGCCUACCUCCCCACGUUGCACUGCGAAGCCCCGCCUCCUCUCACCCUCAUUAGCACUGCCACCUCCACGUCCAAUGGAUCCAGGCGUCCCUCGUCAGAUCGCGCCGCCAAGUACCCCGAUGGUGCCUGAUCUCGAGCGGUUGGGGAUCCCCCGCGCCUCCCCUACCUUGCGAUGGGCGGCAAAGUGCUUGUUCCUAGAAACCGUCGCGACUGCGUGCCCCGCUCUGACUUGCACCUCCGAGCUUCCUCCCUUGAUUUUUUCCUCCUCAACCCCUUCGCCUUACCGUCUCCCCGAACUCACCGCUGCAUUCAAGGGAGCUCGCACCACCUGGUGAGAAGGAGCUCGCUGUGCCCGUACCCCCAGCGAUGAGCUCGAUGACGGCUUUCCCCCAUCGGCCCCAUCAUCGGCCAUGCCCUAGUGGAGAGCCUUGCCGCCGGAUCCAGGGGACUAGUUGCCCCCUUGCGUUCCCAUGGCGUCCCUGAUAGCCGGCGUGUAGUCCGCAAUGCAACCAGGCGCAACACCGAGCCUUCCCUCAUUUUUUUCAUGUGCACUUCACUUGAAAAACGAAGAAGAACAACGAGCUGCCACAUCACCUUCCUCAGUUGGACUCCAUUCUCUUGGGUAACAGAGGCACGAAGUCCGUCGUGCUCUAGUAGAGGUGGACGGGCCUUCUAGAUCCAUGCGCUAGCAAGGUCAAAGACCUCUACGUCGUUGUUUGUUACAUGAAGAUGUACAACUUGGUACAAGCAAUCAUGCAGCUCGAUGUACAAUUUCAAUUUUAAUUUUGCUUAUGAAGGGUGUCUUCGUGCUUGCCUACUAGGUCUAUUUCGUGUGCGAGUUUGUGGGAUACAGAGCUGUUAGUAUACGAAAUGAACAAAUUGCACUAGUGUAGCUAAAAAGGAAAAUCAAUGCGACAAGUUCACUUCUUUAAAAGUACUUCACUAAUUUAUGCCCGCAGUUUACUUUCCAUAGAGAAAAAAAUGGAGAACUCUAUUCUCAUCCAUGCAAUUUUAAUGCAUUUAAAAAAUGAUACAACACACUAACAUUGAUCAUGUGGUCCACUUAAGCCUGUGAAAUUUUUUAGAAGAAAAGACCAAAAUAUGUUACAAUUCGCUUAGAUUCGGUUCAUGAAAAGUAAAAAACAAGACAAAAAAGCAUGUGUUCCACUUUUUUCUAAUGAUGUGUUUUGUCUUUUGAAGCAAUACAGUUUUUUGUUUGAUGUAGUUCAUCUUGCAAGUGUAGAAAAAUGUUAUCGAAAUGACAAAAAAUAUUGUGGUUCACUCCUUGAUAGUGUUGCGAUUCACAUGCGCCCAAUGUGAACCAAAUUAUCAACUUCCUCGCAUGAGAAAAUUCACGUCGGACAAAAAGAAACCAUGAAGUUCACUUGCUCAUUCGAUGCAGUGCAGGCUUUAGUCCGAUGCAGUGCAUUCUUUUGUAUGAUGCGGUUCACGCGUCGAUUUUGGUGUCGCAAAAAACAGAGUGUCCGCAUUUCGGUAAUUUCAAAACUAUUCUUAAACCGUAAAGAAAUAGAGAGAGUGAUCAACAUGAAAAAGUUGCACCUCAUCGAUAUCUUUCCGACAUCAUAUCAUUAGCAUCGUUUUGACGAACGAUUUGAAUUUUUUAAUGAAAAUACAGUUACUGCAACUCGUAGGCAGCCACACCGUUUUCAAAAUUCAUUUAAAACCAUGAGGAAUCUCAACAAAUGACCAACAUAUGAAAGUUGUGCCUACUCAUAAAUUUCCAACACCGUAUCACACACCUCGUUCUGACGAAUGGUUAAAAAACUGCAUCAAAAAUCGUGCCGAAAAAUCAAAAAUCGACACAAUUCCUCAUUUUGGUAAAUUUGAAACUUCUCUUAAACCGUAAGGAAUUAGAGAGUGCAAUAUCCAUGUAAAAGUUGUGCCUAGAUGAUAUCUAUCCAAUGCCAUAUCGUUUUCUUCAUUUCGACAUGCGGUUUAGAAUAAAUCACGAAAAUACGUGCACUCCUACCCAUGAGGCACCCAUCAUUUUCGAAACUACUCUUAAGAUGUGAGGAAUCCUGAAAAGUGUUCAACAUGGCUAAGUUGCACAUUUGCCAUGGCUAAUCUGCACGUCCUCACAACCCUUUCGACUAGGGAGCAUUUAGGGUAGUCAUCAUAGAAUGCAUAGACUCACAAACAAGUCACGUACUUAUUGAUACACAUCAUUUAUAAUUUCCAAGGAGUAACUUUAGUCAUAAACACAUAUAAAAUAUCAUCAUACAUGAUUGCCUCUAGGGCAUAUCUCCAACAGAAACUGCCGCCCGAGCCGUCCUCCCUUGCAGAGACUUGCUUCAUCUUGGCAGUAGCCACCUUGGAUUUCUUGCUUUUUGCGACAGAGCUCUCUGACAUCUCCUGAAGUGGUGAGUUGCUGUCACGCCCAAGAUGCGAUCAUAUCCUCAAUUUGGCACGAGGGCCUCAUCAGGGAUAGAAGCGCAUCUCGUCGUUUCGCAAGAAUGGAUAUCGUUACAAGUACAUGUACUGAAAAGAAGUGAUAUAAAGAAUUGGCUUACACUCGCCACAAGCUACAUCAGAGUCACAUCAGUACAAUACAUAAUCAUCAUGAAGAAGAGCAGGGUCCGACUACGGACGAAAGCAAACGAGAAAAGAAGAACGACGUCCAUCCUUGCUAUCCCAGGCUGCCGGCCUGGAACCCAUCCUAGAUCGAUGAAGAAGAAGAAGAAAAAGCAAGUCCAAAUGAACAAUCAACGCGCUCGCGUCAAGUAAUAUUUACCUGUACUUGCAACUGGUGUUGUAGUAAUCUGUGAGCCACAGGGACUCAUCAAUCUCAUUUCCAAAGGUAUCAAGACUAGCAAAGCUUAUUAGGUGAGGUAUGGUUAAGUGGUGAGGCUGCAGCAAGCGGCUAAGCAUUUAUAUGGUGGCUAACUUACGAGUACAAGAAUAAAAAGGGGGAUGAUCUAAGCAUAGCGGACGUGAACUAAUGAUGAUCAAAUGAAUGACCCUGAACACCUACUUACGUCAGACAUAACCCCACCGUGUCCUCGAUCAGAGAAGGAACUCGCGAAAGAGACAGUCACGGUUCCCACUGAGUUGGCAUAUUUUAAUUAAAUUAACUUCAAGUUAUCUAGAACUAGUGUUAAACAAAUUUUCCACGUUGCCACAUAACCGUGGGGAUGACUUUCCAAAAAGAUUUAACUAGGGAUGAAAAUGGAGUGGAAACUUUCCGCUUUUCCGGAGGAAAAAUGAAAACGGAGUGGAAAUAUGAAAGCGGAAAUGGAAAUUUGCAAAACAAAAAUGGAAAUGGAAUUUUUAAUGUGAAAACGGAAACAAAAACAAAAGAGUGUUUUCCGGUGGAACAUAUGUGGAAAUGGAACUUUCCGUUUCCGUGAAUAUGGAAUUUCCCAUUUUUCUAUAGGCAUACGGCUGCUUUGUAGCCCAACCAUCAAAUAACACACAAUGGCACAAUGAGCAUAAUGGAUCAUUUGAGGCCCAACUUAUACUACCAUAUUUGUACUCAGCUAGACCCUAUACACAAUUGUCAUGUAUUAAUACAAUACUAGGAUAUGUUGCUAACAUAAUCAAAUUAUUUUGUAGACAUGUUGGCAAUUCAUUAAUUCUUGUUGUUGUCUGUAUUACUCUAUGAUUCAAGGGGUUUCAAAGUUCCGGUCAACGCCCACUUCCAUUUCUGUAUCCGUUUUGUAUUCGCUCCGUGUCUGUUUCCGGUAGUAUUUGUUUCCGUAUUCAUUUCCAGGGUUUCUGUAUUCGUUUCCACUUCUGCAAAACAAUAUGAAAACAAAUGUGAUAGCACUCAAUUCCGUCCGUUUCCGCUCCGUUUUCAUCCCUAGAUUUAACCCUACAGGGGUGCUCCAACUAGUCCAUCACAAAUUACCACAAGCCGCAUAGAAAUCCUCGAUCACGAAGCUCACGAUCUCGUCAGACUCCUUAGUGGAAAACCUCAACUCUAAGAUUACCCAAAGCAUCACCGGAAUCCCGAUGCACAAGCUAUCUCGUCAAAGGUAAAACUAAUCCAGCAAGGCCGCCCGACGUGUCGACGAUCCCGACAGGAGCCACGUAUCUCGUUCUCAGGACACGACGGAUGAGCUAGACGUCGGGAUCGCUAAAUCCUGGGUGACGAGGGGGCGCCGGACAUCGCUCAGGUGGGACCAACACUCAUGAGGAGCACUGGCCCGGGGGUUGAUUAAAUUACUCCGUGGGUGCCGGCGGGUCCCUAUGCAUUAUUAUUAGGUUGUUAGGAAAAUGUAGUACCAAAGUUGGGCCUUGCGAGACCAGCUUUAAUCCAAAACGAAUUAUCAAGGGGGUCCCCAUAACAACCCCGAUCGUGUUAGUAGUGCUCAAUUAUGGAACAUAACACCGGUAGCGGAAACUAGGGGGCAAAGGUGGAACAAAACACCAGGCUAGAAAGGUCGAGCCUUCCACCUUAUACAAAGUAUAUAGGUGCAUUAAAUUAUUAGCAUUUAAUAGGGUGAUAAAACAAAGAACCCAUGAUAUCACAUGGAAGCAACUGCACCUGCAACUAGCAACGCUAACACAAGGUUAAGCAAGCGGUAACAUAGCCAAUUAGUGGUUUACUAGGUUGUGUACAGGUUGAAGGUUUUCAUGGCAUUGUUGAGAGGCUGAUAUUUAACAUGUAGUAGGCAACGAGACAUAGCGACAAAAGCGAUAAUACUAGCAUGGCAAUGAUAGUAAUGGUAUCUGGGGAAAUGGUCAUCUUGGCUGAGAUCCCGCUUGGAAGAAGAAUGACUCCGUGAAGCAGACGAACCGAUGUAGUCGAACGGGUCCUCACAAUCGCACGCGCUUGCGGAACUCUAUCGAGACGAAGGAAACCGGAAACAAGCAUCAACACAGAUAUUCACCAUGGCACAUGCACGAUGGAUGCAAUCCACAUAUGAUGCAUGAAUGGUGAAGACAUGCAAGACAUGGCAUGGCAAUUCACGACAAUCAAACACUACACAUUAAGUGAAGUUCAAUAUGCAACGAGUUGCAUAUUGACGAAACUCCACAUACAGAUUAUUUAGUUCUAUCUCGAUUAGGUACACGGCAAUAUUAAAUGUUGUUAAACAUGGCAAGAGGUGCAGCACAAUUAAUCUACCUGUUUAGGCAUUUUAAAUGAGGUCAGAAAUGUCAUAUAGCACUUCCGAGAUGACCUCAUAUGUUAAUUAACAAUUCUGUCCAGAUCUGAACUAACAUGUUUUAAUAGUUGUUAAACAGCAAAACAAAUAGGUUCACGUGAUUGUACGCGUCGUUACAAGCAAUUUACACAUAGAGAACAUCUCCAACGGAGCUACGGUUCAAAAGAUACGAACACCGCAAGAUACGAUGGCAUGAAUGCAAUAUGUGUGCAAAUGGCCUCCACAACAUUUCAAAACACGCAACCAACAAUAUAAUACGAAACUACACGAGAUUCUAAGCAAGUUUCAUAUAGGACACGGUCAAACGGAGCAACGGUUCAACAACUACGGGCUAAACAAGAAAUCACCACAAUAUGUCCAAAACAGCCACAUAGCAUUUUCUACACCCCACAACUACGAGCUACACAAAUCCAAUAUGCUCAACCAAGGCAUGAGGAAAUAGAGGGCAAGAUGCACUACCACAUACAACUAAUAACAUCUAGCAUGGAAGCAUGGAUCACUAGGAAAAGAAGUCACAAAAUGGAUUCUCACACACAGUUUCAGACUUAGUGGAAGUAAAAGUUUAUGAAACUGCAGUUUUCGAUCUGAAAGCAUAUUGACAGUAGCAAAACCAUAAGCUACAGGACUCCAAAUGGCAUGAAAAUUGACAGCAUGCUAGAUAAUCCUAAAGUCUACAACUAACUCCAUUGCACCAACCUCAAAAGAGUNNNNNNNNNNNNNNNNNNNNNNNNNNNNNNNNNNNNNNNNNNNNNNNNNNNNNNNNNNNNNNNNNNNNNNNNNNNNNNNNNNNNNNNNNNNNNNNNNNNNAGGCGGCCGGGGGGACGAGGUGGCGACGGGAUCCGGCGAGGAGCGGGCCGGCUCCUCCUGCUAGGGUCCGACGGGGACGAGCCUGCGUGGUCGCUGGCGUUGACUGGGGUGACGGGGGUGACGGGGAGGCCGUGGAGAGGCUGGGGAACGGCGACUGCUUGACGCGGCUUCGGCCAGGGACGGCGCGGGGACGAGGGCUCUGGAUCGGGGCUCCUCCCCGAUCUAGAGCUCGACCUCUGUUUUGCACUUUGGUCGCCCGGACAUAUCCGGGUUGGCCGCGAACAUGUCCGGUAGGUGGGGAAAUAGGGCAAUCUAAGCCAUUAGAUGUAAAUUCAAUGGCCAGAUUUGGUCAGAGGGUUUGGGCUGCGGGAUUUAGAGGGUUAGGCCUAGCAGGUGGAGUUUUUGAGGGGGGUGGCUGCAAGAAUGGCUAGGGGAAACCCUAGUGACUCUCUAGGGGGUGAUACUUUUAUAGGGUUGGUCUCUGGUGGGGUGGACCUCGUCCGUCCGAUCGCGAUCCAACGACCACGAACGGAGGAAGUGGCUAGGUGGGACUAGUGGGCUGUGUAGUUGGGCUACGUAGGGAUGAGAGGGAAAUGGUGUGGCGCGGCAACAUGGUUUAAAACACCGAAACACAUCCGACGAUAGACCGAAUACGGUGCCGCUACGGUCGACCGUUCGGGUACCAGACGGACUCCGAUUGCGUCGAAAUUUGACAGGCGUCCAACCCAAUCGGAGAAAGUUUUGCGCACACUUUUUAAAACAAGAUUUUCACGAUGCCGCGGCGCGUGCGUGUGUAGUCGGGCUCAGAACGGACAACGACGAGAACCAGCAACUAACAACGGAUGCAAGUUUUGAAAACUCGCGGCAAUGGGAUGCCAAUGAAAUGCUGAUGAUGCGCAUGAUGCGAUGAUGUGCGACAAAUAAAAAUAACCACACAAUGAAAACGGAGUAAAGGGGGGGUCUUCUGGAGCGUCGGCAUCGGGCUGCCACAGCUGCACUCCGUGGUGUGCUUCCUAGAGUCCUUGCUAGAGGUGUGGUCGGUCUUCUUAUCUUUCUUUCCCCCGGGAGCCUUAUCGGCAUGAGCAAGUGCCUUGUCGCUAGAUGCUGCAACUACUUCCUGGUAGAGUUUGUCAGCACAAAGAAAUGUGUCCUUGCUCUCGGAAUGGAUGGUGAUGAGUCUUAUCAGACCUGACAACUUCAAUGUGUUGUAGGCAUAGUGAGACACUGUUGUGAAUUUCGCCACAACCAGCCGACCAAGAAUUCUUUUUACGACAGCGGUAUCUUGACAACGUCGAAGACAAUCUUCUCCAUCCUAAAGUUGAGCUCGGUGCCAAACAUCACUGGAAAGGUGAUUUGGCCCUGGGUUGGCUUCUCCUCGGAUUGAUUCCUCGGAAUGUAUCUGUCUUCUUGACAUCCUAAUAAUGUUUUGCAGCCUCUUAGUUACCUCUAGGAAAAUCAAGUUCAAGAUUGCCCCACCACCAACCAACAUCUUAGUCACCUUGAGGUUCCAUAUUGUUGGUGAAACCAACAACGACAAACACCCGACCGCCAUGGUGCAUUCAGGAUGGUCCUUGGCGUCAAAGAUGAUGGGUGUGUUGUACCACUUGAGUGGCUUUUGCGCCUCCAUUUCCAGUUCUGCUGCAUUGAUCUCCCGUCCCACUCCUUGAGCUGUCGGCGAGUGGAUGCAAAGAUGCACCUCCGUAAAUGAACAUGGCGUCUUUUACGUGUUGGAAUUCUCCAUCGUUGGACUCUUCAUUGUCUUAAGCAUUAAUUUCUUCGCCUUCCUUCUUGUCACGACCUCUAGCAAGCUUCUCCUUCUACUGCUUGGCCUUGCCGCGAUACCCUCUGCGGUCGCCACGGUUUUUCUGGUCGGACCCACUGGCACCAUCCUGGCCUUUCUCCUUAUCACGCUUCUCAUACUUUUGCUUCUGUUUUUCAGCAAGUUGCUCAACUUGCUGGCACUCCUGGAGAUCAUGACCAUUGGUGUGAGGGAUCUUGUAGUAUGACCCAUUGGUCUUUCCGGUCUUCUCGUAUGACAGCCCGAUGCCGACAGUCCAAAGGAUUCCCCUUCUAUUCUGUUUUCGUCGUGUGUCUAUUUUUAUUUGUCGCAUCAUCAUCGCAUCAUGCACAUCAUCAGCAUUGCAUUGGCAUCUCCGUUGCCGCCAGUUUUCAAACUUGCAUCCGUUUUUAGUUGCUGGUUCUCGUCGUUGUCUGUUCUGAGCCCGACCGCACAUGCACGCGCCGGCGACACCGUCAAUAUCUGGUUUUUAAAAUUGUGUAUAAAACAAUCUCUGAUUGGGUUGGAAUUUGACAUGCGGUCUUAUUCUUAUAUAGAUAGGCCACAUGUCGAAUUUCGUCGCGAUCGGAGUCCGUCUGGUACCCGAACGGUCGACCAUAGUGGCACCGUAUUCGGUCUAUCGUUGGACGUUUGUCGGUGUUUUAAAAUACGUUGCCGGGCCACCCGUUUUCCUUCUCAUCUCCGGAUAACUACUCUACAUGGCCAUUUAAUCCGUCCUGCAUUCGGAAUUAUUCGAAUCUGACCGCACGGUUGAAACCGGGGCGGAAUUUUGCUAAACCUAGCCCCCUUUGCCUAUGAAUAGGACCUCCCAUGCCAUUUUUAGACACCCUACCCCUUUGCCUCAAAAACCGUGCAGUCCCCGAAACCCUAACCGAGCCAUCUCUCUCCUCCCACCAGCCACCAGCCACUGCGGGCCCGCCGAGCCCACAUCGGGNNNNNNNNNNNNNNNNNNNNNNNNNNNNNNNNNNNNNNNNNNNNNNNNNNNNNNNNNNNNNNNNNNNNNNNNNNNNNNNNNNNNNNNNNNNNNNNNNNNNNNNNNNNNNNNNNNNNNNNNNNNNNNNNNNNNNNNNNNNNNNNNNNNNNNNNNNNNNNNNNNNNNNNNNNNNNNNNNNNNNNNNNNNNNNNNNNNNNNNNNNNNNNNNNNNNNNNNNNNNNNNNNNNNNNNNNNNNNNNNNNNNNNNNNNNNNNNNNNNNNNNNNNNNNNNNNNNNNNNNNNNNNNNNNNNNNNNNNNNNNNNNNNNNNNNNNNNNNNNNNNNNNNNNNNNNNNNNNNNNNNNNNNNNNNNNNNNNNNNNNNNNNNNNNNNNNNNNNNNNNNNNNNNNNNNNNNNNNNNNNNNNNNNNNNNNNNNNNNNNNNNNNNNNNNNNNNNNNNNNNNNNNNNNNNNNNNNNCCCGAGCUCCUUCGCCGACGGGAGCCCUCGCCACCGCCUUGUAGCCGAGAAGCUCCUUGCCCCGCACCCGACCGCCGCCGCCCUAGAACGCGCGCCCCCGCUCGCUUGUCAAGAGCCUGCCCGUCGCCAGGGACUCGCCAGAUCCCGCCGCCGCCGAUCUUCUCGUACGGCCGCCGCCUCGAGGCGCCACCACCGGGAAUGGAGUCCCCACGGCAGGAUCCGGCAGAUCCCGCCGGUUUCCUCCGCUUCCUGCGCCCUCCCUUCGCCGGUCCGACGGCCGCCGCCGCGGUCAACUCCCACCACCGACUUCCUAUGAGCGUGCGGGAGGAGACGACCAUCGACCAGGCCUGCCUCUCUCGCCAGCGCCCCGCCUGGGCCUCCUCUCGCCCCUGACCGCGUGGGCCUUCCUCGCCCCUCCCUCCAGGCCGGCCCAGGUGAGCAGCCCGAGAUCUCUUCCUCCCCCAUGUGCAUGUUAACUAAGUUGCGCCCACUGUUCGGCCCAUUAGUUAAUUUAGGAAUUUUCGGAAUUAAUAAAUUCCAGAAAAGAAACAUAUAUUAGAUUGCCCGUAACUUUUUAACCGCAAGUCGGAUCGCGAUGAAUUACAUAUGGUUUUUGUGUAGAAUCUCGCGUAGAUUACGAAUUUACAACUUGCUUAAUUGUUUGAUGUAGUUUGACGUGCCAAAUGCAUAGUUUUACAUGCUGUCCCAAUAGGAUUCGUCCCGUAUUUAUUUUCUCGUGCGAGUCCGGAUUGCUAGAACCCCCUAGGUAAAAUGUUCAUGUUUUAGGAACCCCUUUGCCAUGUAUUUUAGAGUAGUCAAUGGUAUUUUUUCAUGUACGUUUUCGACGCUAGUUUAUUUUCCGCGUUUAGGACAUAAUCCCGCAUAUACGUGUGGCGUUGUUCUCAUGUUGCAACCCCUCAUGUUAUAUAUGUUUUCGGGAUAGAAAAAUCCAUAGGAUUUAACUGUGUAUUUAGUUUUAGCUUUUGAGCAAGUUAGUUCGCGCGAUAUUUUGCUAUGUUACCCUCUUGUCUAUUUUGUGGGAUUUAUUCCGUGCUUGAUAUGAUUAAGUUGUCAACUAGAGAGUUGCUCUUGGAUGUUUAGUCUAGCCCCUCGUAAUUUUGGUUGCAAUAGAAAUCCAUGUUUAGGUGGUCUGCUUGUUCUUUACUUGCUAGGAAAUAGUGUUGUUUUGGAGAUGCUGAAAUAUUUCUAAGUCUGAAUCUGUUAUAUUUUGUUGCUGUCUUGUCUUGCUUCUAUCUUGUGAUUUGUAUCUCUUGUGAGGUUGGUGCAAUGGAGUUAGUUGUAGACUUUGGGAUUCUCUAGCAUACUGUGAAUUUUCAUGCCAUUUGGAGUCCUGUAGCUUAUGGUUUUGCUGCUGUCAAUAUGCCUUCAGAUCGAAAACUGCAGUUUCAUAAACUGUUAUUUUCACUAAGUCUGAAACUGUGUGUGAGCAGCCAUUUUGUGACUUCUUUUCCUAGUGAUCCAUGCUUCCAUAUUAGUUGUUGUUAGUUGUAUGUUGUAGUGCUUCUUGCCCUCUAUCGUGUCAUGUCUGGAUUGAGUAUAUUGGAGGUGAGUAGCUCGUAGUUGUGGGGUGUAGAAAAUGCUAUGUGGCUGAUUUUGGCAGAUUGUAGUGAUUUCUUGUUUAGCUCGUAGUUGUUGAACCGUAGUUCCGUUUUGAUCAUGGCCUAUAUGAAACUUGCUUAGAAUCUCGUGUAGUUUCAUUUUACCUUGCUGGUUAUGUGUUUUUUAAAUGCUUGUGACUGUCGUUGCACACAUUAUUGCAUUCAUGCCAUCAUAUCUUGCGGUGUCCGUAUCUUUUGAUCCGUAGCUCCGUUGGAGAUGUUCUCUAUGUGUAAAUUGCUUGUAACGGCGUGUAGAAUCACGUGAACCUAUUUGUUUUGCUGUUUAACAACUAAUUAAACGUGUUAGUUCAGAUCUGGACAGAAUUGUAAAUUAACGUAUGAGGUCAUCUCGGAGAUGCUAUAUGUCAUUUCCGACAUCAUUUAAAAUGUCUAGAUAGGUAGUUUAAUUAUGCUUCACCUCUUGCCAUGUUUAACCACAUUUAAAAUUGCCGUGUAUCUAAUCGGGAUAGAACGUUGCAUAUUGAACUUCACUUAAUGUGUAGAGUUUGAUUGUGUGAUUUGUCAUGCCGUGACUUGCAUGUAUUCAGCCUGCUCAUGCAUCAUAUGUGGAUUGCAUCUUGUCGUGCAUAUGCCGUGGUGAAUAUCGUGUGUUGAUUCUUGUUUCCGUUUUCCUUUGUCUCGAUAGAGUCCGCAAGCGUGUCGGAAAGUGACAACCCGUUUGACUACAUCGGUUCGUCUGCUUCACGAAGUCAUUCUUCUUCCAAGCGGGAUCUCAGGCAAGAUGACCAUUUCCCCAGAUACUAUUACUAUCAUUGCCAUGCUAGUUUUAUCGCUUCUAUCGAUUAUGUCUUGUUGCCUACCACAUGUUAAAUAUCAGCCUCUCAACAAUGCCAUGAAAACCUUCAACCUGUUCAACCUAGCAAACCACUGAUUGACUAUGUCACCGCUUGCUUAACCAUGUGUUAGCGUUGCUAGUUGUAGGUGUAGUUGCUUCCAUGUGAUUACAUGGGUUCCUUGUUAUAUCACCCUAUUAAAUGCUAUUUAAUUUAAUGCACCUAUAUACUUGGUAAAAGGUGGAAGGUUCAUCCUUUCUAGCCUGGUGUUUUGUUCCACCUUUACCCCCAUAGUUUCGGCUACCGGUGUUAUGUUCCAUAAUUUGAGCGCUCCUAACACAAUCGGGGUUGUUAUGGGGACCCCCUUGAUAAUUCGUUGUAGAUUAAAGUUGGUCUGGCAAGGCCCAACAUUGGUACUGCAUUUUCCCAACAUAAUAAUCUUGUUAAUAAUGAAAGCAUAGGGCGUCAUGAACCCGAGGAGUAAUUCUGAAUAAUACAGGGAGGGCCAGUGCUGAUGGUGCUGGUCCAAAAUAGAGCACUGUGCGGGGCCAACCCAGGGCAACUUGGGUGAUUUCUAUCACGCCUCCGUACACAUAGCUCAUCCGUCGUGUCCUGAGAACGAGAUACGCGGCUCCUAUCGGGAUCGUCGACACGCCGGGUGGCCUUGCUGGAUUAGUUUUACCUUUGACGAGAUAUCUUGUGCAUCGGGAUUCCGGUGAUGCGUUGGGUAAUCUCAGAGUUGAGGUUUUCCACUAAGGAGUCCGACGAGAUCGCGAGCUUCGUGAUCGAGGAUUUCUAUGCGGCUUGUGGUAAUUUGUGAUGGACUAGUUGGAGCACCCGUGCAGGGUUAAAUCUUUCGGAAAGCCGUGCCCGCGGUUAUGUGGCAACAUGGAAACUUUGUUUAACCCUGGUUCUAGAUAACUUGAAGUUAACUUAAUUAAAAUAUGCCAAUUGUGUGCGUAAUCGUGACUGUCUCUUUCGUGAGUUCCUUCUCCGAUCGAGGACACGGUGGGGUUAUGUCUGACGUAGGUAGGUGUUCACGAUCAUUCAUUUGAUCAUCAGUAGUUCACGUCCGUUAUGCGUAGAUCAUCCCCCUCCUUAUUCUUGUACUGGUAAGUUUAGCCACCAAAUAUAUGUUUAGCCGCUGUUGCAACCUCACCACUUAACCCGAGCUCACCAUUAAGCUUUGUUGGUCUUGAUACCUUUGGAAAUGACAUUGCUGAGUCCGCUGUGGCUCACAGAUUACUACAACACCAGUUGUAGGUACACGUAAAGGUUACUUGACGUGAGCGCAUUGAUUGUUCAUUUGGAGUUGCUUCUUCUUCUUCUUCAUCGAUCUAGGAUGGGUUCCAGGCCGGCAGCCUGGAAUAGCAAGGAUGGACGUCGUUCUUCUUUUCUCGUUUGUUUUUCGUCCGUAUUCGGACCCUGCUCUUCUUCAUGAUGAUUAUGUAUUGUACUGAUGUGAUUCUGAUGUAGCUUGUGGCGAGUGUAAGCCAAUUCUAUAUAUCUCUUCUUUUCAGUACAUGUACUUGUAACGAUAUCCAUUCUUGCGAAACGAUGAGAUGCGCUCCUAUACCUGAUGAGGCCCUCGUGCCAAAUUGAGGAUAGGACCGCAUCUUGGGCCUGACAAGUUGGUAUCAGAGAAGUACCGACCUAGGAGCCCCCUUGAUUGAUCGAACUUGGCCGAGUCGAGUCUAGUGAAAAAACUGAUUUGAGUCUAGUUAUAUAUCGGAGAGUAGGAUUCUUUUUUUCUCCUCUUCAAUGCUCUGGUGAGGAAUCUUGACGUAAUAUUUUAAUUCUACUCCUCUUCUCACUCAAAUAUUUUUUAGGAUCACGCGGAUAUUUUUGGAAUCUAUAUGAUGCCGAUGUGACGGAGUUCUAUCCUGGUGCCUCCUGUCUGACUUGAUUUCUUUCGAGGAGUUGAGCUCCAGGGGAUUCUCGAGCACAUCGCUAUCAUUCAUAUUUCUUAGUAUCUCAGGACGAAGGAUGUUCGUAAUUGCUUCAAUACUAGUAGUGGCGAGAUAACCCCGAUGUCCCAAGUACUGGUGCAGAUUGUUCGGGAGUACUGCCAUACUUUGUAUCGUUGUGAUCAUGAGGGUCUGUCGUAGAUGAAGGUCUGAGAUUCUGUUUAUGUGUUGACGGAUGUGAUACAUUGGACGGGUUAGUAUAGGAGUUGUGUGAAAUAUUACUCCUUGUAUCCGUGUACCAAAUUGCAUGACCAAAAAUUUCGGGAAUUCUUAGGUGGGAAUUCAAGUAGUUACUUAUAGGAAAAUCUUCCAACAAAUGCAUGAUGUUAGGUUGGGGUUCGACAUCUAGUGGAUUCGUUUGUUGACGGUCGUCUUAUAGCGGUUCUCGUUGUGUCUUAAAGAGUCCUUGUAGCUUGCUACGACUCGGGGAUAAUUCGUAUGUCGUGUGCACUUCCUUGCAGACGAUGGCUACUGUAAGGAUCGAGCCCGUGCGAUCCUGUCCAUGAAAAUAUCGAACAUAAAUCUCUCUCAUGAGUUUGUUCUGGCUUGUUUCAUAAGCCUCACCCUUUGUUUGGUUGGAAUAUGGUAAUUCGAGUUUCUUCGAUGUCAAGUGGUGAAUUCAGAUCCUUCCAAGAGGUGUUCUCAUAUUUUUAUGGGAAUGCUAAUUCUUUUGCUCAAAUAAAUUCUCUUCUUAAUUCUUGUCAACCGGAGUUGUUGUGUCAAUUCUUUUCCACCCGAUGUGUUUCUCUCCAAGUGAAUGCAAUCCUCUCCAAUUUUGCAAGAUCAAUCUCUCUUUUCUUCCGGAGUUCAUCUCAUCUGUCUCAAGUUGUCUUUGUUGUUCCCCACCCUCCCUCCCUCUUAUUCAGUGAUUCAUUUUUAUCCAAGUGCCUUAUUUUCAUCAAUGCUUCCACUAUCUGUUCUUUUCUCUCUUCUCUGGUGAUUCAUUGUGAAGAUUCUCAGGAGCUUCGUGUUCAUCUUUAUUCAUUCUUGUCAUCUUUUCCGGUGAAUUCAGUUCAAGCUACCCGUGUUCAUUAUAUCCUAUUCAUCCUUGUAAUUCUUUCCUAUGUUCGAAAUUCUUAUCAGCCUAUGUUGUUUAUUCAUUCCUCUCUUUUCUAUCCGGAGUGUUGAAGAUAUCCCAGUAGUUUCUUGUUUUCAAUUCUUUAUAUUAUUUCGAGGUGCUCAACUUCGUCAGGUUCUCUUUUUACCGGUGCAAUAUCUCUUAUUUAGAAAUAUUUUCAACGGUGGUUUCUUUUGAGUGGGCCCAUAACCCACAGGUUUUACCAGGAUCUUAUCUGGCUCUUGUAAUCUUUUCCGGAGAUCUCUCAUUCUUUUCAACUAUGAUGUAAGUAUGGAUUUCAUGAGUCUUAUUCUUUCUUCAAGUUAUAUUUGAAUUAAUUCUCAUAUUUGGCUCAACCUUACAUUCUUCAUUAUUCGAGAGUGUCUCAGUUAUUCUUGGUGGUGUUCUUCUCGUCAUUUUCAGCUUUGAAGACCGAAGGAGUUUUCUCUCAAAUCUUGGUUCAUUCUCUUGCAUAUUCGUCAUUUCAGCUUUGUGCCAUCAUCUUAAUUGUUCCGAAUCAUGUGUAAUCUCUUUCUUGCUAUCUGGUGUUGGGGCAUAGUUUAUGCCUAAGUAAUUUUGGUGAUUGAUGACUUUACCGUACAGGACUAACCGUGUGUGUCAAGGUUUCAGAUAACACACGUCAACGGCACAAGACGACACGUCUCCUCUCUCCUGGAAUGGAAGCACGACGCUCUCUACGAUUCUCUUUAUUUGAGUCUUAGGAAAGCCGUACUAUUAAGAGGGGAUCCGUAGUGGAAAGGUUUUGGUGGAAUCUAUCUUUACACACACACACUUCACAUUCUCCCUUUCCUUAUCUUUUGGAGCGGCCCUCGCCUAUUCAUUUUGAGUAUCUCUGCAAAAUGGUCCCCAGCGGUAGUACCGCUGGACUGCUAGCGGUAGUACCGCUGCAGCCAGCGGUAGUACCGCUAGCUGGCGGUAGUACCGCCCCUGGUCAGCGUGUUGGGGAACGUCGCAUGGGAAACAAAAAAUUUCCUACGCGCACGAAGACCUAUCAUGGUGAUGUCCAUCUACGAGAGGGGAUGAGUAAUCUACGUACCCUUGUAGACCGUACAGCAGAAGCGUUAGAGAACGCGGUUGAUGUAGUGGAACGUCCUCACGUCCCUCGAUCCGCCCCGCGAACAAUCCCGCGAUCACUCCCACGAUCUAGUACCGAACGGACGGCACCUCCGCGUUCAGCACACGUACAGCUCGACGAUGAUCUCGGCCUUCUUGAUCCAGCAAGAGAGACAGAGAGGUAGAAGAGUUCUCCGGCAGCAUGACGGCGCUCCGGAGGUUGGUGAUGACCUUGUCUCGGCAGGGCUCCGCCCGAGCUCCGCAGAAACGCGAUCUAGGGGAAAAACCGUGGAGGUAUGUGGUCGGGUUGCCGUGGAAAAGUCGUCUCAAAUCAGCCCUAAAACCUCCGUAUAUAUAUGUGGGAGGGAGGGGGGCCUUACCUUGGGGUCCAAGGACCCUCAAGGAGUCGACCGAGCCAAGGGGGAGGACUCUCCCCCCCCAAACCGAGUUGGACUAGGUUUGGUGGGAGGGAGUCCCCCUCCCUUCCCACCUCCUCCCUUUUUUUUUCCUUUUUCCUUUGAUUUCUUAUCCUUGGCGCAUAGGCCCCUUUUGGGCUGUCCCACCAGCCCACUAAGGGCUGGUGCGCCACCCUCAUGGCCUAUGGGCUUCCCCGGGGUGGGUUGCCCCCCCCCCCCGGUUAACUCCCGGAACCCAUUCGUCAUUCCCGGUACAUUCCCGGUAACUCCGAAAACCUUCCGGUAAUCAAAUGAGGUCAUCCUAUAUAUCAAUCUUCGUUUCCGGACCAUUCCGGAAACCCUCGUGACGUCCGAGAUCUCAUCCGGGACUCCGAACAACAUUCGGUAACCAACCAUAUAACUCAAAUACGCAUAAAACAACGUCGAACCUUAAGUGUGCAGACCCUGCGGGUUCGAGAACUAUGUAGACAUGACCCGAGAGACUCCUCGGUCAAAAUCCAAUAGCGGGACCUGGAUGCCCAUAUUGGAUCCUACAUAUUCUACGAAGAUCUUAUCGUUUGAACCUCGGUGCCAAGGAUUCGUAUAAUCCCGUAUGUCAUUCCCUUUGUCCUUCGGUAUGUUACUUGCCCGAGAUUCGAUCGUCAGUAUCCGCAUACCUAUUUCAAUCUCGUUUACCGGCAAGUCUCUUUACUUGUUCCGUAAUACAAGAUCCCGCAACUUACACUAAGUUACAUUGCUUGCAAGUCUUGUGUGUGAUGUUGUAUUACCGAGUGGGCCCCGAGAUACCUCUCCGUCACACGGAGUGACAAAUCCCAGUCUCGAUCCAUACUAACUCAACUAACACCUUCGGAGAUACCUGUAGAGCAUAUUUAUAGUCACCCAGUUAUGUUGCGACGUUUGAUACAUACAAAGCAUUCCUCCGGUGUGAGUGAGUUAUAUGAUCUCAUGGUCAUAGGAACAAAUACUUGACACGCAGAAAACAGUAGCAACAAAAUGACACGAUCAACAUGCUACGUCUAUUAGUUUGGGUCUAGUCCAUCACAUGAUUCUCCUAAUGAUGUGAUCCCGUUAUCAAGUAACAACACUUGCCUAUGGCCAGGAAACCUUGGCCAUCAUUGAUCAACGAGCUAGUCAACUAGAGGCUUACUAGGGACAGUGUUUUGUCUAUGUAUCCACACAAGUAUUGUGUUUCCAAUCAAUACAAUUAUAGCAUGGAUAGUAAAAUAUUAUUAUGAACAAUGAAAUAUAAUAAUAACUAAUUUAUUAUUGCCUCUAGGGCAUAUUUCCAACAGUCUCCCACUUGCACUAGAGUCAAUAAUCUAGUUCACAUCAUCAUGUGAUUCCAACGAAUCCAACACCCAUAUAGUUAUGGGGUCUGAUCACGUCUUGCUCGUGAGAGAGGUUUUAGUCAACGGUUCUGAAACUUUCAGAUCCGUGCGUUCUUUACAAAUCUUUAUGUCAUCUUAUAGAUGCUGCUACUACGUGCUAUUCGGAAAUGCUCCAAAUAUCUACUCUACUAUACGAAUACGUUUCACUACUCAUAGUUAUUCGGAGUAGUGUCAAAGCUUGCAUCGACAUAACCCUUUACGACAAACUCUUUAACCACCUCCAUAAUCGAGAAAAAUUCCUCAGUCCAUUAGUUACUAAGGAUAAUUUUUGACCGCUGCUAGUGAUUCAAUCAUGGAUCACUCUCUGUACCUCUCAACAUACCUUGAGUCAAGGCACACAUCAGGUGCGGUACACAGCAUGGCAUACUUUAGAUUCUACGGCUAAGGCAUAGAAGACGACCUUCGUCUAUUCUCUUUAUUCUGCCGGGGUCGGGUUUUGAGUCUUACUCAAAUUCACACCUCACAACGCAACCAAGAACUCCUUCUUUGCUGAUCUAUUUUUGAGCUCUUUCAAAAACUUGUCAAGGCAUGCAUCUUGUUGAAACUUCUAUUAAGCGCUUUUGAUCUAUCUCCAUAGAUCUUUGAUGCUCAACGUUCAAGUAGCUCAAUCUAGGUAUUCCUUUGAAAACUCCUUUCAAACAACCUUGUAUGUUUUACAGAAAUUCUACAUCACUUCUGAUCCACAAUAUGUCAACCACUUAUACUUAUCAGAAAUUCUAUAGUGCUCCCACUCACUUCUUUGGAAAUACAAGUUUCUCAUAAACCUUGUACAAACCCAAAAUCUUUGAUCAUCUCAUCAAAGUAUAUAUAUUCCAACUCCGAGAUUCUUGCAUCAGUCCAUUGAAGGAUCGCUGGAGCUUGGAUACUUGCUAGUAUCUUUAGGAUCGACAAAACCUUCUGGUUGUAUCACAUACAAUGUUUGCUCAAGGAAACCGUCGAGAAAACAAUGUUUUGACAUCCUACGUGCAAUAUUUCAUAAAUAAUGCAUCAACAACUAACAUAAUUCUAACAGACCUUUAGCAUCGCUACGAGUGAGAAAGUCUCAUCAUAGUCAACUGUUUGAUCUUGUCAAAAACAUCUUUGCGACAAGUCGAGCUUUUCUUAAUAGUGACUUAUCACCAUCAUCGUCUGUUUUCUUUUAAACAUCCAUCUUUACUCAAUAGUCUUAUGACCAUCAAGUAGUUCUUUCAAAGUCUACACUUUGUUUUCAUACAUGGAUCCUCUCUCGGAUUUCAUGGCUUCCAGCCAUUUGUCGGAAUCUGGGCCCACCAUCGCUUUCUCCAUAACUCGUAGGUUCACUGUUGCUCAACAACAUGACCUCCAAGACAGGGUUACCGUACCACUCUGUAGUAGUAUGCGACCUUGUCAACCUACGAGGCUUGUAGUAACUUGAUCCGAUGCUUGAUGAUCACCAUCAUCAGCUUCCACUUCAAUUGGUGUAGGCGCCACAGGAACAACUUCCUGCGCCCUGCUACACACUGGUUGAAGUGAUGGUUUAAUAACCUCAUCAGGUUCUACUACGCUCCCACUCAAUUCUUUCGAGAGAAACCUUUCCUCGAGAAAGGAUCCGUUUCUAGAAACAAACACUUUGCUUUUGGAUCUGAGAUAGGAGAUGUACCCAACUGUUUUGGAUAUCCUAUGAAGAUGCAUUUAUCCGCUUUGGGUUCGAGCUUAUCAGACUGAAACUUUUUCACAUAAGUGUCGAAACCCCAAACUUUCAAGAAACGACAGUUUAGAUUUCUCUAAACCUCAGUCUAUACUGUGUCAUCUCAACGGAAAUACGCGGUGCCCUAUUUAAAGUGAGUGCGGUUGUCUCUAAUGCAUAACCCAUAAACGAUAGUGGUAAUUCGAUAAGAGACAUCAUAGUAUGCACCAUACCAAAUAGUGCGUGGCUAUGACGUUCAGACACAUCAUCACACUAUGAUGUUCCAGGUGGCAUGAACUGCGAAACAAUUUCCACAUUGUCUUAACUGUGUACCAAAACUCGUAACUCAGAUAUUCAUUUCCAUGAUCAUAUCGUAGACAGUUUAUCCUCUUGUUACGACGAACUUCACUCUGAAACGGAAUUGAACUUUUCAACAUUUUAGACUUGUGAUUCAUUAAGUAAAUACUCAUGUAUCUACUCAAAUCAUGAGUGAAGUAAGAACAUAAUGAUAUCCACUGCGUGCCUCAGCACCCAUUGGACUGCAUACAUCAAAAUGUAUCACUUCCAACAAGUUACUAUCUUAUUUCAUCUCAAUGAAAACAAGGCCUUGCUCAUGUGGUAUGAUUCGCAUGUCACUAGUGAUUCGAAAUCAGGUGAGUACAAAGAUCCAUCAGCAUGGAGCCUCUUCAUGCAAUUUAUACUAACAUGACUCAAGCGGCAGUGCCACAAGUAAGUGGUACUAUCAUCAUCAACUCGUAUCUUUUGGCACCAAUAUCAUGAACAUGUGUAACACUACGAUCGAGAUUCAAUAAACCAUUGAAGGUGAUUAUUCAAGAAAAUAGAGUAACCAUUAUUCUCUUUAAAUGAAUAAUCGUAUUGCAAUAAACACGAUCCAAUCAUGUUCAUGCUUAACGCAAGCACGAAAUAACAAUUAUUUAGGUUUAACACCAAUCCCGAUGGUAGAGGGAGCAUGCGACGUUUGAUCAUAUCAAUCUUGGAAACACUUCCAACACGUAUCGUCACCUCGCCUUUAGCUAGUCUCCGUUUAUGCCGUAGCUUUCAUUUCGCGUCACUAAUCACUUAGCAACCGAACCGGUAUCCAAUACCCUCGUGCUACUAGGAGUACUAGUAAAGUACACAUCAACAUCAUGUAUAUCAAAUACACUUCUUUCGACUUUUGCCAGCCUUCUUAUCUACCAAGUAUCUUGAGUUGCUCCGCCUCAGUGAUUGUUCCCCUCAUUACAGAAGCACUUAGUCUCGGGUUUGGGUUUAAUCUUGGGUCUCUUCAUUAGUGCAGCAACUGUUUUGCCGUUUCACGAAGUAUCCCUUCUAGCCCUUGCCUUUCUUGAAACUUAGUGGUUUUACAAACCAUCAACUAUUGAUGCUCCUUCUUGAUUUCUACUUUCGCAGUGUCAAACAUCGCGAAUUGCUCAAGGAUCAUUGUAUGUAUCCUUGAUAUGUUAUAGUUCAUCACGAAGCUCUCACAGCUUGGUGGUAGUGACUUUGGAGAAAUAUCACUAUCUCAUCUGGAAGAUUAACUCCCACUUGAUUCAAGCGAUUGUCGUACUCAGACAAUCUGAGCACAUGCUCAACGAUUGAGCCUUUUCUCCUGUGCUUUGUGGACAAAGAAUCUUGUCGGAGGUCUCGUACCUCUUAACAAGGGCACAAGAAUGAAAUCACAAUUUCAUCUCUUUAGAACAUCACUUAUGUUCCGUGACGUUUUACAACGUUUUAGGCGCCUUGCUUCUAAGCCAUUAAGUAUUUUUGUACUGAACUAUCGUGUAGUCAUCAGAAACGUGUAUGUCGGAUGUUCACAGCAUCCACAGACGACGCUCGAGGUGCAGCACACCGAGUGGUGCAUUAAGCACAUAAGCCUUCUGUGCAGCAACGAGGACAAUCCUCGGUUUUACAGAGUCAGUCUGCAAAGUUUGCUACUAUCAACUUUCAACUAAAUUUUCUCUAGGAACAUAUAAAACAGUAGAGCUAUAACGCAAGCUACAUCGUAAUUCGCAAAGACCAUUAGACUAUGUUCAUGACAAUUAGUUCAAUUAAUCAUAUUACUUAAGAACUCCCACUCAAAAAGUACAUCUCUCUAGUCAUUUGAGUGGUACAUGAUCCAAAUCCACUAUCUCAAGUCCGAUCAUCACGUGAGUCGAGAAUAGUUUCAGUGGUAAGCAUCUCUAUGUUAAUCAUAUCAACUAUACGAUUCAUGCUCGAUAUUUCGGUCUCAUGUGUUCCGAGGCCAUGUCUGCACAUGCUAGGCUCGUCAAGCUUAACCCGAGUGUUCCGCGUGCGCAACUGUUUUGCACCCGUUGUAUGUGAACGUUGAGUCUAUCACACCCGAUCAUCACGUGGUGUCUCGAAACGACGAACUGUAGCAACGGUGCACAGUCGGGGAGAACACAAUUUCGUCUUGAAAUUUUAGUGAGAGAUCACCUCAUAAUGCUAUCGUCGUUCUAAGAAAAAUAAGGUGCAUAAAAGGAUUAACAUCACAUGCAAUUUAUAAGUGACAUGAUAUGGCCAUCAUCAUGUGCUUCUUGAUCUCCAUCACCAAAGCACCGGCACGAUCUUCUUGUCACCGGCGUCACACCAUGAUCUCCAUCAUCAUGAUCUCCAUCAACGUGUCGCCAUCGGGGUUGUCGUGCUACUCAUGCUAUUACUACUAAAGCUACGUCCUAGCAAAAUAGUAAACGCAUCUGCAAGCACAAACGUUAGUUAUAAAGACAACCCUAUGGCUCCUGCCGGUUGCCGUACCAUCGACGUGCAAGUCGAUAUUAUCUAUUACAACAUGAUCAUCUCAUACAUCCAAUAUAUCACAUCACAUCGUUGGCCAUAUCACAUCACAAGCAUACCCUACAAAAACAAGUUAGACGUCCUCUAAUUUUGUUGUUGCAUGUUUUACGUGGUGACCAUGGGUAUCUAGUAGGAUCGCAUCUUACUUACGCAAACACCACAACGGAGAUAUAUGAGUUGCUAUUUAACCUCAUCCAAGGACCUCCUCGGUCAAAUCUGAUUCAACUAAAGUUGGAGAAACCGACACUUGCCAGUCAUCUUUGAGCAACGGGGUUACUCGUAGCGAUGAAACCAGUCUCUCGUAAGCGUACGAGUAAUGUCGGUCCAAGCCGCUUCAAUCCAACAAUACCGCGGAAUCAAGAAAAGACUAAGGAGGGCAGCAAAAACUUUUGUGUUCUACUCGAGAAGACAUCUACGCAUGAACCUAGCUCAUGAUGCCACUGUUAGGGAACGUCGCAUGGGAAACAAAAAUUUUCCUACGCGCACGAAGACCUAUCAUGGUGAUGUCCAUCUACGAGAGGGGAUGAGUGAUCUACGUACCCUUGUAGAACGUACAGUAGAAGCGUUAGAGAACGCGGUUGAUGAAGUGGAACAUCCUCACGUCCCUCGAUCCGCCCCGCGAACAAUCCCGCGAUCAGUCCCACGAUCUAGUACCGAACGGACGGCACCUCCGCGUUCAGCACACGUACAGCUCGACGAUGAUCUCGGCCUUCUUGAUCCAGCAAGAGAGACGGAGAGGUAGAAGAGUUCUCCGGCAGCGUGACGGCGCUCCGGAGGUUGGUGAUGACCUUGUCUCGGCAGGGCUCCGCCCGAGCUCCGCAGAAACGCGAUCUAGAGGAAAAACCGUGGAGGUAUGUGGUCGGGCUGCCGUGGAAAAGUCGUCUCAAAUCAGCCCUAAAACCUCCGUAUAUAUAGGUGGGAGGGAGGGGGGCCUUGCCUUGGGGUCCAAGGACCCUCGAGGAGUCGGCCGAGCCAAGGGGGAGGACUCCUCCCCCCCCCAAACCGAGUUGGACUAGGUUUGGUGGGAGGGAGUCCCCCUCCCUUCCCACCUCCUCCCUUUUUUUCCUUUUUCCUUUGAUUUCUUAUCCUUGGCGCAUAGGCCCCUUUUGGGCUGUCCCACCAGCCCACUAAGGGCUGGUGCGCCACCCUCAUGGCCUAUGGGCUUCCCCGGGGUGGGUUCGCCCCCCCCCCCCCGGUGAACUCCCGGAACCCAUUCGUCAUUCCCGGUACAUUCCCGGUAACUCCGAAAACCUUCCGGUAAUCAAAUGAGGUCAUCCUAUAUAUCAAUCUUUGUUUCCGGACCAUUCCGGAAACCCUCGUGACGUCCGAGAUCUCAUCCGGGACUCCGAACAACAUUCGGUAACCAACCAUAUAACUCAAAUACGCAUAAAACAACGUCGAACCUUAAGUGUGCAGACCCUGCGGGUUCGAGAACUAUGUAGACAUGACCCGAGAGACUCCUCGGUCAAUAUCCAAUAGCGGGACCUGGAUGCCCAUAUUGGAUCCUACAUAUUCUACGAAGAUCUUAUCGUUUGAACCUCAGUGCCAAGGAUUCGUAUAAUCCCGUAUGUCAUUCCCUUUGUCCUUCGGUAUGUUACUUGCUCGAGAUUCGAUCGUCAGUAUCCGCAUACCUAUUUCAAUCUCGUUUACCGGCAAGUCUCUUUACUUGUUCCGUAAUACAAGAUCCCGCAACUUACACUAAGUUACAUUGCUUGCAAGGCUUGUGUGUGAUGUUGUAUUACCGAGUGGGCCCCGAGAUACCUCUCCGUCACACGGAGUGACAAAUCCCAGUCUCGAUCCAUACUAACUCAACUAACACCUUCGGAGAUACCUGUAGAGCAUCUUUAUAGUCACCCAGUUACGUUGCGACGUUUGAUACACAUAAAGCAUUCCUCCGGUGUGAGUGAGUUAUAUGAUCUCAUGGUCAUAGGAACAAAUACUUGACACGCAGAAAAAAGUAGCAACAAAAUGACAUGAUCAACAUGCUACGCCUAUUAGUUUGGGUCUAGUCCAUCACAUGAUUCUCCUAAUGAUGUGAUCCCGUUAUCAAGUAACAACACUUGCCUAUGGCCAGGAAACCUUGGCCAUCUUUGAUCAACGAGCUAGUCAACUAGAGGCUUACUAGGGACAGUGUUUUGUCUAUGUAUCCACACAAGUAUUGUGUUUCCAAUCAAUACAAUUAUAGCAUGGAUAAUAAAAGAUUAUUAUGAACAAUGAAAUAUAAUAAUAACUAAUUUAUUAUUGCCUCUAGAGCAUAUUUCCAACACAGCGGUACUACCGCUCCAGGUGCUUUGUUCCACCUACCUAGCGGUAGUUCGUGGACGGACCCUUUUGCGAAGACUUUCCCGGCGGUAGUAGUGCUUGUGCACUACCAAGGGGCCAGCGGUAGUACCGCUGGUGUCAGCGGUAGUACCGCUGGAGACCCAGCGGUAGUACCGCUGCAUCCAGCGGUAGUACCGCCAGGCAGCGCUAGUACCGCUCCUGCUCAGCGGUAGUACCGCUGGAACUCGGGCGGAGAGUGGGAAAACGGUCUGAAUUUUCCCCCUACUAUAUAAAGGGUUCUUCUAGCUGAGGAACCCUAUCUCUUACCUCUCUAAGCUCCAUUGUUGCUCCACAAGCUCAAAAGUGCCCGAUCUCUCUCCCUAGCCAAUCAAACUUGUUGAUUCUUUAGGGAUUGGUUGAGAAGGCCUAGAUCCACACUUCCACCAAGAGAAAAGUUGAUUCCCCCACCAAUCCCUUGCGGAUCUUGUUACUCUUGGGUGUUUGAGCAUCCUAGACGGUUGAGGUCACCUCGAAGCCAUAUUCCAUUGUGGUGAAGCUUCGUGGUUUAGUUGGGAGCCUCCAAGCUUUGUGUGGAGUUGCCCCAACCUUGUUUGUAAAGGUUCGGUCGCCGCCUUCAAGGGCACCUAUAGUGGAAUCACGGUACCUUGCAUCGUGCGAGGGCGUGAGGAGAAUACGGUGGCCUUAGUGGCUUUUUGGGGAGCAUUGUGCCUCCACACCGCUCCAACGGAGACGUACUUCCUGUCAAAGGGAAGGAACUUCAGUAACACAUCCUCGUCUCCAUCGGUUCCACUUGUGGUUGUCUCUAUCCUUUACUUUGUAUUUGCUUUUGCUUGUGACUAUAUCUUAGUUGUCUUAAUAGCUCUCGUUGUUAGAUUCUAUAGGGUUCACCUCAUUGUCAUAUUAUUUGUGAACCCGCAUAGUGUUUACCUUAACUUGCUAAGAUUAAUUAAAAAGUGGUCGUUGUCUAUUCACCCCCCCCCUCUAGCCAACCAUAUCGAUCGUUUCAUCCGGUGCAUUUCUGAGUUGUUUUCAUUCUCGAUCCUCCGAAGGCCAUCAUCCAGAAGAUUUUGUUCGUUCUCAGCUUGCAGCUUUCAUUCUUAAAUUCUUCUCCAUUGUUGUCUCUUCGUUCCUCUCUCAAUUAUCCGGUGCCUUGUUCAAGUUUUUCUAUUAGGUGGAUCAUGAUCACUUCAUUCUCAUGUAUCUGCAUUCAUUCACGGUUGCCUCAUUCAUUUCAAUUCUCACCAGUGUUUAUUUCAAGAUUUCUUCUAGUUUGUGCUCAUAUAUCUCCCCUCAAUCAUUUCUAGAAGAAUAAGUGUAUGCUAAAUCCGUUGCUUGUCGUCAAUUUCAUUUGAUGAAGGAUGAGCAUAACGUAAUUCUUAUUCUUGUUCAUAGUAAUCUGAAUUGUUCUUCCGGAGUGGCUCAUGAUAUCAAUUCUUUUCUCAAGUGCUUAUAUUUUUUUCCGGAGUUCCAAGUUCUUUUAAGUAUCUCUUUGUGAGGCUUCAUCUAAAUCUUGGCAAGGUCAUUCUCUUAUUCUUUCUUGUUCCCAAUGAUCUAGUUUUAUUCUCUUGUUCCACAGGUUGUGAUGUUGCUCUUUUGGGUCUAUCAUGUUGUUCUAUCAAGAUCAUGGUGUUCCCUUGUUCUAUUUAGUUGUUUGUUAUGAAUAUUGUCUAUUUCUCCCAUCUUAUCAAAAAAUUUGUCCCCUUUUCCUAACGAAGUGCUGCCGAAAUUUUCCGUGAAUUCUUGCUUGUUUCUCAUAUCAUUCCUCAUCUCUUUGCAACCUUCAAGGAUCGUUGGUUUCACUCGUUUGUCAAAGAAGCGACUAAGUUUUUCCUCUUGUUCUUUCUCAUCCUCUCCCCCUUUCAUUCUUGGAUCUUGGGGCGAGAUCCUCUUCUAGUGUAGGAGAGUUGUGACAGCCCGAUGCCGACAGUCCAGAGAUUCCCCUCUAUUCCGUUUUCGUCGUGUGACUAUUUUUACUUGUCGNNNNNNNNNNNNNNNNNNNNNNNNNNNNNNNNNNNNNNNNNNNNNNNNNNNNNNNNNNNNNNNNNNNNNNNNNNNNNNNNNNNNNNNNNNNNNNNNNNNNGUUUCCAGUCAUUGGCUUCAGCCCCGUGACACAUGCUAUGAGGGGUGUUUUCGGCUUUCACAUUGUUACCCUUAGCCAACGUCUUGGUGCACUACGACGGUAGUGCGGGGGAAAAGGCAAUAGGACUUAUGUGGCUUUAAGUCUUUCACUUAACCAUAGGAGCUUGACAGCGGGGGCCAAUUGGAGCCCCCUUGCAAAUUGUGACGUUCGGCUAUACCACGGUGUAAAAACCCAUUAUCACAUGGUUUGUAUGACUUAAAAGCAAUCGAAUAACGUGAUGAAUCCCCAGCGGCUCUCAAUUUAAUAUUUGUCCUCGGAUCACAUACUAGUUCUCACUCAUUAUGACAGUCACUUUUUGGCUUUCUCCGCUAAGGUACUCCCUUUACCCUUUUAGCCGAACGAGGAGAACAUAAGGGGUAAGCAGAGGAGCGGGGCAACCCAACUAUUAGCCCAAGAUAUAAUUCAAAACCAAUGCAUAUAACACAAAUCCAAAACUCCACACACAUGCAAUGCCAAAUAGUAUCAGAAUGAUUCUAAGGGCGGUCAUGAUAGCCAAGCCCCCCUUCAGUUUAGCCAGUAUCAUCUAACAUGCGUAUAAAAACAAGGUUAUGUUGAUGUUUUAAUAAACAAUUCGGAAAAGAAGGAGGAAAAAAGRAUGUAGCAUAGCUAAUGAACCAUAAAUGAUAUUCCUUUUUUCCGUAUUAACUCGUUUCCGUACAAUCCUAAUUCAUCAAGCAACUAUUUAUAGAUGGCUUACACGGUAAAGGUUUACACAGGUUUUUUUAUAGAUGGCUUGAUGUCCCUUAUGAGUUAUGAUGCCCUGCUGCAUGUCUGCACCUUCACUAUUCAGGAAGUACUCCGUGAAAGGGGAACGUCGGUGAACGGUCCUUGAAUGAAGGUGGUCUCGACAAGCCAUCGAGGUGUGAGUAGCUUGACGCAAAGUUGGUCCUUUAUAGUACCUGCAUGUAUCCGCGGACGUUCAUGGACAUAGUUCGUUUUAGCCGAACACAAGGUCUCGUGUAAUCGGUCCCCAUAGCUGCCCAUGAUAUCAUAAGCGUAAAAUUGUGCCUUCGUGGCACAUAUUUUUCUGGUGGCGAGGUGCUGCUAUGGGGAGCGUAUCCCUAUUUAGUUGGAUCAUGUGAGGUGGUCGGGGAGCACAACGAGCGCGAGCUUGUUUGUGCUUCUUAAGAGUUAGUUCUGACUUUAAAGUCGUUUCUCCAGCCCCUACUUCAGCUGCCAGAGCCAUAGUGUGUUCCUCUGUUCGAAGGGAUCGCUCAGUGUUAGCAUUGACGGUAAUGACACCCUUAGGUCCUGGAAUCUCCAACUUGAGGUGAGCAUAAUGGGGAACAACAUUAAAGCGAGUGAACGAUGUUCAACCGAGGAGUGCAUGAUACCCACUGUGGAAGGGAACACUGUCUAAGAUCGAGUCUUCAUUGUGAAAGUUGUCGGGCGAACCGAACACCACUUCCAGAGUUAUGGUGCCUGAAUAGCGGGCCUCAACGCUCGGGAUUAUUCCUUUGAAGGUGGUGUUGUUGGGUUUGAUUCUUGAUGGGUCAAUACCCAUUUUUCUCACUGUCUGCAUAAAUUAGAUUGAGGUUGUUGCCUCCAUCCAUGAGGACUCUAGUGAGAUGAUACCCAUCAACGAUGGGGUCGAGCACCAAGGCCGCUGAACCCCCGUGCCAAAUACUGGUUGGGUGAUCCGUGCGGCCAUAAGUAAUCGGAUAUGCCGACCAUGGGUUGUACUUCGGGGCAACUCGCUCUAUGGCUUAUACAUCCCGAAGUGCCCGCUUCCUCUCAUUUUUUAGAUGUGCGUGACAUAAAUGAUGUUCAUGGUUUUCACUUCAGGGGGAAACUUCUUUGGCCCUCGUUGUUCAACCGCGAGGUUGCUCAUCGUCCUUGCCGUGGGGAUCUUGCCUUGGUCCUUGGCUAUGUGCUUGCUCUCCUGCNNNNNNNNNNNNNNNNNNNNNNNNNNNNNNNNNNNNNNNNNNNNNNNNNNNNNNNNNNNNNNNNNNNNNNNNNNNNNNNNNNNNNNNNNNNNNNNNNNNNCUCUUUUCACAUCAAUGCAUCGUAAUUUUAUGUUUCAAUUUUUAUACUAUUUCAUACGUAAAAAGAGACCGCAAGAAAAUAUAUAGUCACCAUAAAAAAAUUAUGUCACGUAAAAUUACAAAUAUAAAAACAUCGUGUAAAAUUUACAUGAAAUGCAAUUUUUUUGGUCUUAUGACCAAUAUUUUUAAUUUUUUACAUCAAAUUUUACAUAAUGAAUCAAUAUUAAUGUAACUAUUCUUAUUCCAAAAUGUAAUUUAUUUAUGAAACGAUCAUAAGAUUACCUGGGUGAAGAAUAACCUAUUUUACCCCCUGGGUGAUGAAUAGACUUUCUAUAUAUAUAUAUAUAUAGUCUAACAUGGCAUGGUCUUGAAGCUUACGAGAUUCCGCCAUGGUGGUUUCGGCUCGGUACCGGGCGUGUUAGGCCAAGCCUCUCUAGACAUGGCGGCGGCCAUGGCUGCCGACUGGAUUGGAGACGGCGUGCAUGUGGAUGCAUGCAGCACGGAGGAGGCACAACAAAGGUGGAAGUCACGAGCGCGGGGUUGCUCGAGCUGCUCCGAACGCAAAAAAUCUAUAGGUUUGGCCGGAGCACGAAGAGCGCGGCAACGACAAGAUAUGAACAUCUAUUACGAGGCUCGAGAGAAUGCAAGGUAUGGCAGAGAGGAAAAGGGGUAUACCGUGACUACCUUGGACAUGACUAGGUGGCUUAGUGGAAGACGGAACAACGGCGGUGAGACGACGAACCCCGGCUAAGGUUCCAAUCCAAGAGGAAGAGGACGUAGAGGAAGUAGGGGACAUCGUGGAUGGCGUCCUCUGGCUGGGCUUGCUCCGGGAACGAGGCCAGGGUGUCUCUGAUGUGCUCGGGGUGCAAGGAGGUAGUCCGGCGAGGCUCCUACACCAGCGGCAAGUCGAUGGCCAAAGCGGUCAAGCAAUUUUGGAAGCAUCAUCCAGGAGCGAGGGAGGCGAGGACAAGCAUUGGUGGCAUAGAGGAGGAAUGAGGGAAGGGGAGGAAAACCCUAGGGCGCUUGCUGUCUUGUUUUAUAGAAGGGACCAGAUGCGACUCGACCGUUUGUGUGCCUUGCUCACGUCGCUGGUGCUCGGGCAUGAGCAGAGGAGGACGACGGUGUCAGGUGGGGAGCAGGUUUCUAUGAGGGGGUGUUGGUGUGUCUCAGGAAGGAAAGAUAGGCCUAGGUGGGCUUCGGUUGGGCUAUAGGUUUGUCCUCUUCCUUUUUUCUUUUAUAAUAUCUAUUCACUAAUAAAAAAAUAUUAGAAUUAAAAGGAAAAGGGGCCUAGGAAGGGAGUUUGAGAUAUAUAUAAUAUCAUUAGAAAUCUUGCAAUAUGCACAAUUUAUAAGAAAUAUUUUUGGCAAUUUUAGAGACUGCAAAUUUAAACAAGUUUUAAUUUAUUUGAACUUUAUUAAAUCCAAAGCCCAACCAAAACAAUUCCAACAAGGAUGAAAAUUGGAGGAGUGGUCCUUGGCAUGAUUUAGGGGUUUUAGGAAUAUAGUAAACAUUUUUUUGGUACAAGAAAAAUGCCACUUGUAAAACAUGAAUCAAAGAAGAACAAUUGAAAGUUGGCUUUUGGGAAAUAAAUGGAAGUGGUGCAAGAGCUUAAGGGAAUUGAAAUAUCAAAGGAAAAGUAGAAGGAGUUGGAAACACAAAUAAGGAAAAAACAAUCACCACAAUAUAUGUAAGAUGAUGAGAUGAUGCAAAUCAAAAAUAAAACACACACCACAAGCAUGCAAUCAUGAUCAUAACAAAAAAUAACUGAGGUCUUAGUCUUGGGCUGUUACAGGUCGGGAACCUACUAGUCGCAUGGGAUACCAUGAAAUGAUGUACAUAAACACCAGGGCUUGGGAGGACCAUUAUGUUCGGUCAGUGCCAUAUGACUCACAGUCCACAGGCCAUGCCAGAGGAUACGCACCUCCGACGUGCUUCACCGAUGAGGUCAUGCUACACCAGUUUAACGAGGAGUUUAAAUGCAUCAAUAUCAAGCACUAUGAUGGUACCACUGAUCCAACAAUAUGGAUUGAAGAUUCCCUUCUCCAUAUUCACAUGGCUAGAGGCGAUGACCUCCAUGACAUUGAAUAACUACCUUUGAAACUCAAGGGGCCCGCGUGGCAUUGUCUUAACAGCUUGCCUAAGGACUCCAUUGACUCGACAACUCGGACAUGACAGGCCAAAAAUCAUGGGUGUGCUUACCUCUCUCAUGACUCGGUUCCGCGUCGGGGAGGAUAGUGUAAUAUCCCAAAAUUCAAAAUUUUGUAAUGUUAUAUUAAUUUAGUAAUUAUGAUUUUCUUGAGUGAUUGAUGUCUGAAUUUGAGUGGAAUUUGAAUUUUUUUGAAAAUUAAAUGAGAGGGAAUACAGGGACUUUCCAAAUUCAUUAUUGCACUUUGUGAACUCUGAAGUUUUUAUAUUGAAGCAUUUCAACUUUCAAUGGCAAAGCAUUUCAAAUUUUCAUAUGAAGCUUUCCAUAGUCCAUUUAAAAUCCUAUUCAAAAUUUUGUUUAAAUCUUUUCAAAUUCUCUAAUAAACAAUUGAAAUGGCGGGAGGCAACUGACACGCCAAAUCAGAGACAAUUUUGUUGUUGAGAAUCAAAUUUGGAAAAACAAAAAAAUAUGUACAAAGUAUUUGAAAUCCAGUUGUAACUCAUUCUAGAAAAAUUCUAAUAAUUGUUUUUGUACUUUAUUUAUUAUAUUAUUUACAGUUUCUCUUCUCUGUUUAUUUUAUUUCAAAAAAUGGACGAAGCCCUUUGGCUUAUAUAACCCCGUGGCUAAGUGUACCACCAGCACACACCAGCACCAUGCACACGAAAAGCCUUCACUUCAGUCGCCCGUUGCCUCACUUGCCUCCCCGCAGAGACUGACACGUGGGACCCGCACCCACCUUCUUCUUCCUCAAGCCGCGGGAUAGGUGUUGUAAAUAUGCCCUAGAGGCAAUAAUAAAAUAGUUAUUAUUAUAUUUCACUGUUCAAGAUAGUCGUUUAUAGUCCAUGCUAGAAUUGUAUUGAAUGGAAACUCGGAUACAUGUGUGGAUACAUAGACAACACAUUGUCCCUAGUAAGCCUCUAGUGAAGUAGCGUGUUGAUCAAGGAUGGUCAAGGUUUCCUAGCCAUACAGAAAGGUUGUCACUUGAUAAUGGGAUCACAUCAUUAGGAGAAUGAUGUGAUGGGCAACACCCAAACUAUGAACGUAGCAUGUGAUCGUGUCAUUUUAUUGCUACUGUUUUCUGCAUGUCAAGUGUAUGUUCCUAUGACCAUGAGAUCAUGUAACUCACUGACACUGGAAGAAUACCUUGUGUGUAUCAAACGUCACAACGUAACUGGGUGACUAUAAAGGUGCUCUACAGGUAUCUCUGAAGGUAUCUGUUGAGUUAGCAUGGAUCAAGACUGGGAUUUGUUACUCCGUGUGACGGAGAGGUAUCUCGGGGCCCACUCGGUAAUGCAAUAUCACAACAAGACUUGCAAGCAAUGUGACUAAAGAGUUAGUCACGAGAUUUUGUAUUACGGAACGAGUAAAUAGACUUGUGUGUAACGAGAUUCAAAUAGGUAUAGAGGUACUGAUGAUCGAAUCUCGAGGAAGUAACAUACCGAAGGACAAACAAAAUGUUAUACGGGAUUAACUGAAUCCUUGACAUAGAGGUUCAACCAAUAAAGAUCUAAGUAGAAUAUGUAGGAGCCAAUAUGGACAUCCGGGUCCCGCUAUUGGUUAUUGAUCAGCGGGUGUCUCGAUCAUGUCUGCAUAGUUCUGUUGAAUUAUGUAUGUUGGUAACUGAUGUUUUUUGGAGUCCCGAAUGAGAUCCCGGACAUCACAAGGAGUUCCAGAAUGGUCCGAAGACAAAGAUUGAUAUAUAGGAAGGGUGUAUUUGGCUUCCGAAAAGAUUUUCUGCAUUACCGGUAAAGUACCAGGAAUGACGAAUGGGUUCCAGGGUUCCAUCGAGAGGGGCCACCAACCCGAAGGGGGACUAAAUAGGCCUAAAGGUGGCGCACCAGCCCCUAGUGGGCUGGGCAGCCAUCCCAAUAGGCAUGUUCGUCCGAAAUACAAAAGAGGAAGGAGUCCCACUAGGAAGGAGAGUCCUUCUCCACCAAACCGAAUUGGACGAGGACUCCUCCUCCUCCUUGUGUGCGCCGGCUGGACCCUAUGAAUUUUCCCUAGGGCGCCACCCCUCCCUCCCUCCUAUAUAUAGUGGAGUGAAGAGAGGCUAGCCACACCUCAAGCCAUGACGCAACCAAUCUCCCUCCACUACUUCGUGACACCCGGUAGGUUAUUCCGGUAGUGCAUGCCGAAGCCCUGCUGGAUUAGCUCCACCAUCAUCACCGUCACGUCGUCAUGAUGUCGGAGAAUUCAGCUACCUCUUCAUCUCUCUUGUUGGAUCAAGAAGGCGUAGAUCGUCAUCGAGUUGCAUGUGUGCUGAACGUGGAGGUGUCAUCCAUUCGGCACUAGAUCGUGACUAGAUUGCGGGACGGCCUGCGAUUUGUUUCGCGAAGAUGUUCGACUACAUCAACCAGUUUCUUAACACUUCCCGCUUAGCAAUAUAAAAGGGUAUGUGGAUCCGACCUCUACUCUCGUAGAUGGUCAUCUCCAUGGAUAGAUCUUAUGUGUGUGUAGGAGAAUUUUUGUUUCCCAUGCAACGUUCCCCAACAGUGGCAUCAUGAGCUAGGUCUAUGCGUAGAUGACAUCUCGAGUAGAACACAAUCGGGUUUGUAGGCGUUGAUAUUCAAAUUGAUUCCCUUCUUAGUAUUUUCUUGAUUUGGCGGUAUUGUUGGAUGAAGCGGCCCGGAGCAACAUUACUCAUAUGCUUACGAGAGACCGGUUCCAUCGACUAACAUGCAACUUGUUUCAUAAAGACGGUCGGCGGAUGUUUGUUUCUCCUACUUUAGUUGAAUCGGAUUUGACAGAGGCGGUCCUUGGAAAAGGUUAGAUAUCUACUUGUAUAUCACCGUUGUGGUUUUGCGUAAGUAAGAUGCGAUCAUGCUAGAUACCCAUAGCAGCCACGCAAAACAUGCAACAACAAAUUAGAGGACGUCUAACUUGUUAUUGCAGGGUAUGAUGUGAUAUGAUAUGGCCAAAGACAUGAUAUGAUAUAUUUGAUGUAUGUGAUGAUCAUGUUGUAUUAGUUAAAUAUCGACUUGCAUGUCGAUGCUACGGCAACCGGCAGGAGCCAUAGGGUUGUGUUUAAUUAUUUUGUGUCUGAUGAUGCUUUGCUUUAUCACUACUUCAGUAGCUUUAGUAGCAAUAGCAUAGUUAGCACGACAACCUCGAUGGCAGCACAAUGAUGGAGAUCAUGAUGAUGGAUAUCAUGGUAUGGCUUCGGUGACGAUGGAGAUCAUGUUGGUGCUUUGGAGAUGGAGAUCAAAAGCACAAGUUCAUAGCCAUAUCAUGUCACUUAUGAUUUGCAUGUGAUGUUAAUACUUUUAUGCACCUUAUUUUUCUUAGGAUGACGGUAGCAUUAUAAGGUGAUCCCUCACUAAAAUUUCAAGAUAAAAUUGUGUUCUCCCCGAGUGUGCACCGUUGCAAAAGUUCGUCGUUUCGAGACACCAUGUGAUGAUCAGGUGUGAUAGACUCUACGUUCCACACGCGGAACACUCUGGUUAAACUUGACAAACCUAGCAUGUGCGGACAUGGCCUUGGAACACAAGAGACCAAAAGGUCGAACAUGAGUCAUAUAGUAGAUAUCAUCAACAUAGAGGUGUUUACCAUUUAAGCCAACUGAACUCACGUGAUGAUCGGACUUGAGUUGGUGAAUUUGGAUCAUGUGUCACUCGAAUGACUACAGGGAUGUCAAUUUGAGUGGGAGUUUAUUAGUAAUAUGAUUAACUAAACUCAUUAUAAUGGACAUGGUCUAAGUAGUCUUUAUAUUUUUUAUGUUGUAGAUCAAUGGCUCACGCACUAGCACCCUUGAAUUUUCAUGCGUUCCUAGAGAAAGCUAAGCUAAAAGAUGAUGGGAGCAACUUUUUAGACUGGGCCCGAAAUUUGAGAAUUGUUCUCACGGUUUCUCAAAAGGCUUAUGUCCUUGAUGCAUCGUUCGGUGAUGCACCACCCCAACCGGCGACCCAAGAUGAUAUGAACAUGUGGCAAUCACAUCUGGAUGACUACUCAGUAGUUCAAUGUGCAAUUUUGUAUGGCUUAGAAUUGGGACUUCAAAGACAUUUUGAACGCCAUGGAGCAUAUGAGAUGUUCCAGGAGUUGAAGUCUAUCAUUAAGAAGAAUGCCCGGAUCGAGAGGUAUGAAACCUCCAAUAAGUUCGAUGCUUGCAAAAUGGAGGAGAACGUGUCCGUCACUGAGCACAUACUCAAAAUAUUUGGCUACUCUAACCGUCUGGAUGAGUUGGGAAUUGUUCUCCCACCAUAGGCAAUCACUGACAGAGUUCUUCAAUCGUUGCCACCUAGCUAUAAAGGCUUUGUGUUGAACUACAACAUGCAAGGGAUGAAUAAAUCAGUCGUCGAGUUGUUUGCAAUGCUGAAAGUCGCUGAGUCAGAAAUUCAGAAAGAACAUCAAGUGUUGAUGGUCAAUAAAACCACUACUUUCAAGAAAAACGGCAAGGGCAAGAAGGGUAACUCCAAGAAGAGUGGAAAAGAAGUUGCCCCUCCCAUGAAGAAACCUAAGGUUAGCUCCAAGCCAGAAACUGAGUGCUAUUACUGCAAGGGGGCUGGUCACUCGAAGCGGAAAUACCCCAAGUAUCUGGCCGAUAAGAAGGCGCCCAAUGCCAAACAAGUUAUAUUUGAUAUACAUCUUAAUGAUAUGUACCUCACCAACUCCCGCUGUAGUGCAUGGGUAUUUGAUAUCGGUUCGGUUUCUCACAUUUGCAACUCAAAGCAUGAACUACGGAAUAGAUGAAGGUUGGCGAAGGAAGAAGUGGCGAUGUAUGUGGGAAAUGGUUCCAAGGUUGACGCGGUCGCUAAUGUCUACUACGCAACCUUCUCCUUGUAGACGUUGUUGGGCCUCCAAGUGCAGAGGGUUGUAGGACGUAGCAAUUUUCCCUCAAGUGGUUAACCUAAGGUUUAUCAAUCCUCGGGAGGCGUAGGAUGAAGAUGGUCUCUCUCAAGCAACCCUGCAACCAAAUAACAAAGAGUCUCUUGUGUCCCCAACACACCUAAUACAAUGGUAAGUUGUAUAGGUGCACUAGUUCGGCGAAGAGAUGGUGAAACAAGUGCAAUAUAGAUGGUAGAUAUAGGUUUUUGUAAUCUGAAAUUACAAAGCAGUAAGGUAACUAGUAACAAAAGUGAGCACGAACGGUAUUGCAAUGAAUGGAAACAAGGCCUAGGGUUCAUACUUUCACUAGUGAAGUUCUCUCAACAAUGAUAACAUAAUUGGAUCAUAUAACUAGCCCUCAACAUGCAACAAAGAGUCACUCCAAAGUCACUAAUAGCGGAGAACAAACGAAGAGAUUAUUGUCGGGUACGAAACAACCACAAAGUUAUUCUUUCUAAUCGAUCUAUUCAAGAGUCCGUAGUAAAAUAACACGAAGCUAUUCUUUUCGUUCGAUCCAUCAUAGAGUUCGUACUAGAAUAUCACCUUAAGAUACAUAUCAACCAAGACCCUAAUGUCACCAAGAUACUCCAUUGUCACCUCAAGUAUCCGUGGGCAUGAUUAUACGAUGUGCAUCGUCUAAGAAUCAUCUAUUCAACCAACACAUAGAACUUCAAAGAGUACCCCAAUGUUUCUACCAGAGAGUCAAAAUGUGUGCCAACCCCUGUGCAUAGGUUCCCAAUGUCACGAACCCGCAAGUUGAUCACCAAAACAUACAUCAAGUACUCACAUGAAUCCACGUGUGCCAACCCAUAUGCAUAGGUUCCCAAUUGUCACAAACCCGCAAGUUGAUCACAGCAGAUAGACACGUGCAAGACAUACAUCAAGUGUUCCCAAAGACUCAAUCCGAUAAGAUAACUCCAAAGGGGAAACUCAAUUCAUUACAAGAGGGAGAGGGGGAAGAAGAUCAUAAGAUCCAACUAUAGAGCAAAGCCCAUGGUACAUCGAGAUCAAGACAUCUCAAGAACACGAGAGAGAGAGAGAUCAAACACAUAGCUACUGGUACAUACCCUCAGCCCCGAGGGAGAACUACUCCCUCCUCGUCAUGGAGAUCGUCGGGAUGAUGAAGAUGGCCACUUGAGAUGGAUUCCCCCUCCGGCAGGGUGCUGGAACGGGCUCCAAAUUGGUUUUUGGUGGCUAUAGAGGCUUGCGGCGGCGGAACUCCCGAUCUAGGUUUUUUUCCUCGGGGUUUCUGAAUUUAUAGGAAUUUAUGGCGGUGGAAUUGCGUUAGUUGGGCCCACGAGGAGGUCAUAAGCCUGGUCGCCACCACCGGGGGGGUGGUGGCAGCGUCAGGGCUUGUGACUCCCUCGUGGCUCUUCUGGCCUUCUUCCAAAGCUUUGGGGGUCUCAUUUGGUCCCAAAGAAAUCAUCGUGAAGUUUCAUUCCAGUUGGACUCCGUCUGAAAAUGGGCCAAAAACACGGAAAAAACAAAAACUGUCACUUGGCACUGAGUUAAUAGGUUAGUCUCAAAAAAGAUGUAAAAUAGCAUAUUCAUGCAUAUAAAACAUCCAAAGUUGACAAGAUAAUAACAUGGAACCAUCAAAAAUUAUAGAUACGUUGGAGACGUAUCAAGCAUCCCCAAGCUUAACUCCUGCUCGUCCUUGAGUACGGAAGUGAUAAAGAAUGAAUUUUUGAUGCUUUCAUGCUACCUAGCAUAGAAUUCCUUUGUAAAUCCUCUUAUGUGACAUGAAUGUUCAGAUCCGUUAGAUUCAAAACAAUAGUUUGCUAUUGAUGUGGAGACAAUAAUACUUCAAGCAAACUAGCAAGGUAAUCAUGAACUUUCAAAAUAACAAAGCCAAAAGGAAGUUAUCCCUACAAAAUCAUAUAGUCUGGCUAUGCUCUAUCAUCCUUACACAACAAAUUUAAAUCAUUCACAACCCCGGUAUUGGCCAAGUAAUUGUUUUCACACCUUUACUUUCUAAAACUUUUUCGACUCUCACGCAAUACAUGAGUGUGAGCCAUGGUUUUAGCACUAUAAGUGGUGUGGAGUGUGGUGGAGGUUGCAAGGCAAACAAGGAGAAGAUGGUCACAUUGACUAGGCAUAUCAAUGAGCUAUGGAGAUGCUCAUCAAUAGAUAUCAACGUGAAUGAGUAGGGAUUGCCAUACAAAUGAUGCACUAGAGCUAAGAGUAUGUGAAAGCUCUUAAAGAAAACUAGUGGGUGUGCAUCCAACUUGCUUGCUCACGAAGACUUAAGGCAAUUUUGAGGAAGCCUAUCAUUGGAAUAUACAAGCCAAGUUAUAUAAUGAAAAUUUCCCACUAGCUAUAUGGUGGUGACAAAACGAGAGACUCUCAAUCAUGAAGAUCAUGGUGCUUAAUAUGCACAAGUGUGGAAAGGUGGUAGCAUUGUCCCUUCUCUCUUUUUCUCUCAUUUUUUUUGGUGGGCUCUUUGACCUCUUUUUUUUGGUGGGCAUCUUUGGCCUCUUUUAUUUCCUCUCAUGGGACAAUGCUCCAUCAAUGAUGAUCAUCACACUUUCAACUCAAAACUUAAAGCAAGGAUGACUCUAUAUGGAAUGCCUUCGUUAGUGUACCGUGACAAUGAUCUAGCAUGGCAUAGACAUUAAUGGAAACAUCAUUCUAGCUAUCUUACGAUCAUGCAAUGGCAAUGUAGACGUGGUGGCACAUGUCAUGGUGGUAGUUGCAUGGCAAUAUAUCUCGGAAUGACUUUGAAAAAGCCAUAGUAGGUAGGUAUGGUGACUGUUUUGAGGGAGGCUAAAGGUGGGUUUUGUGCACCGGCGAAAGUUGCACGGCACUAAGAAGAUAGUGAUGGUGGAAGGUGAAAGUGCAUCUAAACCAUGGACUCAACAUUAGUCAUGAAGAACUCAUAUACUUGUUGCAAAAGUUUUAUUAGUAAUCGAAACAAAGCAUUCAACGCAUACUCCUAGGGGAAGGGUUGGUAGGUAUAAACCAUCGCGCGAUCCCGACCGCCACACAAAGGAUGACAAUCAAUAGACUAAUCAUGCUCAGACUUCAUCGCAUAGCGAUUAACCAUACGUGCAUGCUACGGGAAUCACUAACUUCAACACAAGUAUUUCUAGAUCCACAACACCUUACUAGCAUGACUUCAAUAUUACCAAAACCACAACUCAAAACUAAUUGAGAUGAAUCAAACUUCUCUAACUAUUCAAUGCACAUGAAGGUGGAAGUUUUCGUAUCCCUUUGGAUAACUACCCCUUUUGAGACUACUUUCAAAGCAUACAUCAACUACCAAGACACGCACCGCUGCGCUCUUAAAGAUAUAAGUGAAGCACAUAGAGCAAAAGUAUCUAGCUCAAAAGAUAUAAGUGAAGCACAUGUGAGCUGAAUUGUCUACCAAAGGAUAUAAGUGAAGCUCGACAAAAUCAUGGUGAGUACAUGUCUCUCUUUCUAGGUGUGCAGCAAGGAUGAUUGUGACACAACAAAAAUAAAAGACACCUACGAUACAAGACGCUCCAAGCAAAACACAUAUCAUGUGGUGAAUAAAAAUAUAGCCCCAAGUAACGUUACCGAUGGAUUGAAGACGAGAGAGGGGAUGCCUUCCCGGGGCAUCCCCAAGCUUAGGCUUUUAAGGCAUCCUUGAAUCUCUUGGGGUGCCUUGGGAAUCCCCAAGCUUGAGCUCUUGCCACUCUUUAUCUCUUUGUCCAUAAGAAGUUCACCCAAAACUUGAAAACUUCACAACACGAAACUUAAACAGAAACUCGUGAUAACAUUAGUAUGAGAAAGCAAACCACCACUUCCUUAGGUACUGUAGCAAACUUAAAUUCUACUUAUUCUGAUGUUGGUUUACUGUAUUUUCAAUCUUCCAUGGCUAAUACCCUCCGAUACUAUCCAUAGUUUCAUCAAAAUAAGCAACCAACUCAACAAAAACAGAAUCUGUUAACAGCAGACCAGUCUGUAGAAAUCUGUAUACUUCGUAUACUUAUGUACUUCAAAACAUCUAAAAAAUUACGACAGUCUGAAGAAAUUGCAUAGAAAUCAGAAGCAAAAAGAAUCAACUCAAAACCUCUUACAGAAUAAAAACUAAAAUUAUUUUCGUCACCAGAAAGUUUCUGUCUUUUUCCAGCAUGAUCAAAUAAUCAUCACCAAGACUAAUCAUAACGGUUUUGCUUGGCACAAACACAAAAAUAAACAAAAAGGACACAAUCAUAAAAGAAUUAUGAUGGUGUGGAGAAAACAAAACAGGAAGCAAAAAGCAAAGAAAAAUUUAUUCAUUGGGUUGCCUCCCAACAAGCGCUAUCGUUUAACGCCCUUAGCUAGGCAUUGAUUUCAAUGAUGCUCACAUAAAAGGUAAGGAUUGAAACACAACGAGAGCAUCAUGGAGCAAAUGGCUAGCACAUUUAGGUCUAACCCACUUCCUAUGCAUAGGGAUUUUGUGAUCAAACAAUUUAUUGGAGCAAGAAUCAACUAGCAUAGGAAGGCAAAACAAGCAUAGCUUCAAAAAUUUCAACAUAUGGAGAGGAAGCUUGAUACUAUUGCAAUAAGUAGAAGCAUAUCAUCCUCUCUCAUAGUAAUUUUCAGUAGCAUUAUGAAUGAAUUCAACAAUAUAACCAGCACCUAAGGCUUUCUUUUCAUGAUCUACAAGCAUAGAAAUUUUACUACUCUCCACAUAAGGAAAUCUAUUCUCAAGAAUAGUAGUGGGAGUAUCGUAAAAGACUUGAGCACUACAAAUUGUGUCCACAAUGAAAAAGCAAGGUUUAGCAAAGGGGUUAUCGAGAGUAUGACAAGUUUUAUCAUCCCUCUUCUUCAAAGCAUAAGUAUCCUCACAAUAAUCAUCAUAGACAGGGGGCAUGCUUUCAUCAAAAUAAUUUUGAUCAUUCAUAGUGGAAGAACUAAAAAGAUCAUCUUCAUCAAAUAUAGCAUCCCCAAGCUUGUGGCUUUGCAUAUCAUUAGCAUCAAGGGUAUUCAUAGAAUUCAUGCUAACAACAUUGCAAUCAUGCUCAUCAUUCACAUAUUCUAUGCCAAGCAUUCUAUGUAAUUCUUCUUUCAGCACUUGAGCACACUUUUCCUUCCCAUCAUGCUCACGAAAGACAUUGAAAAGAUGGAGCAUAUGAGGCAUCCUCAAUUCCAAAAAAAUUUGUAGUUUUCUAGCAAAAGAACAAGAAACAAAAAGAUUCGAAUGCAAGAUAUAAAUAUAUAUCUUCAAGCGCUAACCUCCCCGGCAACGGCGCCAGAAAAGAGCUUGAUGUCUACUACGCAACCUUCUCCUUGUAGACGUUGUUGGGCCUCCAAGUGCAGAGGGUUGUAGGACAGUACCAAUUUUCCCUCAAGUGGGUGACCUAAGGUUUAUCAAUCCGCAGGAGGCGUAGGAUGAAGAUGGUCUCUCUCAAGCAACCCUGCAACCAAAUAACAAAGAGUCUCUUGUAUCCCCAACACACCUAAUACAAUGGUAAGUUGUAUAGGGGCAGUAGUUCGGCGAAGAGAUGGUGAAACAAGUGCAAUAUGGAUGGUAGAUAUAGGUUUUUGUAAUCCGAAAUUACAAAAACAGAAAGGUAACUAGUAACAAAAGUGAGCACGAACGAUAUUUCAAUGCGUGGAAACAAGGCCUAGGGUUCAUACUUUCACUAGUGAAGUUCCCUCAACAAUGAUAACAUAACUGGAUCAUAUAACUAGCCCUCAACAUGCAACAAAGAGUCACUCCAAAGUCACUAAUAGCGGAGAACAAACGAAGAGAUUAUUGUCGGGUACGAAACCACCACAAAGUUAUUCUUUCUGAUCGAUCUAUUCAAGAGUCCGUAGUAAAAUAACACGAAGCUAUUCUUUCCGUUCGAUCCAUCAUAGAGUUCGUACUAGAAUACCACCUUAAGAUACAUAUCAACCAAGACCCUAAUGUCACCUAGAUACUCCAUUGUCACCUCAAGUAUCCGUGGGCAUGAUUAUACGAUAUGCAUCACAUAAUCUCAGAAUCAUCUAUUCAACCAACACAUAGAACUUCAAAGAGUGCCCCAAAGUUUCUACCAGAGAGUCAAAACGUGUGCCAACCCCUGUGCAUAGGUUCCCAAUGUCACGAACCCGCAAGUUGAUCACCAAAACAUACAUCAAGUACUCACAUGAAUCCACGUGUGCCAACCCAUAUGCAUAGGUUCCCAAUUGUCACAAACCCGCAAGUUGAUCACAGCUGAUAGACAUGUGCAAGACAUACAUCAAGUGUUCUCAAAGACUCAAUCCGAUAAGAUAACUCCAAAGGGGAAACUCAAUUCAUUACAAGAGGGAGAGGGGGAAGAACAUCAUAAGAUCCAACUAUAGUAUCAAAGCCCAUGGUACAUCGAGAUCAAGACAUCUCAAGAACACGAGAGAGAGAGAUCAAACACAUAGCUACUCGUACAUACCCUCAGCCCCGAGGGAGAACUACUCCCUCCUCGUCAUGGAGAUCGUCGGGAUGAUGAAGAUGGCCACCAGAGAUGGAUUCCCCUUCGGCAGGGUGCUGGAACGGGCUCCAGAUUGGUUUUUGGUGGCUACAGAAGCUUGCGGUGGCGGAACUCCCGAUCUAGGUUUUUUCUGGGGGUUUCUGAAUUUAUAGGAAUUUAUGGCGGUGGAAUUGCGUCAGUUGGGCCCACGAGGAGGUCACAAUCCUGGUCGCCACCUCCGGGGGGUGGUGGCGGAGUGAGGGCUUGUGACUCCCUCGUGGCUCUUCUGGCCUUCUUCCAAAGCUUCGGGGGUCUCUUUUUGUCCAAAAAAUCAUCGUAAAGUUUCAUUCCGUUUGGACUCCGUCUGAAAAUGGGCCAAAAACAUGGAAAAAACAGAAACUGGCACUUGGCACUGAUUUAAUAGGUUAGUCCCAAAAAAGAUAUAAAAUAGAAUAUUCAUGCAUAUAAAACAUCCAAAGUUGACGAGAUAAUAGCAUGGAACCAUCAAAAAUUAUAGAUACGUUGGAGACGUAUCAGUUGCCAUCAGCACGUUCUCACUUAAAUUACCAUCGGGAUUAGUGAUGAACCAAAAUAAUUGUUAUUUAGUGCGUGCAUUAAGCGUCAACAUUAUAUCUGGAUCUUGUUUAUUGCGAUACGGUUACUCAUUUAUGUCAGAGAAUAAUAGUUCUUCUAUUUAUAUGAGUAAUAUGUUUUAUGGUCAUGCACCCAAUGUGAGGGUUUUGUUCAUGUUGAAUCUUGAUAGUGAUAACACACAUAUACAUAACAUUGAAUCCAAAAGAUGUAGAGUUGAUAAUGAUAGCACCACUUUCUUGUGGCGCUGUCGCUCAGAUCAUAUUGGUAUAAAAUGCAUGAAGAAACUCCAUGUUGAUGGAGUUUGGAGUCACUUGAUUUUCAAUCACUUGACACAUGUGAACCAUGCCUCAUGGGAAAGAUGACUAAGACUCCGUUCUCCGGAACAAUGGAGCGUGCAAGUGACUUGUUGGAGAUCAUACGUACUGAUGUGUGCGGACCAAUGAGCAUAGAGGCGCACGGCGGUUAUCGUUAUUUUCGCACCUUCACAGAUGAUUUGAGUAGAUAUAGUUAUAUUUACUUGAUGAAACACAAGUUUGAAAAGUUCAAGCAAUUUCAGAGUGAAGUUGAGAAUCAUCAUAACAAGAAGAUCGAAUUCCUACGAUCUGAACGAGGAAGAGAAUAUCUGAGUUAUGGGUUUGGCACUCACUUAAAACAAUGUGGAAUUGUUUCACAGUUAACACCGCUAGAACACAACAACGCAAUGGUGUGUCCGAACGUCGUAAUCGUACUUUAUUGGAUAUGGUGCGUUCUAUGAUGUCUCUUACCGAUUUGUCGUUAUCAUUUGGGGUUGUGCAUUAGAGGCAAUUGCAUUCACUUUAAAUAGGGCACCAUCAAAAUCCAUUGAGAUGACGCCAUAUGAACUGUGGUUUGGCAAGAAGCCAAAGUUGUCAUUUCUUAAAGUUUGGGGAUGUGAUGCCUAUGUCAAAAAGCUUCAGCUUAAAAAGCUGGAACCCAAAGCGGAAAAGUGCAUCUUCAUAGGAUACCCAAAAGAGACAGUUGCGUACACCUUCUAUCUCAUAUCCAAAGCAAAGUGUUUGAUGCUUCAAAUAGAGCUUUUCUUGAGAAAGAGAUUCUCUCGAAAGGAAUUGAGUGGGAGGAAGAUAGAACUUGAUGAGGCUGUAGAACCUUUACUUCAACCAGCAAGUGGCGCAACACACAAAGAAGUUUCUGUGGCGCGUGCAUCAGUUGAAGAGGAAGCUAUUGAUGAUGAUCAUAUAGCUUCAGGUCAAGUUGCUAUCGAACGUCGUAGGUCGACAAGGGCACGUACUACUCAUGAGUGGUAUGGCAACCAUGUCUUAUCAAUCAUGUUGUUAGACAACGAUGAACCUACGAUCUAUGGAGAAGCAAUGGUGGGCCCAGAUUCCAACAAAUGGUUAGAGGCCAUGAAAUCCGAGAUAGGAUCCAUGUAUGAAAACAAAGUAUGGACUUUGUAAUUAUUACCUGAAGGGUGAAAGGCUAUUCAGAAUAAAUGGAUCUUUAAGAAGAAGACGAGUGUGGACAAUAAUGUCACCGUCUCUAAAGCUCGACUUGUGGCAAAGGGUUUUUCACAAGUUCAAGGGUUGACUACAAUGAGACUUUCUCACCCGUAACGAUGCUUAAAUCCAUCACAAUCAUGUUAUCCCGAGCCAUCUCACCAGCAAGUUUGUCCGCGCCGCUACGGUAUGACACCACACUAACAGAUUUCUUUUUAACGCGCAGGAUUAGAUCUAGUGAUUGGUUAGGUUUACUGUUUUAAUUAGAUAUGUUUUGCCUGGUAUUCAUGCAUGAGUUAAACCAAAACUUUGGCUUUCUUUUUAUUAGCCACCAAUGCCCAAAAAGGUUAAGCACUAGACUUCCGCCCCAAAGCCCUCCAACGCAUGUUGUGGUGCGAAUUGUAAACCACCAUGUGGCCCGUACCCGACGCCUAGAGCAUUUUCCUUUUUCCUUUUUUGAAAAUAGUUUCAAUUUUGACUUCUUAAAAACUUUUAUGUUUUAAAUCAAAUUUGAGUGUUUCUUUUUUGCAUUAGGUUCAAAAUUUUAUAAAGUUUCUUUUAGACCCUAUAGUUUUUGUAUUUGAUGUUUUUAAAUUUCAGUUUGAUGAAAUUCGUUGAAACCACUAUUUUGCUUAUAACUUGAGUUUAUAAAUUUCUUUUAAUUGGAUUAUUUCGGUACUUUGUCACUAGAAUAGUUGUUCAUCUAGUAGCGCUUCAACUUUUACUUUUGUUUUAUUUUAAAUUAGUUUAUUUUCUAAAGCAGUAUUGUUUUUCUUAUAGGAUUGUUUUAGUUAUUACUUAGUGUUUCUUUUAGUUUUAAACUAUUUUCUUUUUUUCACUUUUGACAAAUUGUUUUAUAUUUCUAUUGACAAGAGUACACAAAAUUUGAUAGGUUUUAAAGUUUAUUUGCUUUUGUUUUGCUUUAAAACUUGUAUAGGUCAUAAAUAGGGUUUUAUAAAAGCCUUUUAGUGUUUCUUUUGCUAGUAGAAACAUUAGUUAAUUUAUUUCUUUUAACUUAUGUGUUUUAUAUUAAUUUAUUAGUUUAGAGUUUUAUUUGCUAUUAUGUUUUUAUUUAGGGAAAAAACUAUUUUGUAUUGUGUCAUAGAUUUUUCUUUAUAAUUCUUUAUUUGAAGUCUUCUUUGGAUUUUAUUUAGUUUCCUUAUUGUUUUCUUUAUUGUUUUUAUUGGUUUUUAUAUUGAUUGCUAGAUUGAACCUUAUGUGAAUGCAAUGUGUUACUAUAGAUUUUAGUCGGAGAGUGACAAAAAGUUCUAUCAAAUUAUUUUGAGAGUGUUAUAAUUUUCAUCAACUAUACUAGGCAAGUUCACUUUGACCAUAUAUUCAUACAUAUGUUUUAUUGCAUUUAGCAUCACCAUUUCAAUAUUUCCUCCAGUUAUUAUACUAAAUCAUGUAAUUGGGUAGAAGCAUGAGGCAGGAACCCACAUCAUUGCUACUGAGCUCCAAGAACAUUGAUUUCUUAUGCUACGCUGUCGUGGGUGGGGAUUGGUAUGAGUGCUAAUGAGUGGUGGGAGAAGGAGGACACCAUGAUCAGUAACAAAAACGUGAAGAUUGGAACUUCAAGGCCUACAUCUUCAAGACCUCAAGACUUCAAGACCAGAGACAAGAAUUCAACACACACUACUGGGUGGAGGAUGGUUUGAUGGGCACCAUGGAGUAACCAGUGGAUGACCCGGGAUGCAUGGAGAUGCGCCAUGAUAUCUUGCGGAAAGCUUCACCCAGACUAAAAGAGAUGGAAGAAUACUUGAUGUCCGAAAUCUUACAUGUGCAGCCACAAGUCAUUAUGGCCUCUAUCUUGGUUGACCUUAGUUGUGACUCUGACUGGGACGAUGCAAGCAGAUGUAGCCGAUGCUUAGGAUUGGAAGGGCGGUGGACAAUGGUCAGGGGAACUCUUUGAAAGAGCAUGUUUCAUUCGUCGUGUUUACAAACACCUGACAGUGCGAGGACUUUCAAGGAGGGAACAGUUCUUUUGGGUAAAGUGCACAACACUCUGUAGAGUUAAAACCUAAUUGAUUAGCCAUGUCCCCAGUUACAGACAAUCUGAGCCUGUGGAUUUGGAUCUAUCUCUGAAAUGUCACCACCGGACGGAUAACUAAUUGUGGGCAACUUCUGAUACUUGUGGGCUAUGAGACAUCGGUUGGUGGAACCAUGUCAUGGUAGAUAACUCUAUAGUGAAGACUCCUGAUAUUCCUUUAAUGUAGGGAAAUUAAAACCAACUUUUAUGCAAAAUCUGUGACACAGAGCCAGAAAGCCUUAGUACAUACAGAAUAGUCUUUAUCAUUUGCUUCUAUUGCAAUCUUACCAGUUCAUUCAAUGUACUGGCCUACACGACUGCAAUGUAUUAUGUUGCAAGCAUGAGAUGAUGAGUAAGAGUUACAAAAUAGGGUUACGGUCUACACUCAACUUGCUGUUGGUGUUGAUGGGACUCUACACCCUUAUGCUUUGUUUCUGUUUUGAUAUAUAAGGUAUACUAUAGAUCUAUGAUAUUUAUUUUAAAUGUGAUAUUAUGGUAUUACACUGAAGUACUAUGUGUGCCAACAUACUGAUCGAGUGAUGGCACAGAAAGCACACAGGCACCAAUCCAUUUGGAUCGGGUUGGUACAGAUAGCUGGCUAGCUCAUAGUAGUACCAUCGAAAUCGACCCUGUCACCUCCAAAUUUCGUGAAGAGAAUGGCAAACCUCAAUGCAAUAAGAAUAAUAAGCACCGCCAUAAAAACGGUUGCACCAGCGAUGCUGACAAAACAAUAGCCAACGCUGGAUUCAGCAACGAGCACAACGAUAAGAAGCACAAGCCCUUUAAAGGGAAAAAGGAUGGAUCAUCUGCCCUCGACAUAAUACUUGAUAGGCCAUGAAAAAUUCAUGGCACUGCGGAUAAACCCCCCACUCACACCAAUCAGAACUGUUAGGUGAUCAAAAGCACUAGAAAAGCCUCAGCGGAAAGCCCAUGCAAGGGACAACCUCAUAGUGAAGACGAGGAUGAACCGCCGAGGUCCCGUGAUGGAGUCCAAAAUAAAUACACUAUAGAGUUAAUGGAUGUGAACAUGAUAUAUGUCACCCACGUCCCCAAAAAGGAGAGGAAAAUAUCACUUCGGGGUGUCUAUGACCUAGAGCUUGGAGCGCCAAAAUCCAAAUAUGGUCGGCUCACCCGAUCACCAUCGACAGACGCGACCACCCGAUAAGUAUCUUCCAUGGAGGAUCGACCACCUUGGUCUCCGAUCUCAUCGUGGGUGGUUUCCACCUCACUAGAGUCCCCAAGGAGGGAGGUAGUAUCCUAAACCUGAUCUAUGCCGAUAUGGUUAGGAAGAUGGGCAUCGACCCGUUAAGGAUCAAACCCAGAAGCACCAUGUUCAAAGGUGUAAUAAGAGGCGUGGAGACACAUUGCUUGAGAACUAUCACCCUAGUGGAAGUCUCCAACUCACCCGAAACUUACACAAUGAGGAUUUGAUAUUCGGUAUCGUCCCAUUCAACAGCGGUUGACACACACUCCUCGGGCAAUCCACCUUCGCCAAUUUCAAUGGAGUCCCGCACUAUGCGAAUCUAAAACUCGGGAUGUCGGUCCCAAAAGGUGUUAUCACAAGAAAUAGUAACAUCGAGCUCUCCCUUCGAAUGGAGGAGCAGACCGCCGCUUUCAUAGCCGAGGUCCACGCAGCCGAGGAGGCGUCGAAAGCUCUCACCAUGGUGAAUGGGAAGGUUAUGUCCAAGCACACCCGAGGUGCUACUCGGCCUACUCGCUCAUCACAAGGACUCCCCAAAUAGGGGUGCGCAGUCCCUGGUCCUCCCUCCCUAGUCAAAGAAUAUAUGCCUAGAGCAGUAACUUCACCCUCAAGAUCCUAUGGGAGACCACGAAGCAUAUGUAAGUUGAGCACACGUUUUGGUUCAAUCGAUCUAGUGGCUCAACCUUCGGGAGCACGCUCCAAUGGCAAUUUGAAAUCCCAUAAAAACAAAUACCCAUGAUAGCAUCAAGCUUUCACCUUGCAGAUAGUGAGGUCUACCCCUCUAAAGGACCCAUUGCUAGCCACACGCAAGUGAUCGACCGACAACAAUACCACACUUAAACAUACAAGCACCUUGUCGUCAACAAGGGCGAAUGGUCAAUAGCACGAAGGUGUAGACAUGCGACAGGUCCCAUCCGGGGAUAACAGAACUCUAUGUACAACUCCAUCAUUUUCUAACAUAUCUCUCUCUAACAAGCUCAACUUGUACGGUUCAGCUAUAUAAAUACAUAUAUUAUCUUAUCCAGUCAUAAUACCUUGUCUGCAUAUUUCUCUAUCUUGCCAUGUAAACCAAAGACAACCUUCACGAACCAUCGGUUAUCGACCAGGGUCUGAGAUUUAACUCCUCCCCUAAAACAUCCUAGUGCUCAUUUAAAAGAGUACUUGAUGCCUCGGGUAUUGCAUUGUAUGCACCAAGUUUUGACUCAUGUCUUUGGUCAAUAGUUGGAUUGCCUGGGUCAUGUGCUUACCUCUUACAUUUCUGCUUCGUUCGGCUAAGUGUGUAAUGACAUAACCACUAGGAUUGUACUUCCAACUCAAUCAGUAAGUACCUUAGUGGAGAAAUCCAAAAACUGACUGUCAUGAUAUACGUAAACCGGUCGACGAACCGAAGACCACGCCAAACAUAAUCGGCAGUGAUUUCACCCCCAUUAAAUGAAAGGUUCUCUUAAAAGAGUCGAAGUAUUCAAAGUUUCGGUCUUGGCAUGCCCGAACACUUCAUUAACUGGGGGCUAUUCACAAGCCCACACAAUUCAAGCACAUAUGACUAAGUGAAGUUAUAAAGCCGAAUAGUUUGAUUCCUUGUCUAUAAUAAACACGACCUCCCAAUGGGCACCAAGAUGUUAGCUCAGGAUUGUAUUGUUACUAAGACACCCUAUGCAGUCUAUGCUAAGGGGCACUAAGGGAGAAAUGGCUAGACACAACUCUUGUUGGUGGCGCGCCAACUUCGUCCCACGCGAGCACUAAUAUUUUCAAAUAGUGCUGGCAUCGGCUAAAUUUGCAUGUUAUUGCUACACACAUAGUGGUGGCGUUCAAAUUAUGUCGAAUGUCACUUGUAUCAGGACCUCGUCACUCUCUCCUUGCACAAAAUCUUGUUGGCGUGGCCAAAGUUCCUACUCGAGUAUUAUGGUCUAUACUUGUGUCGUGCAACUUUUGUCGCAUGCCAUAUGUAUAUUUUGUGGGGUCCAACGAUAUUGUGAUGGCAUUCCUAAAGUUUGAACGCAAUAAGUAUUUCCAUCUCUAUAUAUAGCUAGCUAGCAUGGUUCAUUAUAGGCGAUAUCUUGACGGUAAGGCCAUAUGUACGUGUAUACAGUGAGACCACAUCCUCUUCUUCCUUCGAUCCACUGAGAGCUAGCUCUACUUGCUUUAGUUGUGUGUGUGUGCAUACAAACCGUAUAUUCUAACAUUGGGUGCAGAAUAACUAUUAUGAUAUCACCUUCGAACUGCAUGAUUAACACGACUACACUGCGUCCCUAUCGAGCGAGCACUCCAAUGUGAGCAGAAAAAACUGUAUGCAUUUUUUUGCACUAUUUUCGCUCUAGUUUCUAGACCUUUUGUUUCGAACGAGGCAUAUAAUAUACCAUUGGAUAGCUAUGGCAAAUGUGAAGCUUAGCCAUGUUGAACACUUCUCACGACUCCUCGUAGUUUAAGAGUAGUUUCAAAAACGAUGGGUACCUCAUGGGUGGCAGCGCGCGUAUUUUCAUGAUUUAUUCUAAAACGCAUGUUAGAAUGAAGAAAACAAUAUGGCAUUGGAAAGAUAUCAUCGAGGCACAACUUUUACAUGUAGAUUGCACUCUCUAGUUCCUUACGGUUUAAGAGAAGUUUCAAAUUUACCAAAAUGAGGAAUUGUGUUGAUUUUUUUUGAUUUUUUUGUGUACGGUUUUCGCUGCAGUUUUUUAACCGUUCGUCAGAACAAUGUGUGUGAUACGGUGUUGGAAAUUUAUGAGUAGGCACAACUUUCAUAUGUUGGUCAUUUGUUGAGAUUCCUCGUGGUUUUAAAUGAAUUUUGAAAACUGUGUGGCUGCCUAUGAGUUGCAGUGACCGUAUUUCCGUAAAAAAUCAAACCGCUCGUCAAAACGAUGCUAAUGAUAUGUUGUUGGAAAGAUAUCAACGAGGUGAAAUUUUUUCAUGUAGAUCACUCUCUCUAAUUCUUUACGGUUUAAGAAAAGUUUUGAAAUUACCGAAAUGCGGACACUAUUUUUUGCGACACCAAAAUUGACGUGUGAACCGCAUCAUACAGAAGAAUGCACUGCAUCGGACUAAAGCCCGCACUGCAUCGAACGGGCAAGUGAACUUCAUGGUUUUUUAUCCGACGUGAAUUUUCUGAUGCGAUGAAGUUGAUAAUUUGGUUCACAUUGGGCGCAAGUGAAUCGCAACACUAUCGAGGAGUGAACCACAAUAUUUUAUGUCAUUUUGAUAACAGUUUUCGACACUUACAAGAUGAACUACAUGAGACAGAAAACCGCAUUGCUUCAGAAGACAAAACGCGGAGCAUCGGAAAAAAGUGGAGCACAUGCUUUUUUGUCUUGUAUUUUACUUUUCAUGAACCGAAUCUAAGCGAAUUGUAACAUUUUUGGGUCUUUUCUUCUAAAAUAUUUCACAGGCUUAAGUGGACCACAUGAUCAAUGUUAGUGUGCUGUAUCAUUUUUUAAAUGCAUUAAAAUUGCAUGGAUGAUAAUAGAGUUCUCCAUUUUUUUCUCGGCAAAAGUAAAUUGCGGGCAUAAAUUAGUGAAGUACGUUUAAAGAAGUGAACUUCUUGCAUUGAUUUUCUUUUUUAGCUACACCACUACUGCAAUUUGUUCCUUUCGUAUACUAACAGCUAUGUAUCCCACAAACUCACACACAAAAUACAUGUAGCAGGCAAGCACGAAGACACCCUUCAUAAGCAAAACUAAAAUUGAAAUUGUACAUCAAGAUGUAGAGCAUGUACUGAGCUGCAUCAUUGGUCGUACCAAGUUGCACAUCUGCAUGUAACAAACAACAACGUAGAGGUCUUUGACCUCGCUACCGCAUGGAUCUAGAAGGCGCGUCCACCUCUAUUAGAGCAUGAUGGAGUUUGUGCCUCUGUUACCCAACAGAAUGAAGUCCAGCAGAGGAAGGUGAUGUGGCAGCUCGUUGUUCUUCUUUGUUUUUCAAGUGAACUGCACAUGAAAAAAAUGAGGGAAGGCUCGGUGUUGCGCCCGACUGCAUUGCGGACUACAUGCCAGCUAUCGGGGACGCCAUGGGGAUGCAAGGGGGCAACUAGUCCCCUGGAUCCGACGACAAAGCUCUCCACUAGGACAUGGCCGAUGAUGGGGCCAAUGGGGGAAAGCCGUCAUCGAGCUCAUCGCCGGGGGGUACGGGCAGAGCGCUCCUUGUCAACGGGUGGUGCAAGCUCCCUUGCAUGCAACGAUGAGUUAGGGCAGAUGAUAAGGCGAAGGGGUUGAGGAGGAAAAUUCAAGGGAGGAAGCUCGGGAAGUGCAAGUCGGAACGGGGUACGCAGUCGUGGUGGUUUCUAGGAACAAGCACUUUGCCGCUGAUGGCGAGGUAGGGGAGGCACGGGGGAUCCCCAACCGCUCGAGAUCAGGCGCCCACGGGGUACUUGGCGGCGCGAUCUGACGUGGGAUGCCUGGAUCCAUUGGAUGUGGAGGUUGAAGUGCUCAUGAGGGUGAGACGAGGCAGGGCCUCGCAGUGCGGCAUGGGAACGUAGGCGGCGAGGGUCGGGGCUGGAAGCAUGGGGAGUUAACCAAAGGGGAGGGGUGCGGCGGCUCUAGAAUCCAGGACGGAUAUAUAUAUAUAUAUAAAGUCUAUUCAUCACCCAAGGUGUAAAAUAAGUUAUUUUUCACCCACGUAAUCUUACGACCGUUUCAUAAAUAAAUUACAUUUGGAAUAACAAUAGUUACAUUAAUAUUGAUUCAUUACGUAAAAUUUGAUGUAAAAAAAUAAAAAUAUUGGUCAUAAGACCAAAAAAUCGCAUUUCAUGUAUAUUUUACACUAUGUUUUUAUGUGUGUAAUUUUACGUGACAUAAAAUAUUUUUAUGGUGACUAUAUAUUUUCUUGCGGUCUCUUUUUACGUAUGAAAUAAGCAAAAAAAUUGAAACAUAGAAGUAUGAUGCAUUGAUGUGAAAAGAGAGGGGGUGAAGAAUAACCAUUCUUCACCCAGGGUGACGAAUAGUCAAUCCCUACUUUCUUGUAGAUAAGGUUUCUAUUUCUUGAAUUUUGGAUGAUUUCAAUUACCAAAGAGGCUUUCUAUUUCUUGAACUUUCUUGUAAAUAACAAUUAACCACUGAAUAUAUACGAAAUGAAAAAGAAGAAAGAGGAGAUACCAGAUCCCAACACAUAACGUGCAGCACUGAUUGCAGUCGCUCCAACGUAACUUUAUAUCUUCGCUUUUGUCUAUAGAGAGAGAGAGAGAGAGCAAGAGAGAGAGAGAGAGAGAGUAACCAUAUCCUGAUAUUCUUAUCCUAGCGCGUCAUCUAGGCGCUGACGGAAUCAUCCCGAACUGCCAAACCAAUCCACCCACGAGCCCACAAUCCCCACCAGCCCAUCCCCACCCGAUCCCCACCUUCCCCACUAUCGGGACCCCGAUCCUAAGCCAUAGGAAUCCAGCCUGUAACACAUCGCAUCUCUUUGCGGUCUCACGCACGGUUAUCCCCACGGCUGCAGCCUUACCUUAGCCGGGACCGUUUGCGCCUUUUGACUCGCGUAUGCAAUUGUGUCACUAGCAAUCCAAUGACAAAGAACCCGGAUCGACAUGACUAGUCAUAAACCAAAGCGUCAGUUCCACACAGGGACAGGCAUACAUGACCCAGCAAAGCAGGUGUCGGCCACCAGCGAAUGUAGACGAGUCGUAGCAAGCUACAAGGACUCUAUUACAUCGCAUGACUUUUCCCCGACGGGGACAGACACAGCAGCUAAGAAGGACACAUGCCGGUCAACCAAUGUGUCGGGAGCAGUAGCGAACUACCAUGGCUCAUUGGAUCACAAAGGGGCAUUUCCUUGUAAGGAAUGCUACUAAAGCCUACGGCUAGGUAAUCGAAUCCCAUACAUAUCAAGUACAACACACGUACGCAAGGCAUACCGAUAUGUAUAUAUACAUCGAUGGCAUCACAACAUAACCAUAAACAUACAAAACUUUAUUUAGAAGGCUCGGAAGAGCCACACACAUAAUAUUACAAGGUAGGGUUCUCACGACCCAUCAUCACAAGUCAUACACACAGUUCUUACAAGCCAGCGGAAGAUUUAAAGCUGUCUGAGUACAGACAGAGGGAAAGAUAAAGGCACAUGGCCUGACUAUCUAUAGACCCAUCCUAGGGCCAGAUCAUAGCUGGGAUACCAGCUACUCGUCGUCAUCGAUGUCUAGGUAGAACCCUCCAUUAGGGUCAUUAACAACCUCUGCAACAAUUAUUAAGCAAACAUGAGUACAAAAAUACUCAGCAAGACUUUAGGAUAAGCUAUCUACUCAUGCAAUGUAUCAAUAAGGAAUUGUGGGGUUUCAUGCGGAAAGCCAGCAUUUGACUCGUGGCUAAGCAACUUGCAUUUUUAAAUAGUUUUGACAACUUUGAUUUCUCGCACACGAGUCCACUAACACCACAACAAUACUCCAUCGUGGAAUCAUUCCGUCUCCAUAUGAAAAUGCCGUCCACGACACUCACGCUUAUCUUGACAAUUUUAUGAGUAGCCAUUAAAGUUUUCUAUGAACAACAUAUGUCUCCAAGUAGUCCAUAUCCGCGGACGCAGCUAUUCGAAUAGAUCAUAACCCUGCAGGGGGGUACUUCUUCACACACGCUCUCGCCACUUAUCGCCAUGUGCACGUCAUGCACCUCGGCAACCUUCAAGCGGAAGCCCGGCGAGGGAGUCGGCCACGACCGUUAACCACGCUAAUACUUAGUCCAGGUCUAUCGCCUAUCUGAGGGUAACCCACACGGAAGUCCGGCCGAGGUUUCCGCCACGGCCCCAAACGAUGUGCUCAUGGUUACCAAGCAAACCAUCCGGGUGCCACUUGGUACACCGUGCCACUGCCUACCGCAUCAUAGCCCACCUCUAAGGUCAGCGCUACGCACGGCCUCCAGCAUGAUUAUAAACACGAGAAACUACUUGCAACUCCUGGACCGAGUACUAAGCGAUUAAUAAGUCGAGAGGGUCAAUUAAGUAUCCCAACGUGUGGUAGUAUCUAGUCUUGGAUUACAUACACGGAACUCAAUUCCUAAGGACAGUUCCAAUGAAACAACUCGCCAUGUACUCCUACAUAGCCUUUCACCGAUACCUUUACCAAAUCAGGUUCAACACACAACCUUUACUUACUGAACACAUUCUCACAAUUUUGUUCAUCCCCCAAAUGACAGACCAUACACAACUCUAAGCAUAGCAUGCAUAGCAGGAUAAGGCACAUCAUGGCUCAAGCAUCUACCAAGUUCUAGGUUGCAAGGUUCAGCUAUUUACUGUGACAAAGACAGGUCAUGUAAAGGAAGUGGGUUCAACUAACGUGGCAAAAGCAUUUGAAGCGUUUGAUCCUAAUGCAAUAAGUAAGUGCAGGAGUGAGAACAUGGGAUUUAUCGGGAUGAUCAAAAUGGUUGCUUGCCUUGUUGCUCAGCAGAGGGACAAUAUCCGCCAGUCGGAUAUUCGGUGGAAUCCGGAGGAGCGGGGCCUACCGGUAAAAUCAAUAUCAAUCAAUAACAAUCAUAUGCAACAAGAUGAUGCAUGAGAAUGGCAUGAAAAUGAAAGGUGGUAGGCUAAUGUGACUACCAUUUCUUAAUUUGAAGUUGAUUUGAAUCAAGAUUCAAAUAUCACUUCAAACAAGGUAUUUUCAAAUACCCUUUUAAUUGAUUUGACCUGAUGCUCAGGUAAUCUUUUUUUAGCAUGCAAGAUGAUGGUAUGUUGGGUUGCUGGUUGUUCUUAAUCAUGGCUUGGUCAUAAAAUUUGAAGUGGAAUUCAAAUGGAUUUUAAAUUCCAAAUCUAUAUUAUUUAAUAAGGUUAUCCCAAUCAUCAUUUAACCUGUUUGGUGAUGUCAACAUUUUCAAACAUGCUUGAAAAUAUCAAAAUCCGAUUCCUUGGAUUUUUCUGAUACUUUUUCAUAUAUAAAUUAUUUUCAUUGGACUUACAGAUUAUUUUCUAUGAUUUUUAAAAGUUUUGGGCAUUUUGUGGAAUUCUUUUAUAACAGAAAAAGCUUUAUUGCAGCAGCAUGACAUCAGCAGGUCAUUCUGGCCGUUGAAAGUCAAACCUGACCAGUGGGACCCAUUGGUCAGUGACUCUGGCCAGUUUUAGAUUAAGUUUAAACUUAAUUAGCUAAUUAGUAGAGCUGGACCCACAUGUCAGUGACUGCUUAGGUUAAUUUAAUUAAGUUUAUUUUAUUUUUCUAAAAACUAAUUAACCAGAGGCAGGCCCCACCUGUCAUAGACUCAGGGGGGUCAGAUCCACCGGCGGCGAGGUCGUCCUCGCCGGCGUUGAGCCUCCGGCGACCACUAGAACGGCGGAGGGGCUCGAAAAACUCAUUCCGACGACCAUUUGCACGGCAGAGGGCACCAGACUGACCAGUGUUCACCCGCCGUUCCAUUUCUGCACAGAACCGGGGCUGAUCUGGUCGGAGAUGACGCUGGCGACGAGCUUGGCGGCGGCCAAAGCUCGGGCGUCAUCGGGGUCAUCGAAAUAGGGGGCUUCACGCGCGGGGCUAGGCUCCUACGGCACCUACACGACGCCCUGAAGCCACUGGUGGCCUCAGAUGGACGAGCCGUUCACCGGAGGGCUACCGGCGACGAGCUCCCGCGGCGGAUCUCGUCGGGCUCUGGUGAAAACAGGGCUAGAGGAAGAGAUCAAAGGGGGAAACUUGGGGGAAAUCUUGGUAGGCUCAUGGGGAGUGAAGUGGUAGCGCUAGCUUGCUCGGGGAUGGCCUGUAGAGAGAGAACGCCGGCGGCGAGCUUCGGUGACCCGAGGAAGAAGACGACCGCGUCUCCUCGAUUCACUACGUCUCGGCGUCGAGCUCGUGGCUUGGAAGCUUAAGGGGACCCUAGCGGUUCUUCUGCGCGGCUCAAGAGGGAAGGAGGCAGGUCAGAGCGAUGGUGAGCUCGAGCUCUGCUCGGGCUCCAAUGGCGGCCGAGAGGAGAGGUAGCAGGGGGGAGAAUGAGGAGGGGAUGAGCUCAGGCAUGCCUCGGGAGGGUUAUCCCCUCACGUGCCAGCGCGAAGCGGCGGCCAGGCAGGCGCACAGGUGCGUGGCCGCGCUGGAGUACGCGGCGGCCACCUCCUGCUGCCCACUGGAGGGCACGAAGACGACAAAGAGGAAGCUGGGUUGGGCCAGGUGAGCGACAGGUAAGUUUUUCCCAUUUUUGUCUACUUUUGUUACUGAUUUGAUUUGCCAUUUAUUUUGGCUCCAAACUUAGUUCAAAAAUUAUUUUGAACACAUUGAAAUAUUAGUUGGAAUAUUUCCAAUCAUUACUGAAGUUCUCAACAUUUUUGAAAACUUGAAAGUUUUUGAAUUCAAAUUUAAACUUGAAUUCAGUGGCUUUUUGAAUUUAAAUAAAAUGCCAAAUGUGUUUUGAAAAUAGUUUUCUUCCCUGAUAAUUUGUUUUCAAGAAUUAUCAGAAAAGUUGAACUUUUCUUGAGGCCAUUUUGGGUUCAUUGAUUUAACAAGUUUUGAAUUUCCUUGAAUUUUGAGAAGUGGCUAGGGUUUUGGGGUUUUGUUUCACCAGUUGCUUUGAAUUUGUUUCAAGUUCUUGAAUGCAAUGAAUGUAAACAUGAGCACAAUGCUAAAACCUAGUUAGGGAUCCAGGGAUGUGACACUCACCCCCUCCAGCCCGGCCUCCCCCCGGUACCCGGUCGCGCCUCUCGUCGCCAGCCACCCUCACCCCCUCAUUUCCCACCGACCCACCCCUAAGGCUGCAUCCCUCCCGCUACUAUCGAUGCACGCAACCCACCAAACCACCCACACCGACGAUGAUGACGUGCGCCGCCCUCGGCCAGUAUCACAAGACCCCAGCCACCGUCGCCUCUCGGAUCCGCUACCGCCUCCCCAACCUCCCCAACCACCGCCUCCUCCCCAACCACCGUCGCCUCCUGGAUCCGCGCCACCAGCUCGCCCUCAAGGAGCUGACACCCAUCAAGCAGCGGCCCUCGCCGGCCUACAGCUCAGCGUCCGUCAGGAAGAGCACCAGCCAAAGCUUCGUCACCGAUCGGGGCGACCCUCCUCCUCCUCCCAUCCAGGUCACCCCCAUACUAUUGCACGCAACUACGCCUCCGCGUGAAGGUCAUCGGUCAGAGCUAUAUCCGAAUUCGUCGCGGGUGCGUCUCCUUAGUCAAUCUCCAUCGCAGUUCAACGUUCUCGGCCACAACUCCUCCCCUAUUGUGGAGCUUUGAGUCCAGGUAGUAGCGCUAAAAAUCUUCCAACAACAAGUGUUCUUCAUAUUAUGGACUUGUGCCACAGCUUGUUCUGAAUUUAUUUUCAAUCAUACCUGAAUUUGCACUAUCAUACAAUGUUUAUAAUGCUUCCUGUAGUGAAGAAUAAGGUUGCUUGCCACCUUAUGUGUCUUGCUACUCGUGUGUGUUGCCACUGGUGUGUGCACUGCACUGCAUUCCCACAAUUUGCAAAAACUUACUCCUACUCGUGUAGGUGCUGGCGCUGCUUGUUUUUGGUGCUACUGGUGUUGCUUGUUGCUGCUCCAUAGGCAAGGUUGUUUCUGCUAAAAAAGAUGGGAAG
rnacentral:lncRNA from 1 species